rnacentral:lncRNA from 1 species
CUAGUUGGUUCCAGAGACAGAAAGAGCGUGUGUGUUUUUUCACAGUUAGAGAUAUAGUUAGAAUGGGUGGUUCAAAAUCAAAAAUGAUGAUAAUGUUUAUUAUGUUAUUAAUAAUAUUUAAAAGUGGGUGGAGUGAGGGAUGUUUGGAUCACGAGAGAUUUGCUUUUUUGAGACUCAAACAUUUCUUCAAUGAUCCUCUUAAUUCUCUUUACGACUGGGUAGAUGGUGAGGGAGCUACUGAUUGUUGUCAGUGGGAAAGGGUUGAGUGCAGCAACACCACAGGCCGAGUGAUAGCACUGGACCUUUCUUAUAUAUAUUCGGGAGAGUACAGCUGGUAUCUGAAUGCUUCUUUAUUUACUCCUUCCAACAACUUGAGUCACUUGAUUUAACUCAAAACAAAAUAGCCGGAUGUGUUGAGAAUGAAGGUACUUUGUUUAAUUUAAUUAAUUUACUUUCUCCCCCCUAAUUUAAGUUGAAUAUCAAGACCGAGCAAUUAUACGCAUAUUCAUUUAGUCGACAAUUUUGACUUUUUUUUAAAUGAUUAAUUUUGAAAUUACACCAGUAUCUAUGAUCUUUUUUAUUUUAUUUUAUUUGCAGGUAUAGAGAGGCUAUCAAGAUUGAACAACUUGAAGAUGCUUAAUUUAAGUGGAAACUCAUUCAAUAAUAGCAUUUUAUCAUCUCUAACUCAUCUUUCAUCAUUAAGAUCAUUAAAUUUAUUGUGGAAUAGAUUGGAAGGAAGUAUUGACGUUAAAGGUACAUAAUUAAAACUUCAAGCUCUUUCAUUAACUUGCUAAAAUAAGAUUCAAGGCUUUGAAUUCAAUUUUUUUAUGAUUAAUAUUAAAAAAACAGUUUUAAGCAAUUUAUAAAUACAAGUUUUAAUGUUUCUUGUAAUUUCAUCUUGUACUUUCAUAUGUCUUGAAUUUAAGAUUAAAAAAAAAACUCUAAUAGCGAACCAAACACCUCCACAACUUAUUAUUAUUUGUGGUGAGGUUUGAAACAUUCAACUCAAUUUGUACUUAUUACAGAAUUUGAUUCUUUGAGAGAUUUAGAGGAGCUAGACAUUGGCGGAACAAGAUUGACAAAUUUGUGGUCUCAAAAGGUACUACAAAUACCAUAAAAAAAUAUGCUAACUUUUACAAAUUAGUUAGAUUCUUUGCCAUUUGGUUUAUUAUUUUACAGGUUUGAGUAAGUUGAAGUCUCUUGGUUUAAGUGGUAUCAAACUCAAUCGUAGCAUCUUAUCUUCUCUGACUGUCUUUCUUCGUUAAGAGAAUUAUAUAAGUGAUACGGGAUUCAAAGGAACAUUCGAUGUUCGAGGUAAGCCUAAACCUUGCUUUCUCAUUUUAUAUAUGCCAACUAGAUUUGUGUAUCAUCGACAUAAUUUAAUAUUUAAUUUGAUAAGUCUGAAUGAAUUACAUGCUAAUUUAACACUUUUAUUUACUUUGUCAAUUAAUUAAUUAAUUAAUUAUACUAUUUGGCUUGGUUUGGACGAAAUUCUCAUGAUGUUUUAAUUUCUUUAAAUUAAUUAAUUAAUUAACUCUGUUUUUAAGUCUUAAGUCUGGGCGUGUUUGCAGAUUUGAUUCCUUCAACGACUUAGAAGUGUUGGAUAUGAGAUACAAUGAAAUCGACAAUCUUGUGGUUCCUCAAGGUAAACAAUUAAAAGGUACAGAUGUGGCCAAAUUUAUAAAUAAAUUGUUAAUUAAUUAAUUUUUUCGUAUUAUUAAUAAAGCUAAAUUCGUUUGCUCCUUCCUUCUAAUUCUAAACAGAGUUGCACAAUUUCACCAACUUGGAAUAUUUGACAUUGGAAUCUUUCCUCUCUCAUAUAAGCCUUCUGCAAAGCAUUGCAUCAAUAUUCCCUUCGUUAAAAAAUCUGUCGAUGUCUUUUUGUGAAGUCAAUGGUGUCGUACGCGGUCAAGGUAAAAGAAAAGCGUUGAUUGUGAACUCACUCAAUGGUGUCCUACGUGUUCAACAUUUUUAUUUAUUUUAUUGUUUAAUGUUUCUGCUAGGUUUUCCUCAUUUCAAGAGUUUGGAACAUUUUGACAUGAGGUUCGCGCGCAUUGCGCUCAACACCAGCUUUCUUCAAAUCAUCGGUGAAUCGAUGCCCUCUCUUAAGUACUUAUUACUGUCAUAUUCUAAUCUCUUGGCACUAACAGCAGCAGGAUUCUUCAUCAAGGUUAAUGAGAUGCUGCCACCCUCCCCUCUUAACCUAUAAUAUUAAUUUUCGAUUAAAUAUUUAAUUACACAAACCAAAUCACUUAUUAUAAAAGAACAAUACGCAUUCAUUAAUUUUUAUAUUGUAUUAAUAAUUGAUGAAUUUAAUAAAUUUUCAGGCCUCUGUUCGUUGGUGCACCUGCAAGAGUUGUACAUUGAUAAUAAUGAUUAAAGAGGUAGCUUGCCUUGGUGCUUGGCAAAUAUGACAUCCUCCGAAUAUUAGAUGUUUCUUCCAAUCAACUUACGGGAAGCAUCUCCUCAUCUCCCCUCGUUCAUUUGACAUCCAUUGAAAAGUUGAUCUUUCAAACAAUCACUUUUGGAUCCCAAUUUCACUUGAACCACUUUUCAAUCACUCACGACUCAAGCUUUCUAUGCUGACAACAAAAAUAAAAGCUGAAAUAACUGAGUCACAUUCUUUGACUGCCCCAAACUUCCAAUUAAAAUAUCUCUCAUUGUCUUCCGGUUACGAAGAUGGUGUCACAUUCCCCAAAUUCCUUUACCAUCAACAUGACCUGGAGUAUGUUGACCUCUCACAUAUAAACAUGAGCGGAGAAUUUUCCAAAUUGGUUGUUGGAAAACAACACAAACUUAGAAUAUAUUUUUUGGUUAAUGAUUCUCUUGCAGGACCUUUCCGGUUGCCAAUUCAUUCACACAAGCGGUUAAGACUGUUGGAUAUAUCCAACAACAACAUCAGAGGCCACAUUCCAGUAGAAAUUGGAGAUGUUUUACCGGGUUUAUUUUCUUUAAACAUUUUCAUGAAUGCUUUAGACGGUUGCAUUCCCUCUUCAUUUGGUAAUAUGAAAUUCCUCCAAUUUCUGGACUUAUCCAACAACCAAUUGACUGGUGAAAUCCUAAGCACUUGGCCGUGGGUUGCGUCAACUUAGAGUCUCUUGCGUUGUCAAACAACAACUUAGAAGGUCAUAUGUUCUCCAGAAACUUCAACCUGACAAACUUGAAAUGGUUACAAUUGGAAAGCAAUCACUUCGUAGGAGAGAUCCCACAAAGUUUGUCUAAAUGCUCCUCACUAAAAGGAUUGUAUCUUAACAAUAAUAGUCUUUCGGGUAAGAUUCCACGAUGGUUGGGUAAUCUCACAUGGUUACAAUAUAUUACAAUGCCCAAUAAUCAUCUUGAAGGUCCUAUUCCAGUGGAGUUUUGUCAGCUUGAAUGGCUUCAGAUUUUGGACAUUUCAGACAACAACAUAUCUGGAAGUUUACCAUCUUGUUUCCAUCUUCUCUCUAUCAAACAAGUUCAUCUUUCAAAAAAUAUGUUACAUGGACAGCUAAAAGAGGUACAUUUCUUUAAUUGCUCUUCCCUUGUGACAUUAGAUCUUAGUUAUAACCGCUUGAAUGGCAGCAUUCCGGAUUGGGUUGAUGGACUUUCUCGUUAAGCCACCUUAUCUUGGCUCACAAUAAUCUUAAAGGUGAAGUGCCAGUUCAAUUGUGCAAAUUGAACCAACUACAAUUGUUAGAUCUUUCUAAUAAUAAUCUUCAUGGUCCUAUUCCUCUUUGCUUUGAUAACACCACACUUCAUGAAAGUUACAGCAAUAGUUCUAGUCCUGAUGAGCAAUUUGAAAUAUAUAUUUUUAUGUCCGCCUAAGGUUGUGACUAUUAAUAAAUUAAUAUUUAAUGUUUAUGUAAAAAUAUAUAAGAUUUUAUGCGUUCAUUAAUUGUUAUUAGCUAAAGGAUGAAUUAUUUUUCAACCCAAUCAGUUGAUGCAUCUGCAAGAGUUUUUUCUUUUAUUGACCAUAAUUAUGUUCCGGGUACAAUAAAUUGUCUUUGGUGCUUGGAAAAUAUGACUUCUUACUUCAAGUUUGAUAUGUCUCUCUCCAUAAACUUACUGGAAAUAUAUCCUCAUCUACUGUCAUUUAUCUAAUAUCAAUUGAAGAUCUCACUUUUUCAAACUAUCACUUCCAAGUCUCAUUGUCACUUGGCCAUUCUUGGACCAUUCAAAACCAAUCAAGUGUUGAAAUAAUCAAAUAUAUGCAAAAUUAGAGUCACGAUUUUGGUCCCCCAAAUUCUAAUUAUAUAACUUCUAUAUAUUUCAUUGCCAGGUCACGAACUUGUUGGCACAUUUUCCAAAUUCCUCUUCCAUCAGCUCUCACACGUUAACUUAAGUGAAAGUUUCCAAGUUGAUUGCUAGAAAGCAACGCAAAAUCAGACACACUUGAUCUGUCCCCUAAUUCUCUUUUCUACGUUGAAAAAAGAAAAAAAAAAAUAAAAUACAUACAUACAUAUAUAUAUAUAUAUAUAUAUAUAUAUAUAUAUAUAUAUAUAUAUAUAUCUAUGUAAAAAUAAAUAAUAAACUGAGUAAAAAGUACAUUUGUUUAAUUAACAUCUGAUCGGGGCAUUUUUGGUGUAAGCCACAACUAAAAUCAAACAGCCCCUUAGCAUACUUCUUCCAUUUUAUCGGCUACUUUUGUGGAUCUUAUAGGGUGGGCAUGUGGACAGAAUUUAAAAGUUUUAAUAGGCUCAAAGAAGAAGAUGUGUUAAAUCUAAAGUUGUUGCACCUUCUGAUUAAAUAAAGUUGUACAAUUUCAUCAACUUGAAAGAAUUGACAUUAAUGAACUGGUCGCCUCUCCAUGUAUGAAGCCUUCUUAAAGUUAAUUUUUAUUUCAGAAAAAAAAGUUUAAGUUACAUAUAUUACAGUAAGAUUUUUUGAGACCAAUUCCCUUCUUGAAAUAAUAAUAGAAAAGUAUUAAUUUAAAAAAUAAAAUGAAUAUGUAUUGAUUAUAUCCUGAUUUUCAUCGAUUAUAGUUAGAGUUUCACCAAAUCAAUUCCCUUAUUCAAAUAAUACAGAAAAAAUAGUAAUUUAAUAGUAAAAUAAACAGGUGUUGAUUAUAUAUCCUAAGUUUCAUCGAUUAUGUGAUCAAAGUGGCAUUGUUGAUUUAUUUUUUGUUCAAUGUUAAUUUUUAGGUUAUAUAAAUUUCAAGGAUUUAAAAUCUUUGGGCCAUGAAUUACACGCUUGUUAAUUUUCCUGCCAUUGACUGUCAUAUUCUAGACUUAAUGAUACCUUUCUUGAUCAAGGGUAAUUACUCUCUCUUCUCCUCUUAUAAAUUCCUCUUCCAUUAACAUCACUAGGAGUAUGUUGAUCUCUCAGACGUUAACUUGAGUGGAGAGUUUCCAAAUUGAUUGUUACAAAACAACACAAAAACUAGACACACUUGAUCUGUCUAAUAAUUCUCUUUCGGUAAAAUUAAAUAAUUUUAGGGGAAUAUUCGGCCAACCUCUAUAAUUUCAUAGUGAUCAUUAAUUAAUUAAUCGAUACAAAUAUCUAAAGUGAUUAAAUGUGACUUGAAAUUUGAUCUCUAUCGAUUGGUUUACAAAUGGACGUACUUGUGCCUUUGUGGCGAUAAUCGAACAAGUACCCAUGAUUAUUAUUUUUUUCCAAAAACUUUUUUACAAACAAAUUCAUCUCGUCAAAAAUUCUAUGUUGCUAACUAAACAAUAAUUGAGCACUUGGCCGCAUUGACUCCACGUCUCCACCUCUUUCUAAAUUUCUAAGUAAAAACAUGGAAAUGUAAUUUCCACAAAAUGCCAAAUGUGUGGAAUUUAAUUUUUUGCCUUGUGGAUCAAAAUACAAAUGAAAGAAACAGAAGAAAAAAAAAGGCCCAAAGACUUCUAAAAGAUGAAGAAGUCUUUUGUGCCUUUUUAUAAUGGUGAAUUUUUUUAAAGAAAAAAAAAUAACAACAUUUUUAUGGUUUGUUUUGAUAAUGCAUAUUUACAUAUACUCUCUAAUUUCAAAAUGGACACAUAAAUCUUUUUUUUUUACAAAAUAUAUAUUAUUCAUAUUUUUUUUAUUUUUUUAUUAUCAUAUUUUUAUUUAUUAUAAAUGUUUAGAGCAAAUUUUUAGGUUUGAAAUAUAAUAAAAAGGUAUAAUUGUUUCUCUUAUUAAACACACAUUACUUUUUAUUAGUUUCUAUCCAUUUGUCAUCUCAAUCUCUCUCAAUUAUUCUUUAUUGCUAGCUCAAAACGCGUUUGCUGUUGCAAAUUAUAGCAAAAUGACAAAUAUGGAAAAAAAGGGAAGAAAAUUAAUGCAUGAAAGACUUGGAGAAAACAACAAAAUAAGCCAACUAUGAGCUAGUUGGGUGUAUAAAUUGUUAGAUGUGUUAUAUACAAAUAGCGUAGAGCCCUCUAGUUGGUUCCAGAGACAGAAAGAGCGUGUGUGUUUUUUCACAGUUAGAGAUAUAGUUAGAAUGGGUGGUUCAAAAUCAAAAAUGAUGAUAAUGUUUAUUAUGUUAUUAAUAAUAUUUAAAAGUGGGUGGAGUGAGGGAUGUUUGGAUCACGAGAGAUUUGCUUUUUUUGAGACUCAAACAUUUCUUCAAUGAUCCUCUUAAUUCUCUUUACGACUGGGUAGAUGGUGAGGGAGCUACUGAUUGUUGUCAGUGGGAAAGGGUUGAGUGCAGGCAACACCCACAGGCCGAGUGAUAGCACUGGGACCUUUUCUUAUAUAUAUUCGGGAGAGUACAGCUGGUAUCUGAAUGCUUCUUUAUUUACUCCCUUCCAACAACUUGAGUCACUUGAUUUAACUCAAAACAAAAAUAGCCGGAUGUGUUGAGAAUGAAGGUACUUUGUUUAAUUUAAUUAAUUUACUUUCUCCCCCCCUAAUUUAAGUUGAAUAUCAAGACCGAGCAAUUAUAUGCAUAUUCAUUUAGUCGACAAUUUUGACUUUUUUUUAAAUGAUUAAUUUUGAAAUUACACCAGUAUCUAUGAUCUUUUUUAUUUUAUUUUAUUUGCAGGUAUAGAGAGGCUAUCAAGAUUGAACAACUUGAAGAUGCUUAAUUUAAGUCGAAACUCAUUCAAUAAUAACAUUUUAUCAUCUCUAACUCAUCUUUCAUCAUUAAGAUCAUUAAAUUUAUUGUGGAAUAGAUUGGAAGGAAGUAUUGACGUUAAAGGUACAUAAUUAAAACUUCAAGCUCUUUCAUUAACUUGCUAAAAUAAGAUUCAAGGCUUUGAAUUCAAUUUUUUUUAUGAUUAAUAUUAAAAAAACAGUUUUAAGCAAUUUAUAAAUACAAGUUUUAAUGUUUCUUGUAAUUUCAUCUUGUACUUUCAUAUGUCUUGAAUUUAAGAUUAAAAAAAAAACUCUAAUAGCGAACCAAACACCUCCACAACUUAUUAUUAUUAUUUUAAUUUGUGGUGAGGUUUGAAACAUUCAACUCAAUUUGUACUUAUUACAGAAUUUGAUUCUUUGAGAGAUUUAGAGGAGCUAGACAUUGGCGGGAACAAGAUUGACAAAUUUGUGGUCUCAAAAGGUACUACAAAUACCAUAAAAAAUAUGCUAACUUUUACAAAUUAGUUAGAUUCUUUGCCAUUUGGUUUAUUAUUUUACAGGUUUGAGUAAGUUGAAGUCUCUUGGUUUAAGUGGUAUCAAACUCAAUCGUAGCAUCUUAUCUUCUCUUUCUUCGUUAAGAGAAUUAGAUAUAAGUCGUACGGGAUUCAAAGGAACAUUUGAUGUUCGAGGUAAGCCUAAACCUUGCUUUUCUCAUUUUAUAUAUGCCAACUAGAUUUGUGUAUCAUCGACAUAAUUUAAUAUUUUAAUUUGAUAAGUCUGAAUGAAUUACAUGCUAAUUUAAACACACUUUUAUUUACUUUGUCAAUUAAUUAAUUAAUUAAUUACUAUUUGGCUUGGUUUGGACGAAAUUCUCAUGAUGUUUUAAUUUCUUUAAAUUAAUUAAUUAAUUAACUCUGUUUUUAAGUCUUAAGUCUGGGCAUGUUUGCAGAAUUUGAUUCCUUCAAUAACUUAGAAAGUGUUGGACAUGAGUUGGAACGAAAUCGACAAUCUUGUGGUUCCUCACGGUAAACAAUUAAAAUGUUAUUCAAUUACAUUAUUUUUAAUUCAUUUGAUUAGGGAAGGCCAAAAAGGUAAAAAAAAUAAUAAUAAAGAAACAGAGAAUUUGUAUUAUUUAAAAAACAGAAUGUAAUAAAGAUUUGAUUCUGGUUCUUUAAUCUUUAAAGUGAUUGAAAAACAAUGUUGCUCUUUUCCCAAAGCAUCAAAUACGAAUUGAAUGCCAAUUAACUUAAUCAUUCAUUUCGUUUAGCUCUAAAUUUAGACAAUGAAUUUUUAUAUUAUUUCAAAAACAUGACGUAAUAGAAUUUUUUUAAAAAACAGAUUCUAAUAAAGAUUUGAUUCCAAUUCUUUAAUCUUUACAGUGAUUGAAAAAACGAUACUACUCUUUUCCCAAAGCAUAAAUACGAAUUGACUCCCAAUCAAAUUAAUCAUUUAUUUCGUUCAUCUCUGAAUUUAAAUAAUGAAUUUUGAUCUUCAAUCGUAUUAUAAUUACUAUUAAAGAACAGGUUACAGAGGUUUGAGGAAGUUGAAUCAUCUUGAUCUAUCGGAGUUGGAAUUAGAGAUGGAAGCAAGUUGUUACAGUCAAUGGGAUCAUUCCCAUCCCUCAACACUCUUUACCUUUCGUGGAAUAAUUUUAUCGAUACAGCGACCGCUACUCAAGGUAAGUAAAAGGUACAAAUGUGGCCAAAUUUAUAAAUAAAUUGUUAAUUAAUUAAUUUUUCCGUAUUAUUAAUUAAGCUAAAUUUGUUGCUCCUUCCUUCUAAAUCUAAACAGAGUUGCACAAUUUCACCAACUUGGAAUAUUUGACAUUGGACUUUUCCUCUCUCCAUAUAAGCCUUCUCCAAAGCAUUGCAUCAUUAUUCCCUUCGUUAAAAAAUCUGUCGAUAUCUCAUUGUGAAGUCAAUGGUGUCCUACGCGGUCAAGGUAAAAGAAAAUCGUUGAUUGUGAACUCACUCAAUGGUGUCCUACGUGUUCAACAUUUUUAUUUAUUUAUUGUUUAAUGUUUCUGCUAGGUUUUCCUCAUUUCAAGAGUUUGGAACAUUUGGAUAUGGAUUACACGCGCAUUGCACUCAACACCGGCUUUCUUCAAAUCAUCGGUGAAUCGAUGCCUUCUCUUAAGUACUUAUCACUGUCAAGGUUAAUCUAUAAAUCGAUGCCUUCUCUUGAUCAAGGUUAAUCAGAUGCUCCCACUCUCCCCUCUUAAUCUAUAAUAUUAAUUUUCAAUUCAAUAUUUAAUUACACAAACGAAUCACUUAUUAUAAAAGAAUAAUACGCAUUCAUUAAUUUUUAUAUUGUAUUAAUAAUUGAUGAAUUUAAUAACUUUUCAGGUCUCUGUUCGUUGGUGCAUCUGCAAGUGUUGAACAUUGCAGGCAAUGAUUUAAGAGGUAGCUUGCCUUGGUGCUUGGCAAAUAUGACAUCCCUCCGAAUAUUAGAUGUUUCUUCCAAUCAACUUACUGGAAGCAUCUCCUCAUCUCCCCUCGUUCAUUUGACAUCCAUUGAAGAGCUGAUGCUUUCAGACAAUCACUUCCAGAUCCCAAUUUCACUUGAACCAUUUUUCAAUCACUCACGACUCAAGAUUUUCCAUGCUUACAACAACGAAAUAAAUGCAGAAAUAACUGAGUCACAUUCUUUGACUGCCCCAAACUUCCAAUUAAAAUAUCUCUCAUUGUCUUCCGGUUACGGAGAUGGUGUCACAUUCCCCAAAUUCCUUUACCAUCAACAUGAUCUGGAGACUGUUGACCUCUCACAUAUAAACAUGAGCGGAGAAUUUCCAAAUUGGUUGUUGGAAAACAACACAAACUUAGAAUAUAUUUUUUUGGUUAAUGAUUCUCUUGCAGGACCUUUCCGGUUGCCAAUUCAUUCACACAAGCGGUUAAGACUGUUGGAUAUAUCCAACAACAACAUCAGAGGCCACAUUCCAGUAGAAAUUGGAGAUGUUUUACCGGGUUUAUUUUCUUUAAACAUUUUCAUGAAUGCUUUAGACGGUUGCAUUCCCUCUUCAUUUGGUAAUAUGAAAUUCCUCCAAUUUCUGGACUUAUCCAACAACCAAUUGACUGGUGAAAUCCCUAAGCACUUGGCCGUGGGUUGCGUCAACUUAGAGUCUCUUGCGUUGUCAAACAACAACUUAGAAGGUCAUAUGUUCUCCAGAAACUUCAACCUGACAAACUUGAAAUGGUUACAAUUGGAAAGCAAUCACUUCGUAGGAGAGAUCCCACAAAGUUUGUCUAAAUGCUCCUCACUAAAAGGAUUGUAUCUUAACAAUAAUAGUCUUUCGGGUAAGAUUCCACGAUGGUUGGGUAAUCUCACAUGGUUACAAUAUAUUACAAUGCCCAAUAAUCAUCUUGAAGGUCCUAUUCCAGUGGAGUUUUGUCAGCUUGAAUGGCUUCAGAUUUUGGACAUUUCAGACAACAACAUAUCUGGAAGUUUACCAUCUUGUUUCCAUCUUCUCUCUAUCAAACAAGUUCAUCUUUCAAAAAAUAUGUUACAUGGACAGCUAAAAAGAGGUACAUUCUUUAAUUGCUCUUCCCUUGUGACAUUAGAUCUUAGUUAUAACCGCUUGAAUGGCAGCAUUCCGGAUUGGGUUGAUGGGCUUUCUCGGUUAAGCCACCUUAUCUUGGCUCACAAUAAUCUUAAAGGUGAAGUGCCAGUUCAAUUGUGCAAAUUGAACCAACUACAAUUGUUAGAUCUUUCUAAUAAUAAUCUUCACGGUCCUAUUCCUCUUUGCUUUGAUAACACCACACUUCAUGAAAGUUACAGCAAUAGUUCUAGUCCUGAUGAGCAAUUUGAAAUAUAUGUUUUCAUCGAAGGCCCUCAGGGAGGUGUAGAAAAGAAAAUCCAUGAAAUUUUUGAGUUCACAACAAAGAACAUUGCGUACAUUUACCAAGGAAAAGUGCUUAGCCUCCUAUCAGGACUUGAUCUUUCUUGCAACAAGCUAAUCGGUAUUAUUCCUCCUCAAAUUGGAAAUUUGACAAGGAUUCAAACAUUGAAUCUAUCGCACAACAACUUGACAGGAUCGAUCCCAUCAACAUUUUCAAACUUGAAGCAUGUCGAAAGUUUGGAUCUUUCCAACAACAAAUUGAAUGGGAAAAUCCCUCAUCAACUAGUGGAGUUAAAGACAUUGGAGGUUUUCAGUGUGGCAUACAAUAACUUAUCAGGCGAAAUUCCAGAAUGGAAAGCACAAUUUGCAACCUUCAACGGGAGUAGCUAUGAAGGAAAUACUUUUCUUUGUGGACUGCUAUUGCCCAUUUGCAGAUCACCAGCAACUACGUCGGAGGGUUCAAUUGGCAAUGAACGAGAUGAUAAUUUAAUUGACAUGGACAAUUUCUUUAUCACAUUUACAACAUCGUACGAAAUUGUGAUAUUCGGAAUUGUUAUUGUUUUAUAUGUAAAUUCUUAUUGGCGACGUAGAUGGUUUUACUUUGUUGAAAUGUGGAUAACUUCAUGUUAUUAUUUUAUUGUAGACAAUCUUAUUACAACAAGAUAUUGUCAUUGAAAUUAAUUAGGAGUUUAAUUACGAUUCUUUAAGUUCUAAUCAAGUUUGCUUAGGAAAUAAAUUUAUUUUUAUUUUUUAUUAAAACUGUAGUAGUAUUUAGCUCUAUAUAGCUUCCAACUUCCAAGCACUUCACAUUUGUCUCUACACUUCCAAACCCAUAUCUAUCCACCAUAACUUAUACUUCCCUAUACUGUGCAGCAUACUUAAAUAAGAGAACCAUCUCCAAUGUUAAAACCAGCCACUCUAUAACAUUCAUUUAGAAUAGUUUUAUUAUCAUACACAAGAAAUGAAACACCUAGAUGCACUUGAUCGCCUAUUUUACUUUAAAAAAUAAUGAUUAUGGUGCUAUCAUCAUCUUCUUCACUAGCAACAUUAACACCAAAUCCAGCGAUGGACCCAGACAUUUUAUCAAGAAAGGUAUAUAUAUAAUAAAGUUGAAGCUUGACAAAAAAUUCAGGAAGAUUAAUGCCUCGCCACAACAAGGGGCACAACAACAUCAAAGUAGAGAUGAAGCAAUAUUUUCAAAUCUAAAACUCUCAAAUCCACCCACCAAAAUUUCAUAUCUCCUCAACAAUUUUAAGAACUAAAGAUAAUUAGGAUCUAACAUUAGUUUUUUAUAUAUUAGUUUCAUAAUUUACAAAUCAAUGAAGAUGAAGAUUAUGCUAAUGAAUUCAAAUUAUACCAUAGAUUCUCGAGAUGUUACCAAAAAUUUCUAAGCCAAUCCCACAUAUUUCAUAAUUUUAAGACUAGAAAAUUUCAUUAGUUAGAAGUUUCAUUACCUUCAAGUGGAAGAUGAAGAACAUUAUACAAUUGAUUCAGAUUAUAUCAUACAUACUCCAAAUGCAACUAGAAAUUAACAAGUUCAUGCGCACAGAUUUCAUAACAUUAUGAUUGGAAAGUUUCACAAAGAGAAAUUCUAAAUUCAAUCUCUUGCAUCAAGGUAGUUUGAUUGAUUUGAGUUACUUUCUCAUCAAGCUACUAAUAUAACAUUCAAGUCAGGGAGAAAGUAAAUUAAAACUGGGAAGAAACAACAGUAAAAAUUUGUUGCUAAACAUGAUGUGUAUUUUUUUUUAAGGCAAUUUGGAAACACAGUUGUUACUACAGAUAUUCUCCUCAACUUAGAGAUAAAUACAAAUAUUAAAAUGCAUAUGAUCGCACAUAUUACUUGGAGCUUAGUAAGAUUUCAUUAAGAGAAGCAAUCAAACCACUUAUCAAUUGUUGCAAUCGUUCUAUAAGCUAAAAUAGCAAUAUAAUACAAGAAAAAGAACAUAUAGAUACUUGGCAAGAGUUCAUUAAGAAGUCGCAUCACAUUCGGGUGAGUUUGCUUCUGAUAUCUUGCUAGCUGGGGCUUUUUCUUGUCUUUCUACGUAUGCCGAGGGAAACCAACCAGCUUGGCCCUUGCAUUCACCUUCCGACCAUCCAGUAGGAGCCACCUUGAGAAGUUAUAACUAAAAGUCUAAAACAAUGAAUUAAACAAAAGUUGACCGUUCAAAGACCUAAGGGGAAAACUAAUUCUUUUACGUAGGAGGAGUGAAUUAGUUGUGAUCACUGAAAUAACAGCAUAACUAUGGAAGCAUAACAAGAUAUAAAUUCACACGUCUAUAAGGGUAAACUGGGUGGUUUAGAACUGAGCUAGCAACCCUACUAUAUUCUGAUUUGCACAUCAAUGUAAAAGGGAAUAUAUGGUAGGAAGAAAGAAAACCAACCAUCAGUUGUUAACUCAUUGCUUUUCAAUCAAAAUUUUAAGAACAAAAUGCCAUGUGCUUUGAACAUCAAAUAAGUAUAAGCAUUAGUUCUAAAUUCCACAUAUCAUAAGUUAGAAGGACAAGUCAAUAGCAUAGUAGAAAAAUCUAUGUGUUGUUAUUUAGAGGGGAAAGUACCUGGCGAACCACAACAUAAUCAUCAAUUGAAAGACUUAGCUCUCCAUUUGCUUGAGCAUCAAAUGGAUGUAUAACCUGCAAGAUAAUGGGAUAAAUAGAACUUAAUCUUAAAAAAAGCAUAACAAAAGCAGCAACAGUAGCAGCAGCGUUCAUUGUAACCACUAUGAUCAUGGCCAAUAAAGAUAUAUUACAAACAAAAUUCCAUUUUUACUACGACAUUAAUAUGUACUAUAUGAUAUCAUGACGAUUGGGUUACCAAGAGCUAUCAAAGUCCAAUAAAUUCUGUAUAACUUUAGGUAGUUAUUCAAAUUAUGGAUCAGAUUUUAAAUCCGAAAUUUUGACUGCUCUCCACAAAACAUGGCCUAUGCACAAGAAAGUCAUAGAUAAUGAGGAUUACAAGUGUCUGACAUCUUUUGAGUGAUGGAUUUAACAUGAGAGCUUAUGGUCAGUCAAUUUCCUCUGCCUAGCAAUAUAAGCUUUCUCGGCCAGAUUUAUCAUCAAAUACAUAGAUUGGCCCCAAGUCACAUCCAAAUAAACAUAGUUUUUCUAGGUAAACCAAGUAAGGAGAAUCAUAAUUCAGACAUAAUCAUAAAAAGGCCCAUCUAACUUAAGAGAAAAUCUCAAAAAGAGGGAUGUUGAGCUAUCAGUCUUGUAUCUAUAAGCAAUAUCAAGACUUUACAUCACCUACUACAUCGUGAGUGGCUACACAACUUUCAGUGGUUUGUCUUUCUUUGGCAUGCCUAACUCAGCUUUGAUGUUGCUGAGAUAUUGAUAGUAAAGACACAUGAUACUUCUAGCCCAUGCAUUCUAUCUAGCUCAUCCGACAACUAUCUCUUUUUUAAUUCAUUAGUGUUUGCUAAACCUCAUGCUUAAAAGUCCUAUUCUCCUAAACAAAGCUUCCUAAGAAUGACUUCCUCAGCACCACAUUUGGACACUUUUAGAGCAAUUUUAUUUGGGGGAAAAGAAUUUUCAAGGUGUUAACUAAUAAAUUUUAAAAAAUAAUUACAAUUUGUCCUACAAUUAUAUGACAAUUUAUCUGGGAUGAAAGGAUACAGACAGACAUCUUCCACUUUCAAGACUAAUCACUACUUCCGUAGAUGUUUUGCAAUAAUACAAAUACUUGACCAGAUGGUAGAAAAAAAUUUUAUUGCUCCAAAAUUAAAAUAAGAAUGCAAUAUGUUAAGCAAAAGACUGUGCAACAUCAAAUUAAUUGAUAAGUUUGUAAUUCAGUAAAUUAACAACUUUCAUGGUAAAAUACAACAAAUUUCUUUUCAAAAAAAAAAAAAAAAAUUAAAAGACGGCAUUCAAUUUUUUGGGCAUCUUAUUUCUUAAGAUUUUCCAGGAGGAGGGCACUAGAGGGACUUUCACCUAUGCAAGAGAGCAGAAGCCUUACUUUCGCUAUAAAGUAGACGUCAUUCUGAUUAAUAUGCGUUUGCAAAUCAGCUCCAUUUGAAUCAGUAUUCUGAUAGACACAUGAGGCAUUUACAUCCAUUUCCAAAGUCACAUGUUGCGAGGAGGACUCAUUUGAUUGCUCCUCUAGGAUCAUCUAAUUCAAGUAGCAAGGGUUGGAAGAGAAUAAAAAGUCACAAUUAUUCUUUUGCAUAAGUGAGACGAAAAUGAUAAAUGCAAUAUUAUCAGCAGUAAACAAGAAGAGAACACUCCAAGGAAUAGAUAGAUGCAGACAAGCAAGUUAAAAUGCACAGUUCCAAACCUCCGCAUACAACUUCUCUAAAAUAGCAAUAACGUGUUGAUGAUAUGUUUUCUCAGCAUCUACCUGCAAAGGCCUGAGACCAGGAAAACAACAAUAAAACCACUAGCUAAAGGAGAAAGUAAAGAAAGAAAUACACUUGACAUAAAUCUUGACAAGAAGCACAAUUUAAGACAUAACAAACCCCAAUCAGAUUGUUUAGAACUACCAUUCGUUAUUUCGUUAUUGUAGCAUUUCGAACAAGUGUUGACUUAAUUCAACAUUGUUGGAAAGAUAGGCUUUUAGAAGCGGAAGAAAGCCACUCAAACCAAAGUGAUUGUCCUUGUAUUGAUCAAGGGAUGUAAACAUAUUACAUUUGCAGGAUGAGUUUUAAUCACUCCCCUGAUUUAUUUGGGUUGCAGUAAAACUAAGCGAGCAACUGUUUGACUUUCAAGCAACAUCUAAAUCAGCUAUUAAAAUUCAAAUAAAAUUAUAAUAGAAUAAUAACAGGCCAUCUUGCAUAAAAAAUUAAGUUUAAUUUGUGAAUUUUUUUCUAUAGACAUGUUAGUUCCUGCUAUUGAAAUGUUAAAAGCAUUGAAAAAUUAUUCAAUAAAUUAUGCAAACAUUAAAAUAGAGGACAUAUUAAAAAGUUUCUAAUUACAAUGUUAAGAUUUCCUAUAUUUUAGCAUUUGCAUAUUUUAAUUUAUUUAAAAGUUACGUCAAUCAACUUUGGGCGUGAAGAUUUUAGCUUCUACGAGACUUGAUUGGAAUAUGCAUAAGGAAGAGUGUUAAAAUAUGAUGCAUCCAACGAAAGACAAACCACGUGUAGUCUUUUAAUUAAGCCAAAGUAGCAGCUCAAACAAAUGACACUUGGACCAACAUGCAAUCAUGAAGUGGCCGGUAAAAGGACAAAUGCAACUUUGGCUUAAAUAAAAAAUAACAUGUGACUUGACUUUUGCUGGACAUGCAUCAUGUUAUUACAAGACAACAGAAAUCAGUAUGAUAGUACUAAAAGUUGACAAUAACAUGAAGAUAAGAGGCAGAAUGUCAACACCUGCAUAGGCACACACAAGAAAGUAUUAACAUAUAUACCAUAGCAAAAAGUCUUUGAUAUGUCAUCUGUUGCUGCUGUGAUUCAACUGACAGCAUGGCAGCUGUCGCUUCUCUACCAAGAGCCAUUAUUGUAGAUUUAAGCUCGGUCAAUCUUGCUUCUGCAUUUCGAAGCUUCACAGCACUCUCUGCUGAUAUAUCAGAUUUCCUUAUCUUUGAUCGGUGCCUAAAUACUUCAGCUGCCUGGUGAAAAUAUUCAAUAUAAAUCUAACAUAAUUCUCAUCUUGCCUUAUACAUGCAUAUGUUACCUCAAAGCUUGCCUGGGCUUCAACUUCAUGUCGAAGUUUGUCAUAACGAUGAGUCAGGUGUCGAGCAUCUUCCAAAGGUGCUCCGUUGAUUAACGCCCGUAGUGGCUCAGAUACCUACAUGUCCAAAAACCUGUAACAUAGUUAGAAAAAUGAAAAGAAAGAGCGAAACCUCAAUUAAAAAGUUCCUCCAACAUAAUCAUGGAAUUUGGGCCUACUUCAAGGAUAUAUAUAAGGAUAAUUUAUGCAAUUUUGGGUCUUAGGAUGAUUCAUAUUAGGUUAGUGUUCUUCUCUUCUGUAUUUAAGGUUAAAAUAGAAAUAAACCUAUGCAAAUAUCUAAAUUAGGGCUGUAAGACUUCCACAUGCAUCCUUCAGUCUCAUGGAUUUGAUUUUACUAUAGAUGCAAGUGUCUUUAUCGAAAAUGCUUGGAGUCAAUUGAGAGAACUCACAGCCAAUAACUUGUCACAUGCUAGUCUUUGCUAGUGAUGCAAGAAGUCACAAGGUCUCUUCAACAUUUGAACCAAUAAAAUUAUUAAGUCAUGGAUGUCACUAGCAAUGAUUUCAAUAUAAAACAUUAAAUAUUUCAAGUUGUAACUUUAAAAUGGAUUCUUUUAUUCAAUAUCUUAGAACUAAGUUUCCUUAUGAGAAGAUAAUAGUUUCAGUAGUAAUUUACAUGAAAUUUUCUAUAUUUGAAUUAUUUUCUAGUUAGGGAUGAACUAACCUGAUCAUGAAGAAUCCCAAGCAAAGUUUUCCUCUCAUUUUCCAUCAAAUCAUGUGAAGUGCCAAAUUGAAGAGCAGCUCUUGCAGCGCAAGAAUUGUCACUUUGAUUCUCCACUCCAUACUUGCAACAAUCUUCAGCCAACUUUCUCACUACAAUAUUUGAAUACAAAAAUAUUGUACACAAGAACCAGUCAAGAAAAUAAAAAAAAAAUCAAAUAUUAUAACGAGAGCAAGAGCAAACAAACAACCUAUUUCCAUUUGUUUCAAGCUUACUGCAACAAACCCUUCAACGCCACGGACAAUAUUCCUCUGAAAAUUCUGUGCUACAGAGCAUAUAUUCCAAAUUAUUGUUCAGAUAAAACCAUAGAAACCAUCAUAAUUAUCAACAUACAUUAAGCUCCGUUUGGUAAAUACUUGCAACUUCAGUCUAGAAAAUACAGUUGUUUGUACCAUAUUUGACAAAAUUAUUAUUUAAAAAUCAUAACUAAUUACCAAAAGCCACAAUAAAUCAAUAUCAAACAGAGUCUUAUUAUUAGCUAAAGGAGGAUGGUGCCUUAGCUGCCCUGGUGGAAUUGUAUAGAUUUUAAAGUUGUUGGUGACACUCAAUUUCAGCUUCAUGAACCGCAAUAUUUUCAAUACCAAGAUGGAGCAGAUGCUUCAAUGCUGCCUGUACAAAUCAUAAAAAACUAAUAAAAAUAAAUAAAAUCGAGAAAUUUCACUAACUAAAAGUCUAAAUAUAAUUUUUGAAAAAAGAAAAGAAACGGACUUGCUGCUGCUUGGCGACUUGUUCUCGGUGCUUGAUUGCCUGUUUCUUGAUAGCUUCCAUACUGUUUCUUUCAAAAAGCAACGACGGCUCAGCUCAUGGAGGUGGAAAAAAAAAGUAUGAUCGAGAAAAAUAAAAAGGCAUGAAUAAUUUUUGACAAAAAGCGAAAAAUAAAAAGGCAUGAAUAAUGAAUAAUUUUUGACAAAAAGCUCUUUCCAGAAAAUAAAAAAAGAAAAAAGAAAAAAGAAAAUUAUAAGUUUGAAAGGAGUAGAUGAUAGUGGAAGUGUGCGGUGUGGCUGCCAGCUACUUGAAUUGUAUUGUCGGGUAAGGUAAUAGUAGAGAAUUUUUUUUUUUGAAGAAAAAUGGGUAAUUUUUAAAAACCUCCCCUGAGGUUUGGGCUUGUUGUAAGUAGAUGGCGAGAAUCCAUUUAUUUGUAAAAAACCCCCUACGUUUUUGCUCCGCUUGGUUGCCGUUUGGGCAAUUGUGGGCAUUGUUGACAUUUCGCAAUAAAACAAAUCUUUUGCAACUUUCGUUUCCUUGAGAACAAUAGCUAGAUUUCUCAAUCUGUUUCAUCCAACACUUCAAAAAUUUCAACUUUUAUGAGUUAUUGCAUUCUCUGGCAAAGUAGACUUCUUCUAAUUUUAUCACAGUGCUUUCAGGAACAAGAAUGGGAUCCAUUAACAUCCCCUCAAAUUUUACAGCUUCCUUACAGCUAUACACUGCUGUAACACGAAGUUUAAUGAUUCCAUCGCCAAAUAGUCCCCAAAAUCUAUUCUUCCCCAUAUUGAACAACUUAAGUUCACAACACUUGCAUUCUAAAGGCUUCCCACUAACAUCUAAUAUCUCAAGACUCAACGUUGCUUUACAAUAAUUGUUAUUACUACCAAACAAACAUGAAGAAACCCCGAUUAUCGGAUAAAUCAACCCAAAAUGAACAAGAGAAGAACCCAAAACAAGUGAAUCGCUAGAGCAAAACCCCCAACCCAUAUCCCUAAUCCCACACUCAAAAAAACCCAAUUUCUCUCCAAAGUCAUUGACACUAGCAUCACUACUAGACUCUAAUUCCAAUCCUAGAUUACAUUUAAUGUUAACCCAACUAAAAUGAAUGUUCUUACUACAAUACGCAUCGUUUACACUCUCAAACAACGCGCUGAACUUACUCUUAAACGAUCCCACAUUGGUCAAACACUCAUCACUCACAUCGACAUCCAAGAAUUCACUCAAAAACUUCAUAGACUCGACAAUUGGAGAAAACAAAACCACUAAACUCAACUUUAUACAAGCAUACCCAUCGAGAAUCUUACCGUCAUUAACCGAAUCACAACAAAUCACCGGGUCCCACGCGCAGUCGUGAACGAGCUUACGCAUGGACGGGGCAACAUUUAACCCCCGCGGCAAAAACGACGAAGCUUUGGAAAAAUUGUGUUUUAGAGCUGGGUUGAGGAGUAGAGAUUGGAGAGAUUGGAAGGUGGAAUCGGGACGGUCAAAGGAUAGAGAGAGAGAAGGGAAGGGGAUCUUUAAAAGAGAAGUGGGGAGAGGGAGGAGAAGAAGGAUUUGAAAGAGAAAAGAGAGGAACGGAGAGGCGGGAAUGAGAUUAAGGUUUUCACUGCAACUAAAAGAGUAAUCAUGUAUGGCUCUUGGUCUUGGAGAUGAAGGAGAGGAUUCAGGUCGAUUAAGAGGACUAUACGCUGCAUUUUGGUGUAGUCUGCCGCCAUUGGUAGAAGUUUCGAAGUGGGUUUCUGUUUAGAUCCGAGUUUGACGAAGAAACGUGGUGGUUGCGCUUGGGACAAUAUUGUUUUUGCACUGGUCAAUGUAGAAAUUAAACGACGGUAGGGUGUUUUUUUAUAAAUAAAUGAAUUCUCGCCAUUUAUAACAAGCCGAAACCUCAAAAGAAGAUUUUAAAAAUUACCCGAAGAUUCGAAAAAUAGUAGAGAAUUUUUUAAAAAGCUAGAACAGAGCAUGCUAGACUUUUGUGGACCAAAUUCAAAAGCCGAAGGGCACGGCCCAAAAGCUUUUGAAUACAAUAACUUACUAGAAAGCUCCAUUUUUUGUUGGCUACAGUAAAAGUAUGUUGUUUUAUGCUUCUUAUAUGUUACGCUUGCAUCAGCCUCAAUCACUUCUUAAUCGCUUGCUUUAACUGCAUCGCUCUCUGUGUACUCUUCUACACAUGUAACGGUUAUGCGGUUGUAGUUCACGGCUGAGGCUACGUGUUGGUUUGACGCGGCAGUUACGUUACGACAUUACGAGUCUGUUAAACAUUCGGUGAUAGAGCAUUAUUAGUUAUUUUAAGGGGACAAAUAAGAUUGGUUGCAAUAAACCCACUAAUUUUAUAAAAUUCGAGUAAUAUAGAAUAAAAUAAAAAAAUAAAUACAAAAUUGGCUUUUAUUUUUUAUGGUUGACUGUAUUUUGUGUUCUCUUCCGGCACUACUACAAUUGUUCCCUAUAUAUCAGUCACACCCAUAUAUCAUCAAUACAAGAAAUGAAAUCUAAUGUCACCUAUUUAGUUAAAGAAUUACUCAUGAAAAAAUUUUACCAUUUUACUUUGAGGAUCCAUAUUUUGAACUGCAAGCUAAUGUUCAUCAAGAAUCACUAAUGUUCAUAAAAAACAGAGCAUGGCCGUUGAGUAGAAAAACUAUUUUUGGACAAAUUAUUUUUGUUGAUAGAAGAAUUUCUUAAGGGGCUCAUAAGGCCAAUGAUGUUUCUACUGCUGGUGGUUUGAUUCGCGAUUAUUCGGGUCGUUGGUUGACUGGUUUUGGGUUGAUGCUUGGUUCCUGUUCUGUUACAAUGGCUGAGCUUAGAGGCAUUUAUCAGGGGCUUAUCUUGGCUUGGAAUUUUGGCAUUCGGUGGCUGCAUGUGGAAACUGAUAGCUUAUGUGCAACUCAAAUGUUGGCUAACCAGGUGGAGACUACUAAUGAAUAUGCGUCCCUCAUUUUUGCCAUCAAGGAGUAUCUCCAGAAAAAGGAUUGGCAGGUUUCUAUUUCUCAUGUGUACAGAGAGGCAAACUCGGCUGCUGAUUUUAUGGCGAACCUUGCUUGUUCUUUGCCUCUUGGGCUUAUGGUGUACCCUAGUCCCCCGCUCGGGUUUUCAUCCAUUCUUUUGUAUGAUUCUUACGGGGUUGCGACUCCGCGUUCGGUUGUUUUUUAGCUCUUAAUUGAGCCCCAAUUGAUCAAAAAAAAAAUAUUAUGAAUAACAAUGUAGAACACACCCACAUAUCAUCAACACAAUUGACUUUAAGGAUCCAUGCUUUGAAUUGCCACCUAAUGUUCAUCAAGAACAGAGUAUGCCUUGUGAGUAGAAAAUUUUAUGAUUUUGGUCCGAAAUAAAAAGAAAUUAAAUUAGAUGAGAAUCUGCCACUUUCUCAUAAAGAAAGGCAUACGGAGCAUACCAUGGUACCAUACAAUACAAAGAGUCUCUAUUCUCUGGUUUUUCAAACUCUGAAGGGGCCAAUAUUCCCGAAUUCCCCCUUGAAAAUUCUGAUUACGACAUUAUUCAAUUCUUGACACAAUCAAAGUAGCGACAAAGUUAAGAAAAAUAUGAGUCCUAAGUAAUGGCUAGGUAGGGUUCUUGAGAGCAAAAUUGUCCUAAGCAUUAUAUGCAUACAUGGUGUGGUACAUAGAGCACGUUGAAUUCCACACUAUAACACAAACCCAGAAAGACAAGUAAUAACUCAACUGAUAUAAAGACAAAAAGAAGAUAAAAUGAUAUAGAAAAAAGAAUUUCAAAGAGACAGCAACAUACGAUAGACUGAAGCCACUUGAUCUGCUCACUGAUUGCAGCCUUAAACUUACAAAUAGUUACUGUACGCUAGUGCUCUAAGAAGUGAAAAUGAUAAGAGACCUGAUUCCCUUUUGACUUCCAUUUACUGUCAAACAUUCUAGUAAUACAAAAAAUUGUUUAGAUAUCUUGCUAUAAAUAUAGUCGUUUGACUGUCAUAAUAAAGUCACAAAUAACCAUUCAUAUUGAUCCACUGUCACACAGCAUGCUUUAUGCAUACAACAUCUGCAUGUAUACCAACUCCUAACCUUAUCAAUACAUUUGGCAAAAACUUAAGAAGAAAACUAUUUCUCCAUCUCUUUUUUGAAAUUUCACAAUAAACCAGCACAUUGUGAAAGCUAUGUUCUAAUCUUAUGAUAAAUGCUCUAGACUCCAAAAGGAUUUUAUAUAUGAGAGUUUGUUGCAGCAGAUAUAUUGACUUAUCAAGUAUGAAUCAUUGUCUGGAUGAACUAUCUUUAAAUAAAAGAAUAUUAGAACCACUGUAGAAUAUCUUUACGCUGCUGGUUCUAACAGGAAUCUGCAUGUGGCAACAAUUGCUAGAUCCACAAUUCCCCAACUUGAAAUACAUAGUUGCACACCGUGAGAUAGUGCUGCAAUCUACUGAGAUCUAACUUAUUUGAUACUUUAAGCUACUAAUGUUUGCAUAUUUCUACAUGUUAAAUUGACACUACCAUCUAUAAUCACCCCAAAACGACAAAUGAUAAGCAGCUUUUGGCCACUUAUUAAUUACUAGCAUCCACAACACAAUUAUAAAUAAGAGAUCAUGGGUUUACUUGUUGCAACUACUUAAUGAUCUGCAUUUGAGACCCUGACGCAAGGUUUAAAUAGUGACUGCUUAGAACCCUUGUAGUUGGAUCUUGACCUCUCCCAUUGUAGCCAAGAUUGGCUACUCUGGUAAUGAAUCAACACUCUCCUGCUUAUUUUUUUGUUUUUAAAAAAUAACGAAAUCAUAAAAUAAAUAAACACGUGUUUGGUUUUGGGCAUUUUCUUUUGUUCAUUUAAUAUCAUCUGGCUCCCUGAUUUUUGACUAAUUAACAACGGAAUCCUGUUAGUUUCUAAAUUGAAAUAAUAAAAGGUCUUGAGAUUAUUUACUCCAUUUAGCACUGUAGACUUAGAGUAUAUUGAAAAAGCUUUGUCAAAUAGUAGUAAUAGGGGCAUAAUAAAUAAGUUUUUCAGAAUUUACAUAAUGUACUUUGCUCUAGGAAGAUUGCCCUCUUAUCACUCAAGUUAGGUUUUGCCUUAGAGUUGAGGUAAAUCAUUAAAAUAAAUUAUAGCUAUCACAAAUUCGUUAGGAGAAUUUCAAUUUUUUUUCCAUUAAAUGGCUAUGAUGCAAAAUUACCUCAGCUUAUAUUGCAACACUAAUACUUCAAAUCCUAACAAUAAAAUUGAUGACAAUGGUUUUUAUGUAUAGUAAUUUUCACUCUUUUGUUUGAUCUAAAAGUAGUUCUUAAAAUGACAAUGAUGACUUAUUUAGAAGAAAUGGCAAACUUAUAGUUUGUAAUAUUGUUUGCACAAACAAUAAAGACUAAUUUGAUAAUAAUGAAGUGUUAAUUACUAUUUAACAUUUUUAAUUAAUUUUUAAAUUUAAAAAAAAAUGAAGGCCGAAACUUGUGCAUUAAAUUUUAAUUAAAAGUUGAUUGCUUCGAAGGUUGGAUCGUGACAAAUUGACAAUUGAAAAAAGAAGUAGGGAAUAUAUAUUCUGAUGAAAGGGACAAGAUUAAGCAAGGGGACAAUAUUGUCUAUUGGACCUACAAAUGGGGGCAAAGAUAUAUAUAUUCCAAAAUUUCUUAUUUGUGGAUUGGCCACCACGUGUAACUAAUAUAAAAAGAGAAAAUUUGGCAUGGUUUUAACCGAUAUAAGGGUCCGUUUGGGAUUGAGGUGCUGUAGCUUUUAAGCUAUAGCUGCUGUGGAAAAAAAAAACUGUAAGUAUUAAAUAAAAGUUAAUAAUAUAUAGUAAAUAUAAAUUUUAAAUAAUAAUUUUGAUGAAAUUAUUAAAGAUAUAAUAGAUUUUCUAUUAUACAAAUGAAAAUUCAUAUCAACAUAGCUUAAAAGUUACAGCAGUUAGUGUUUACCAAACACUUUAGUGCUGUAGCUUUUAAGCUACAGCUGCCCAACCUCAAUCCCAAACGCACCCUAAGAAGAGAAAAUUUUGAGUGUAUAAGAAGAGAAAAUUUUGAGUGCACAACAAGAACAAAGCAAAACCCAUGAAAAUUCACCUUUCAUGUGGGUUGGAUUGGAUAAAAUCAAUAUCUUGAAUCAAACAAAAUGUUUGGUACUUGAAGGUUUUUUUAACAUUUUCAUUUUUUUUUCCAUUUAUGAAGUCCAUUUUUUUUUUAAUUUUGAUUUUUUUGAAUGAUUUUGCAGGUGUUGAUAUAAGGUCAUCAAAAGUUUGUGAACUUGGGGUGUUGAAUUAUAAGGCGAAGCGUGUGUUUUAUCCAUUUGAAGCAAGUAAAUUUCGCUGUCGGUAUGAUUACUAUUGGGCUUCUAUCUUCAAGGUAUUCAUACAUUUUCCCCUGUACUAUAAGCUUCUUAGUGGCGGUCUUGUGAGCGGAAGUGAGCAGUGUGGCUGACAGCUUCUUGAAAAUUAUAAGUUUGAACAGAGCAUGUUAGACUUUUGUUGACCAAAUUCGAAAGCCAAAUGGCACAGCUCAGAAGCUUUUGAAUUGAAUAACUUACUAGAAAGCUCCAAUUUUUUGUUGGCUAUAGUAAAAAGAGGUUGUUUUAUUCUUCUUAUACUUUACACUUGCAUCAGCUUAAAUCACUUCUUAAACGCUUUGCUUUAACUCCACCGCUUCGUACUGUUCUAUAUAUGUAUCGGGUAUGCGGUUGUAGUUCACUGCUGAGACUACGUGUUUGUUUAACGUGGAAGUUACGUUACGAGUCUGUUAAAACAUUCGGUGAUUAAAGUAUUAUCAGUUAUUUCAAAGGGACAAAUAAGAUUAGCUACAACACACACUAGUUUUAUAAAAUUCGAAUGAGAUGGAAUAAAAUAAAUAAGUAAAUUGACUUUUAAUUUAGUGCUUGAAUAUAUUUUGUAUUCUCUUUGGGCACUGCUGUAAUUGUUCCUUAUCACACCCAUAUGUUAUAGACACAAGAAAUGAAAUUUAAGAUCACCUGUUUAAUUAAAGAAUCACUCAUGAAAAAAUUUUGCCAUUUUGAUUUGAGGAUCCACAUUUUGAACAACCAACUUAUGUUCAUUAAGAACAAAGCAUUGCCUGUGAGUAGAAAAAUGAUUUUUGAACAAAUUAUUUUUUGUUUAUAGAAGAAUUUCUCAAGGGACUAUUAAAAUUACUAAUAAAAAUGUCAGACACACCCAUGUACCAUCGACAAAAUUAACUAUGAGGAUCCAUGUUUUGAACUGCCACCGAAUGUUCAUCAAGAACAUAGUAUAACUUGUGACAAGAAAAUUUUUUGAUUUUGGCCUGGAACAAAAUGAAAUUAAAUUGAAGGAGAAUCUACUACUUUCUCAUUAAGAAAGGCAGACGGGGCAUACCAUGGUACCAUACAAUACAAAAAGUUUCUGUUCUCUGGCUUUUCAAACUCUGAAGGGGGCAAUAUUCCCCAAUUGCCUUGUGAAAAUUCUGAUUACGACAUUAUUCAUCGCUUGAUACAUAAGUAAAAGUAGUGAUAAAAUUAGAAAAAAUAUGACUUAUAAGUAAUUACUUGGCAGGGCUCUUGAGAGCAACAUUGUGCUAGGCUUUAUAUGCAUACAUUGUGUGGUACAUUCUACACUAUAACACAAACCCAGAAAGACAAGUAAUAUCUCAACUUAUAUAAAGACAAAAAGAAGAUAAAACGAUACAGAACAAAAAAUUUCAAAGAGACAGCAACAUACAAUAGACUGAAGCCAGUUGAUCUGCUCGUUGAUUGCAGCCUUAAACUUGCAAAUGUUUACUGUAGCCUGGUGCUCUAAGAAGUGAAAGUGAUGCAAACCUUGAUUCCCUGUUUACUUCCAUUUACUGUCAAACAUUCUAUUCAUACGAAAAAAAUUGUUUAGAUAUCUUGCCGUAAAUAUAGCCAUUUGAUUGUCUUAACAAAGCCACACACAACCAUUCAUAUUGAUCCACUGCCCUUGAUCUUGAACAGAUCAAUACAAUACGCACAACUUAUGAUUGAAUCCAGAAACAAUCAAAUCUUUAGCAAGAAAAAUUAAUCAGAAUCAAGAAACAAGUUCAAUGAAUAUAAACCUAUAAUUGGAACAAACACAGCCAAAGAACCCAAGAAUGACACAACCUACACCACGGGAGAAGUUUUCCAGUGAGAUUUUAUUGAUGAUCAAAGAAGAAUCUUUUUACAAAGCUAACAAAAGAGAUUUCAGAGAAUAAGCUAUGACUCUCUCUCUUCAAUCUCUCUCUAGUUUGUUCACAGUGAUGACCCCAAUCUGCUUCGUUAGCCAGCUUCAUAACUGCGUUAGUGACAAACUAGCAAACCCAGAUUGAGCAGAUUACCGACACGUGGAUAACGGCUAUUAAGAACUUAGUUAAAGAACUGCUCACAUAUUCGUCAUGCGUGUUACUUAAAUGAUGGCCAAAACGACUUCAACCAGAUGCCGUUUUGAAGCUUGUGAAUUAUAAUUGAAAACACGUGCUUGUCUCGUGACACUUACAUACAACAACAAGCCCAAAACACUGCCGUUUCACUUUGUUGAGUUUGCCAUCUCUAAGCUUCACAACUAGCAACGGAGAAGAUGAUAAUUAAAUUGACAUGGAGAGUUUUUAUAUCACUUUUACAACAUUCUAUAUAAUUGUGAUAUUGGGAAUCGUCGGUGUUGUAUAUGUGAACUCUCGUUGGCGACACUGGUAGUUUUAUUUUUGUUGAAAUAUGGAUGACAUUUCGUUACUAUUUUAUUGUACACAACAUUUUGUUACUAUUAACAUGUUAGUUUCAUUAGCCACUAGGCCUUUGGCUGAGUCGUUCGGGUGUCUGCCCUCCAACUUGGAGGGCAGCAAUUUGAACCCCCACAAGCGCAAUGUUGGGUAUUUCUUUCUUUAAUCUCUCGAAUAUUAGUGAAUGUUAAAAUCUAGGCAGAACUCCAUAAGUAUUGAUGUAAGUUGGUUUCAGUAAUAGUUUAAUUUGUAAAUAUCAGUUAUAAUCUCAUGUAAGAUGAGUUGUAAUUUGAGCAAUAGUCUCAUAGAAUAAUAAUAAUAAUAAACAUGUUAGCUUCAUUACAUUUUUCUUCAUUAAAAUUCUCAAGUAUUAGUCAGGUUUGCUAAAGUAAUAAAAUUUUGCCAUUAAAAUUGUAGUAGUAUUUCUGAGCACCUCACAUUUUCAAUGAUUUUUCAUAAAUCAAUUAAUCUGUCGUACCGAUAUCAGGUUUAGUUUUUCAUACUAAACAAUCAAGAAAGCAAACAUACAAAUUCACAGUUUAGAGGGGUAAACUAGGUAGGUGGUUUAGAUUUUAGAACUAGGCUAGCUACCCCACUAAAUUCCAAUUUGUAUAGUGAACUACAAGAAAUUGAGAAAACAGUGUAUUUAUAGUUUAAUUGAAUCGUGAGAAAGCAAUGUAGUCAUAGCUCAAUCUGAGAUGAUCACGGAGAGGCAUAUUCUUUUCAAGUUAAUUUGAUCAAUUUAUAAGAGAUGAAGUGGAUUGAAGUUAAAAGUUUAAAUAACAAAUCCUUGUUCUUGAGUUUUACGACGUCGUUACUCCUUCAAGAGGCAGAUUAUUUAUGCAAGUGAAUGCAGAAACGCAAUGCAUCAUCCACGGGGAUGGUACACCAAAAGGCGGGAUCAUAGUCUAUGCCCGCAGAUUAACAAUUUCGCUCAUAUAGAAAAUUAAUUUUUUAUAUAUACUAAUCAAUACUAAAUUGAUUAUGUUUUGUAUGUUUAUAUGCGAAUCAACACUAAAUUAUAUUAAAUGAAGAAAUAAUUCAAUUUUUUCUAAUUUAAUUUAGAAAAUAAAAUUAUUAACAUUAAUAUUCCCAAAAAAAAUUAUUUUCCAUUAGUAUUCAAAGUCUUCACUUAUGGAAAAUGUGUUUUACAUGAAUAUUAGUUACCGUGUAAAUUUGAAUGAUAGUGAAAAAUAAUUUUUUAAUUAUUGUAAAAAUAAUUAACCAUAUCAAAUCCCUUACGUAAAUAAUUUUUAUUUUUCAAAAAGGUAGAAAGAUGGUUAAUGCACAAGCAAAUUUUAAGCCCCUCUCUUCUUGGCCUAAGAUUCAAACUCAGAUGACUAGUUAAAAAAACCUAUGUGAAAAUCAUUCGGCCAGGUCUGCGGGGCAAAAAUACAAGAUCCUUAAUUUCAUAAUAUAUAUGAAUUAAUGUCAUUUACUUGAAUUAUCCAAAUUCAUCAGAGGUUAUCGAAUUUUCCUGACAUGUAGCAGAUGAAGUUGUUGCUUCCUUCUUGGCAUUAUUUCAGCUCUGGUUGUUGGUCCCGAUGAGCUUUAGUCUUAUUUUAAUUUUAUUUAAACUCAUCAUAAGAUUCGUGAAGCACCUAACUGACUUAACUGACUGUGCAGAAAUGUCACAUAGCAUAUUUAACCGUUUUAACAGUAAUUUUGAACGGUCUUCGCAGUUAUCAUCUACAAACUCGUUCGUGUUGGUCCACUAGGUGAAGUUUUUGAAAUAAUAAUAAGCUCCCAUUCUUGAUUUUAAAAAAUGUGCUUAUAAUAAUUUUAGAAUAAUGGCUUAUUUAUAGAACAACUUAUGAUUUCCCAUUAGCAUUAUUAUUGAAGUGGGGUGGGUAACGGUUCACUCAAUUCGUCGGGAAUAAAAAAUUACCAUCCAAGGCAGAAUUGUGGAAAAUUAAAGCGAAAUGAGAAAUAUGGAAAUGAAGGAAGAAAGUUAAGGCAUGAAAGACUUCCAGUUGAAAUUGAUAAUCAUGUUUCUAUUUUGGUAACUAAUCAAAUGGGAAACUGAACCAUAAACAAACAUUAAAACGUGUGGACUCCGCUAGCUGCCUUACAAGCCUACAAUAAUAACUGAGUACCUUUGAUUCAUCCUUCUAUGAAUUUCUAGCCGUAUUGACUCCACCGAAAUUUCCACAAAAAAAAUAAAAAAAGAAUUUCCACAAAAUGCAAAAUGCAUGGCACUUAAUUUUUGGCCCCGUGAUCACUAAGAUACAAUCCUUCUAGGGAAGAGCAAUCAGGCAAAUUUUUUUAAAUCUCUCCGACAAAGUGAUUACCAUCUAAUCGCAACAUUGAAUAAAAAUAAAAAUUUUAAUGGGAGUUUGACCUUAGAUUUAGAAAAUGAAUUUUCACUUUCUUCAAUUAUUAAACAGAUUACAGACAUUUGAGGAAUUUGAAAACACUUUAUCCAUCGAAAGUUAAAAUUAGAGAUGGAAGCUAGGUGCUUCAACUAAUGGGAUCAUUAAUUCCCCUCCCUCAAAUGUGUAGUUGUUCCUCUUUCCACAGCAUAAGCCUUAUAGUUAGAGUUUCUUUUAAAAAAAAUGUUAAACAAUUUCGGUUGAGCAUGGUUUUGGUAGUUGAAUAGACACCUCCGCCGUACCUCAAACAAAACUGUCAUUAUUCGUGUCAUGAAACAUGUUUCGGCCGUCAAAGUCAUGAGUAGGAGUGGGCAUGGGUUGGUUUGGGUUAGGUUUUAAGUCAAUUCAAACCAAAUCAUAAAAAUUUGGGUUAAACCCAAACUAACCCAAAUAUUUUUAACCCAACCCAAACCAACCUAUUUCCUUCUGGUAUCAGAGCCAAGGGGAGGAAAGUGUUUUAUUGUUUUGAGUUUUUGUGUUCUAAAAUCUUGUGUUUUAUUUUGCCACCAGAAAGUAUCCCAUGUUUAUAUCUUGUUAAUCCUACAUUACCUAAAAUUGUUGAGACUGAUGCAUCUGAUUUAGGUUAUGGAGGCAUAUUAAAGCAAAAGGAAAAUGAUAAUGAAUAGAUAGUACAAUAUGUUUCUGCACACUGAAAUUUUGUAAUGCAUAAAACAAUGGAAAGGAUUUCUUUUUUGAUAGUAGAAUAAUUUUUCUGACAAUCAUUCCAGUGUGCAGAAACAUAUUGUACUAUCUGUUCAUUAUCAUUUUCCUUUUGCUUUAAUAUGCCUCCAUAACCUAAAUCAGAUGCAUCAGUCUCAACAAUUUUAGGUAAUGUAGGAUUAGCAAGAUAUAAACAUGGGAUACUUUUUACAGAAUUCUUUAUUAAUCUAACAACUUUUGUAUGUUCAUCUGUCCAAGGAGUAGGUUUCUUUUUUAAUCUGUCAUGCAAAGGCUUAGACAUUCUAUUAAUAUUAGGGCAGAAGUCAAGAACAUAAUUCAAACUGCCAAGAAAUCUCUGUAAUUGGGUUUUGUCAAGAAUUUUAUCAGGAAAUUUAUCGGCAAACAAAAGAGAUCUCUCGAUUGGAGUGAUUGUUCCUUUAGUAAUAUGAUGACCAAGGAAUCUGACUUUUGUUUGAAAUAAAGAAACUUUAGAACUGGAAAUUGCCAAUCCAGCCUUUUUGGUGGCAAAAUAAAAAGUCUUUAAAUGUUUGAAAUGUUGAUCGAUAGAAUUUGAAAAUAUUAAUACGUCAUCAAUAUAAACAAUGCAAAAAUCAGAAUAAGGAUUAUAAAUAUCAUUAAUAAUUUUUUGAAAUUCUGAGGGUGCAUUCUUUAAACCAAAGGGCAUAACAGUCCACUCAUACUGUCCAAAUGGAACAGUAAAAGCAGUUUUGUAACGGUCAUUAGGAUGAAUUUGAAUUUGCCAAAAACCAGAUUUCAUGUCAAAUUUUGAGAAAAUAAGAGCAGAACAUAAUUUUUGAAGCAAAUCCUUUUUAUUAGGUAUGGGAUACCUAAUCCAUUUUAAAGCUUUGUUUAAAGGUUUGUAAUUUAUUACAAGUCUUGGUAUGCCUCUCUCAAGUUCAGAAUUUUUGUUCACAUAAAAAGCAGCACAAGACCACGGGGAUCUAGAUUUUACAAUAAGUCCUUUGGACUCUAAAUCCUUGAUUUCAUUUUUACAAUGUUGUUCCAAUUCCAUGUUCAUUUGGAUUGGACGGGCUUUAGUGGGGAUCUGUCUUUCAUCAAAAGAAUUUUCAUAGGGUAGAUCUACCACGUGUUGUUUUCUGUUCCAAAAUGCAGAAGGUAGAUCAGCACAAAUUUCUUUUUCAAUGAGAAUUUUGAAAUCAGAAAUUUUUCUUUUAAUGAAAUCACUUUGUAAUUGGCUUUCAAUUCUUUGUAGGUUCAAAUCUUUUUGUAAAAACAUUAGAUCACACUGUUUUGAUUUAAGUAAAUUAUUUAUCCUGUUUUGAUAAACAGAACAGGCUUUAACAAUAUUCAAAUUUCUUGUUUUAGGCUUUUCAAUAAAAGGGAAAACAAGUUUCUUGUUUUUUGCUUUGAAGGAUAUACUAUCAUAAUUGACAGUAUAUGGAGUUAUAAGAUUUAUAAAAGGAGUUCCCAAAAUGAUGGCAUGAUGAAUAUCAUUUGUGAGAACAAAAGAAGUUUUAAAAUCAAAACCAUUAUUAUGGAUUGAGGCUUCAACCUUAGAACUGACAUUCAGUUUUGAAUUAUUAGCGGCAGAAAGUCUUUCUUUUGUCUUUUCAUGAAAUCUUUUGGGGACGAUGUCUUCUCUAAUGCAAUUUAAAUCGGCGCCAGUAUCAAAAAGGGCAAUGGCGUCCAUUGCAAAAUCAUCAGAAAAGAUUAAAGUGACUUUAAUCAAAUACUUUCUUGUGGUGAUUUGCUUUAAAACAAAUAGAAAAUCAUUGGGUACAGACUCGAUGUUUUCUACUUUAAUAUCAUCACCAUCAUCAGGAUUAGAUUCAUUGUCUGAAUUAUCCUGCAAUUGUUUUUGUAAAAGAAGUUGGAUAGUAUCAGAAUCACUUUUUUGUUUUUCUUUUAAAUCUCUGAUUUCACAUUUGAUUUCUUUUAUCUCUUUCUGAAGAUCUUGGAUAUUAGGAACCGUCUUCUUUUUUUUCUUUUUAUCCAAAAUUUGAGUAAGAUCAUAAGAAUUCUUUUUAACAAUUGGGACUUUAGAAGUCUCAGCUUUAUUAAAAUCCAAAGUUUUCAAAAGUUUAUCAAGAUAUUCUUUUUGAAGAUUCGGAUCAGAAAUAUGCUUUACAAGUUCAAGAAAAGUUUCUUGGUCUUUAGUCAAAACAUUGAUUUUCUUUAAAAAUGAAUCAGAUUCAGAUUCACUGCUGCUAGAUGCAGAGUCAUCUGAGUCAAUUAGCUCAUCAACUUGAUUAGGGUCACUGUCUCCCGACAUGGAAGACUCAGAAUCAGAAGACUCGAUUAGAAGAGGGGCUAAUUUGGAAAGGAUCUCUUCAUCGAGGUCAAGCUCAUGAAGCUUUUUGUUCAUUCUGCAAUAUUUUGCAGUAUGACCUUUUAUGCCACACUUAUGACAUAUAGCUUCUUUGUAAUUGAAAGGAGUCUUUGGUUUGGCUUUAAACUCUUUUUUAGAGAAUUUGGGUUUCUUAUAAGGCCUCGAAGGUUUCUUAUAAGGAAGUUCUCUAAAAUUACGAAAAGGUUUCCUAAAAUGUUUAGAUUUGUAAUGUUUCCUGCGAGGUUUAGUAGAACACUCACAAUUACAAUCUUUGGAGAUAGAAGUUUUAAAGGGGUCAUAAUUGAAUUGUUUACAGAAACCGCCUAAUUCUUGUUUAGACUUCUUAAGCUCCCACUUAAGUCGUUUCUGUAGUUUCAAAUCUUGACAAAUCUUUAAACCUUCCUUAUUGACAAAACUGACAAGUUCGCCAUAAGUGAGCUCAUCAUAAGGAAUACGGUUAUCAUAAAGGGCUUUAAUAGAAUUUCUUACCUUUUCACCUAGAAGGGUAGGUAAUCCAGCAAAAAAUUUUUCUUUCCAAGUAGUAUGAUUUGCAUCAUCCCUUAGAAAUAGUCUGGUAAGAAAUGAGGUUUUGUAGCUCUGAAAUUCACUAAGUUUCCUACAUCUUAAAUUAUGUAGUAACUCAGCGUUUUUAUCACGAAAGUGUGAAGGGUCACCAAUGAAAUGGAGGGAAAUGGUUAAAAUUAGAGUAGCAACAGCAUCCUGAAUAGGGUUGUUGAACUCAUCAAAAAUAGGGGCUCCAUUUUCAUCGACUUGAAUGGAAUUUAGAAUGUCUAAUUGUUGCUGACUAGUGAGAAGAUGAUCCCACCAACCUUUGAGUUGACCAGUAAAACCGGCAAUGAGGAUUUCUGAUAUGGCACGAUCAGAAGUUCCUGCUUGGGUUUUAUAGGCAUUGGCUGCCAUUGUCAUUUGUUGCAACAAUCCUAGGAUAUUGUAUUCGGACAUACCGUCAAUAUUCCACUCAUAGACUGAAGAUGCAUUAUAUCGGGAUUGAUUUAAUGCACUUGGUCUAUUAUCUAUCGCUAGAUCCGGUGGAGUCUUGACAGUGGGAAGGGCUAAUUCCCAAUGAAUUUUGUUUGCCUUAGGAGUGGGUUCCUCUUGGAAAGCAUCAACGUCCGAAGAGGCUAUAGAAGUUUGGUCAUCUUGUUCUAAUACUCCAAUCUUGCUAGAUUGGGGAGUAUCAGGGGCUAUCUGAAUUUUGCUAGAUGAGGAAGAAGCAGCUUCUAUCCUAUCUAGUUGUUCUCUAAUGGCUUUAGCAAAAUCUGAUUUUGACUCUUGAACAAGCUUUUGGCUAGUUUUCGAAACCUGAAAAGGUUUGAAAAUAGGUUUCUUAAGCUUUUUGUCAGAAUCCGAUUUUGUUGGAAUAGGAGAGAUUGAUGGAACAGUAAUGGUUGACUUCUGGAUUUGGUUUUCUAUCCUAGUCAACUGUUUUCCAAUUGUAUUUAAGUUAGUAUUACAGAAAUUAUUCUGUUGGAUAAUACUACUUAAAUUUGCCUCGGAAUCAUUUGGUUUUGGGAUUUUGUAAGGUGAAGCUCGGAUUUGGACAGGAGGUUCACCGUGAUCAACGGUUAUACUCCGAAGAGGUGGGUGUUCAGACUCUAUAGUUCUAUCACUAUCAAGAAGUUUCCAUUCAGGGACUUUCUUCCUAAUAGUAAUAGGGUUUGACUCUUUAAAAUGAUAAGAGAUGUUGUUAUCGGAAGAAUAUAUCUCAAACCAAUCAAAAAACAAUAUAUGAAUUUUAUGAAAAUUCACAAAUUCAUAGUAAGUUUGUUGGAUUUCUUUUCUUUGGUUUAAAAAGUGUUGAAAAACCAAAGUCUUUUUUCUUUGUUUAAAUCAGAAUAAAAAUCAUUAUGCAGAAAAGUUUUAUCUAAUUCAAAUUCUUUUUCAAUGACAUUAAUGACAUUUUCUGUAACAGCAGAAAAUGUAGGGGAAGUUGGAGGAGAAGGUUCCUUCUCUUCCUGACUUUGUAAAUGUUGAUUACUAGUGUAGAUUGGAUGAGGAACACUAGUGGUGUAAUCAACUGAUCGAAUGGAGGUACCUGUAGCUAAACCAACCUAUUUGGAUUUGGGUUUGGUUUGAAUUUUAUAAUUAAAAUAUUUUUUAUUUUAAUAAAUUUAACUAUAUCAAAUUAUAAUAAUUAUUAAUUAAUAUUAAUUAUUAAAUUAAUAUUAAAAUACGAAAAAAUGUAGUGGAUAAAAAUUAUGAAUAAUGGAUUUUACAAUAACUUUGUUCUUAAAUAUUAACCAUAUUACAACAUAAAUUCUAACAAUGUCAAUACAAAUUAAAGUAAGAUAAGAUAUCUCAACUCAAGCAUCAAAGCAAUCCAUCAAAAUUAAAUUAUUUAAUUUUAUAAAUUUAAAUCUUCCGAGAAAUAAAUCUAAAAUUUAUUGUAAUUAGAAAAAGCGCCAAAAUUUUAAACGCAGUAAGAAAAAUUAGACAUGAAAUCUAAUUAGGUUUAAAUUUAAUUAAAAAAUAACAAUAGAAUCAUAUUUUAUUUGAUAAAAUCUUAAAAUCAAUUGCAUUUUUAAUUUUAGUAAGUUACAAUACAAAUAGGAUUAUAAAAUUAUAUUACAGGAUUUCAUAAAAAUAUUGUUUGAGUAAUUUAUUAAAGGACUCACCUACGUUGCCACAGUUGUAGCUUACCACGCUUUUUGUCUUUUUCCAGUAAAAUCGUAGGAUGCUUUCAAAUUUAAUCUAACGGCUGCAAUUAAUUAUUAGAUAAUUUAAUCAGCCAUUGGCAACCUUUACAACCGGUUAUAUUCUCUCGUUACAUUUAUCGGCUACCAAACAAUCCCCAAGAAAAUGACGAAGUGAGUAACUAAUACACACACCGCAGAGAAAGAUGACAGGAGAAGAGAUGACGGUAGGCCCACCGGCACAAAGGUUCUUCGAUUGCUCUAUUUCUUCGGCGCCGGAUUUAUCUACACAGCUACAAUCGACAAGUGGCGGGAACUCGAGCGGAAGUCAUUGAAAAAGAAACAGCAAGAGAGCAAUCUAUGGACUGAUGAUAACUCAGCAACUACGGUAAAGAAAGCCGUCAAAUGAUCUUUUUAUUUGACUUUUGAUGGAUUUUCAAGAGUUUUGGUAAUAAAAUGUCUCUUAAUUUUUCAUUUCAAUGGCCUAUUGUUUGAGUUAUUAUUAUGCAUAAUUGUUGGAAGAGUUAGGGUUUUACUAUUGGAUUUUGGAAUUUGUAUUUUGGCUUUGAUAUGUUAUUGUUGUGAUGUCGGUCAAGAAAUUUUUGACAACACUCUCCUCGAGUUUGAUACUAUAGCUAAUGAAUUUUUAUGGCAGAUAUAUAUUUUUCUUUGAAAAAAAAAAACACUUUACAACUGGUUAUGCAUUCAUUUAGGAGCUGUUAACUGAGCGUGAGUUCCAUAAUUUUCCAACCAGUGGUUAGGGUUUCACAGAAAAAUGUCGACAUUGAUCUUUAGGCAGCACUUAAGACUGAAAUUGGUUAUAGAGGAUCGAAUUUGGGGAACUAGAAAUUUCUGAUCAUUAAUAAUUGAAAAUGGCCUCUCACUUGUAGGCAGUUGUUGGAUGUAAUGUAUCCAGUUUCUGAAAUCGAAAGUAGAGUGAGUUCUUAAGUUAGAUGUACCUACAUGCAUUAAGGUUCGAAGAUGUGGAAUAGGCCAAUUGUUUGAUGUCAGCUUUGUUGCACAUGUUCUGAAAUUGAUCAUUUAAGAUGGCUUGGAAGCACUCCGUGAUGUGACUAAGAAGAUUCGAGGAAGUAUUAAAUAUGUUGAAAGUUCACAAUUAAUACAAGGUAAGUUCAAUGAGAUCACCCAGCAAGUUGAAAUCAACAGUCAAAAGAGCCUAAAGUGUGAUAUUUUUCUCUUGGAUUGUUUUUUUAUUUUCCAUUUCAAAGCUGAUAGUGUAAAUAUUUUGUUUGCAAAAGUUUCUAAAAAGUACUUGAGUCAAGAUGGUUAGGUAUUUCGUAACUUCCUUUUUACUCUUAACUAGAUUCAUAGAGAGUUAUAACAUUAACAUAAUUUUUUCUUUUAAAAGUGAUCAAUUAGACACUGAUGAGAUAUCUCACUUUUGAAUCAUUUAGCUUUAUGUAAUUUCAUUACUAUUAUAUGCCCCCAGGAAUUGUUGAAGUAUAUAUAUCUUGGCAUUUCUUCACUGACUGAAUUAUCUUUCAUAAUAUUCCAGCUUCAAAUGGGUACACUGCAGAGCCGAUUGGAUGCAGAAUUCCUUCUAGCUCAUAUGUGCUCUGUAAAAUUCAAAGACUGAAUAGUGGUUAUGGCAACUCUUUUUAGAUGAUCUAAGGUAUAAUGCCCAAUUAUUGCUUUUGCUUUAUCUGUUUUACCUUGCAACAUUUUGAAAUUUAUGAGAAGCAUAAAAUUACUGAGCCAAAAUUGAGGAUCUGAACUUUCGUAAAAAUAUUCGUAUUUUUAAAUUAUAAAAUAUUGCAUUUGAUGCUUUAGGUGGAACUUAGUUCACUACAGAAAGGAAAAUUAUGUUGGGCAUAACCAGAUGCUUUUCAAGAGAAAAUUUCACUGAUAUUUUUCUGAGGAUUUUACUUGGCCAUCUUAUUUCAAGCUGCUUGAAUUUUUUCUUUAUAUCAUCUUGGUUGUAUACUAUAACUCGUUGAAUUUGCUAGCACUUUUGCUAGUUGGUUAUUCUAUAUGUGAUUAUGGUGGUAAAGUUUGGAAGCUCAAAAAGUAAUGGAACUUAGGAAGAGUAUGACAUAGAAUGCUGGAUAGAAUUAAAAUAAUCAUUCUUCAGGCAUCCAAAGAUGAUGUAUUCAAAAUAGCUAGUUUUGACUUUUGAGGCCGUAUAAAUAACUAUUAUCUCACAUGGUUACAUUAUGAUAGGUAGGCACUAGCUUAAUAACUCCAAUUAACUUGAAGUUGUUACCUGAUUUAUUAUGACAGUGUGCAUUACGAUAAGUAUCCUUGCAUAUUAAGAUUUUCCUUCCAGAUCUUUGCGGUACUUUUUGAUCUUUUCCGACAUGAUAUGCGAUUAUGGGAAGCAUAUGCCAUCACCUUACAGGUAUUCUCUUAAUUUUUAGAUAGUGCUCAAGAUGACAUUCAAGUUGGCUAUUAUUGGGUGCAAGAUUUACCAUGCUCUUAUUUUGCUUUUUUAGUCUAACCCGAUAUUUGCUUAAUACCAUGAUCUGCUUCAAGCCUUGGAUGAAAAACUUUCAUUUUUUGUAUAUUCUGCAAUGAGAUGAGGGUAGUUUUUCUGAUGAUAUUUGGCAGUAAAUUGGGACUAACUAAAGUAAUUUUCUUAAUGGCAUGUCUACUUCUCAGAUGAAUGACCGUCUGUUCAGACUCCAAGGUGAUGAAUUAACAACCACCGAUCUAUUCUGGGUGAAGAUGAUGACGUUGACACCAAGCCAGUGGAAUGACUAGGACUUCCCUUUUGUUACAAUAAAUUGCGUUCAUUAGACACACGCAGUUAAUUAGUGUAGAUAAAGGAGGUCUAUGCACUAUAGACUGUUUUGUAUUUCGAGAGUCCUUUUUUUGUUUCUUUCAUUCUCCAUUCUUUUGAAAUUAUGUACAAUGGUUAUAUUGUCUGUAUUAUUACGGAUUUAUGAUGGGAGUAUCCCAAGUUUAUGGAAUAAUUAUAAAUAAGGACUUUAAAUUUUUGUUGAAAGAAGUUGAGUGAGAGAAAAGAAGCUAAAGCAGUAAGCAUUUGUUAUACUUCAUUCGAUUGUAUCUAAAUUACAAAGGUUGGUGGCCUUAUUUAUAGUGAAGUUCCCACAGGCCACUUGCACUCAAAACAUUCGAAAUAUGCAAACAUAUUGAUAUAUAAACAUACAGAAUUAAUAUUCUGAAACCUUGUAAGUAAUGCAAAUAAAAGUGAGGUUGGGGCAGCCAAUAUUUACAUCAUGUAUUAAUAGAAAUAAAAUCAAUUAUUUCCAAAUAAAUUCACUUAGUUCAAAGCACGGGCUUCGGUUAAGUUGAACAAGCAAGCCAAUUUUUGUUGUUACUUCAUGAUUGUAGUAAGCUGUGGGUAGUGGAUUGUGUUCCCUAUAAAAAAACAAACAGAAGCAUAAGUUUCUCUCAAUUAAGGCACCUGAAAUGUAUUUCCAUGUCUACUAACCUGGUCAUUCCUCCAUGAACUAAACCCUUCUGAGGAUCUUGAAUAGAUUUAUAGAGAUCUCAGAUAAUUUCCUCAUGGUGUGCCUAAGUAAAGACAAGUCUUAUGUACUUGAUUACUUCUGGCCAAUCCAUCGAGGCCACCACCUGUCUCAGUCAAUUCAAUCUUUUAAUAGAGUGAAUUACUAGAAUAAAAUUUAUUAAAGUUGAUAUAAAAUCUAAAUUAAAAAAAUCAGAUAAGAGAAUGAUCCAAAAUCCAAAAAAUCAGAUAUUUAAGGAGUGGACUUGUGACCCUCUAUAGAAUCCAUGGAAGAGUAACUAAGGGAAAAACAUUAGAGGUACUUUUGGCGAUACUAUUAGUAUUCUUGUGCUGAUCAUAAUCUUGGGGGUAGAUCUAGACUAAUUAGCUAUUCAUUGAACAUUCCAUUUCUCCACAAUUACAUGCAAAAGUGCACCUUGCAGUUGCAGCCUAGACCAUAGAAAUAUAGAAUUCCAAUUAUCAACAUCUAAAGCUACUGUAGUGACUUGCAACCAUGAGAUGAUAUAUACAUAUGCUGAGAUUCAAAUAUUUGAGAAGUUUAAACAUCCUGAUGAAAAAUAGACUAGUUCACAGCUACUUUGGGGAAGUUGAUUUCUAAUAGCAGUAGAAAAUACAAGUUUUUUUAAACAUACCUACUCCAGUAAACUCAAUUAACCAAAACAAAACUCAAAGCAUGAAAAAGAGGGAUUUUAACUAACCUAAUCAUUAUCAUUGAUAUUUUAACAUAUUGAUCUUCACAUGGAGUUAACAAACACAAGACUUAGUGCCUAGUACAUAUGUCUGGGGUUGCACAGUCUGUUCGACAAAUUUAUUGAAACUAUAUCCAUGCUCCUUCUCCAAUAAAUAAAUAUCCUCUUGCUUCUUCCAUCCUACUCUAAUUCUUCCUGGAAAGCAUUCUCCCCUUCUCUAAUUCUUCCGAAAAAACAUAACCGACAAUCCUAAACUAAUUACCACCGUUAAAUCUUUCAAACAAAAUUUACAAUUUCUUAUCAGUAGUUUCCUGCCGCAUCCGAUCGAACGGCUCAUCAACGAAUCAAACAGACUUCUUUCCACCCUUUUUCCAUAUAAUUACAUUUGCCUAAUUCCUAAAGUUUCGGCUCCGCCCAAUGUCGGCCGCAAUUGGCUGCCACAGCGAUAUGUUCAUCUUCAACUUCUCUGCUGCGAUUUCAAAUUUACUUCAGCCUCGUACCACCACACUUCCACUGGCAAUUAAUUUCAUUAUCCGAUUUUACUAUGUGUGGAAUAGAUUUGAGCAAUUUAUGAGUUUUCGCUACGAUUUCGACGAUGUCCUCUCAACACUAAUUUGAUCACCUAAUUUUAACUGUUUUGGGUUAUUUAUUUUUUAUUAUAUUUAUAUACAGUCUCUGCAGGCAACCGACUACUUUACUUAUAUGUGGAACUCAUCUGAGUCAUUAGAUGAAGGCCCUCGAGAUCCUACGGUGAUUAUAUAUGAGGACAAAAUGUGUUGUACGUUGCAACUGUUGCAACGUAGGAGGAUCCUUUAUUAAAAUGUUAAUUUAAUCUUUUAACUCAAGUUGAGACCGUAAAAAAUUGUUAUAUAAUAGUGUACUGUACAACCAAUUGCAUAUGUAUUUAUCCUGUGCAGCACUUCUAUUAUUAUUAUAUAAUAAUAAUUAGUAGUAGUAUAAUUACUAUAUAAUAAUAAUUAUUAAUAGUAUAAUUAUUAUAUAAUAAUAAUUUUAAUAAAAAAUUAUUAUUAAAAUAUUAAUUUAGCCUUUUAUUUUGUUUAAUUUACUUUUCAUUAAUAUGUUAUCUUGAAUUUGUUCAUGACCCAUGGGUAAACUAUACCCAAACUAUUAUAAAAUAAUUUUUUUCAUAAAAAUUCAAAUUUAACCCAUUUCAUGAUUUAUCCAACUCAAACCAUUUAAUUUAAUAGUAGAUAAAGGCCCAAUUUAACCCAUUUCAUUUAAUUUAAUAGUGGAGAUUCGGUAGGGUUUUAUUUCCUUCUCUUUGCUGUCAAACGAAAUUAUGUUACUCGAGUCUUAAUUUGUGUCUCAGUAAUUAAUCUGAUGUGACUAUUAUAACAAGCUGCCACAUCGAUUGAUGGCCAAGUAAUUGGAUAUUUAAUAUUACUCAAUUAAUAAAUUAACAAUAUAUUUGAGUUUUUAAGCUUUUUUCGGGUCAGAUCAUUAAUAACACAGAUUUUGCUGUAAUCUCAGGUUGUGUAAUUGAGUGCAUAAGAAAAAAACAAAACAAAAAACUAUUCAAAAAAAUUAAUUUCAUAUAAUAAAAUUAUACUUUUGUUAUAAUUUAACUUAGUAGUUAUUUUAAUUUUUUCAACAUACACAUAUAUACACAUAAUAAAAUUAAUUUCAUAUAAUAAAAUUAUACUUUUGUUAUAAUUUAACUUAGUUAGGACUCUGUUUUCUAGAAACAGAGUCCUAACUAAAUUAAUUGACUGUACAGUACAUUUCAACAUAGCAUAUUUAACCGUUAACCGUCUUCUGAGUUAUCAUCAACAAAUUCAUUCAUAUUUCUCCAGUCUUACGGACGAUAUCAUAUGUUUAAUAAUGAAUGAAUAGUCUUGGAUCAGUGUUUUGCAGCAAAUUCACAUCAUAGUUUUGAUUCUUUAGAUAUGAAUUCAUCACAUUACCGAAAAGAAUACGCGCUAAAAAAUGAUUCCAAGACUAUUUGACUACCAAAAGCUGCUGUCAGAGUGCACUGAAAGUUUCCGUAGGAUACUUUGCGGUUGUUUAUUAUGUUAUGAUGGGCAUAUAAUUCUCAAAUUUUGACUCCUCUCAGCGAAAAAUAUAUCAAAGUUUAGAUUAUGUGUUCGAGCUUUAAUAAAUGCCUGAGUUAAUAAUAAUAACAACAAUAAUAAUAAACUAAAAAGCAAAAUUACUAUUGAAUGAUCGGAAAAAAAAAAAAAAUUGAAAAUGUGUGAACUCCAAUAACCACCCCACAAAUUUAGUGGCGAAUUUUGGAGAGGGCAAGGCUGGGCUUCUCAGAAAAAAAAUGACGAGUAGAAUUGUGGAAAAUUAAAGCAAAAUGACAAGUAUGGAAAGGAAGGCUGAAAGUAAGGCAUGACGAAAGUCUUUGAGAAGGCUGAAGACUACCAAAGAAGACAACUGAAAGCUAGCUGGGGCGUGAGUGUAUAAAUUGUUAGAUGUGUUUGUUAUAAAUAACAUAGAGCCCUUUUGUUAUUUAUAGUUAUAGAGAAAGAGAGAAUGUGUGUUUUUUAAUAGUUAGAGAUAUAGCUAGAAUGGGUGGUUCAAAAUCCAAAAUGGUGACAAUGUUAGUUCUUAUAUUAAUAAUAUUAGGAAGAAGGGGGGGGGGGGGGGGGGUGUGGAGUGAGGGAUGUUUGGAGCAUGAGGAAUUUGCUCAUUUCUGGCUUAAACAUUUCUUCAAUUCCCCUUAUAGACUUCAAAACUGGGUAGAUGAACAAAGGGAAAGGGUUGAGUGCAGCAACUCCACAGGCCGAGUGGUACAACUACACCUUAGUCUUACUAGGAAUAUCGAUCUGGGAGUGUGGUAUCUGAAUGCUUCUCUAUUUACUUCCUUUCAACAACUUGGUAACAAAAUAGCCGGCUGCAUGCGUUGAGAAUGAAGGUCCUUCAUUUAAUUUAAUUUACUUAAUUUCUCCCUCCUAAUUAAUGUCUAUAACCAUUGGGAGGAACAAGGGAUUUUAUUAACUCAAAUAUAUGUAAUGGAGGAGCUCAUUCUUUGGUUUUACUUGCAGGUCUAGAAGCAGGUGUCAUCUAACAGCUGCUUUGAUAAUUUCCCACCCCUUCAUCUUUGAUGGAAAGAUGAAAUAAAAACAAAAUGGUGAAAAUGGUAUUGGUACCUGAGGCUAUGUAAUCUAAUUCAACAACUGCACCAUCAAAACGAUUACAUAAGUCCCAGAAGAAUCAAACAUUAGUUUGCAAAAUAUCAAUUGCUGGAGGUUAGAUUCUAACUUCCGCUCUUGAUUUUUAUGGGCAUGUUGUAUUGUACUUGCAUACGAAAAUCAUAUUUUAGUUUACUUACACUCAACGCUUGGAUUAAAGUUUUAGGUGGGGAAAAUUGAAGGAGACUAAAAUGACUCAAAAAAAUAGUUGAAUGAGUGAGGGUUUUGUCUUCAUUUAAGGAGCUCUUUAUAAAUUUUAGGAUUUUUUUUCCCUGAGAAAAUUUAUGCCAACUUAUUCUUUGCUUCUUUUCUGAAGGGACAAAUGCAACUAAAAGUGUAUUCUUGAAUUCUCCAGGAUAAGAGACAUAUGUUUAAUUAGAUUCUCGAGCCUUCAAAACAAUAUAAAAUUUUAGAUUGAUAAAAUUUUAUAUAUCUGAGCAUGAUGGUGUUUGACAUGACUUAAAACUGUUUAAUUUACUCUCACAUACAAGAAUGCCUAGUUAUAUUGUAGCUCAGAGUCUGAGGUUAAUUCAUAAAGAAAUGAUUUAAUUUGUUUAUUUAAGAUUAUCCCAAAAAAUAAAAAUAAAAUUUAAAUAUAUGUAAUUUAAUUUGAAAAAAGUUAUGAAAUUAAUUAUUUAGGGUCAUGGAUCCACUCUUAGUAAUAAAUACAAUUUAAUAAAUUCUUUUUAUUUUUAUUUUAUUGCCCAAAAGAUUAAUUAUAUAAAUUAUAAUUAUUUUCCCAUUAAUUUUAUUAUGGAUUAAGUACUUAAUGUGCCAAAACUUAACUUAUCUACAAUAAGUCAAAAUACCAUUUUACCAUAAUUUAUGCAAAGAUAUUAAGAAUUCAUGUGCCAAACUCCCAUGUUUGUCUACAAUAAAUCAAAAUUUCAAAACAUAAAAUAUGGAUCAAAUUAAAUAAAAAAUAAUUUAAUUUAUAUAAUUAAAAAUAGAAUUUGAUUAAAUCAUAUUUUUCUACUCAGAGUUUUACCUCACCCUAACUAUUAGUAUUUAGCUAAACAUAUUUGAAAUAAAUGAAAUUAUUAAAAUUAAAAAAUACAUAAUUAAAAAAAUGGUAUUUGAAAAUUAGAAAUAAAACUAAUUUUAUUUAUUGAAAAUGUAUUACAAAGAGAGAUGAGAAGAAGAAUUUGAGGGGAAAGAAGAGAAGAAAAUGUGUGGAGAGGUGUGUGAAAUUAUAUUGUAAAGAUGUUACACAAACAAAUGAAUAAAAAAAAACUAAAUGAAAAUUACACAAAUUAAAAAGAAAAUGAAAAUUAAAUAAACAAGAUAAAUGUGCAAGAAAAAAAUGCACAAUAAAAAUAAAUAAACUGAAAAGUAAUUAACUAAAAUUAAAAUAACUAAAUAGGCGGUAAACAAAGUAAAUGCCAAAAAUAAAAUAAGUGCGAAAAUUAAAUUACAGAAAUUAAAAGAAGAAAGAAAGAAAAAAUAAUUAUCUCAAAGUGUAAACUCUUUUUCUUUUUCUUUUCAAAUUUUAAAUAUUACCAGCCAAUUAAGUGAUUAAUUCAAAUUAUUAGGCUUUAAUAGUAAUUUUUAAAAUCAAUAUUCAGUUUAUUGAGUCCAAAUAAGGUCCAAAGAAGUUCAAGUUGUUGGUCUAAAAUUAAGAAUUUUGGGAAAUAUUGGCAACGGACCUAUUCAAAAAGUUCUAUAAUUUUAUGGUCAAACUGCAAUUAUGAGAAGAAUGAUCCAAAAAUUAGAAUUUUUGGGGUGAGUGAGAUUUAGAAAAUUUUGUGGAUAUAACAUAAUUUAAGAAAGAAAAAGGAGGUAAAUGAAAAUUUAUACAAAAAGUAAAAAAAGAAAGAAAAAAGAAAACAAAAUAAAUACCUCUCCCGGCAACGGCGGUAAAAACUUAACACGACUUUAAAGUAUUUAAUUUACUCUUAAGUAUAAGAGUAGCUAGUUAUAUUAUAUCGCGAGAAGUCCGAGAUCGAUCUACAGAAAAAUGAUUUAAUUUAUUUAUUUAAGUUUAUCUAAAAAAUAAAAUUAAAAUUAAAUACAUGCAAUUUAAUUUGAGAAAAACUAUGAAAUUGAAGUAGUUAGGAUUAUGGAUCUACUCCUAGUAAUAAAUGUAAUUUAAUAAAUUUUUUAAUUUUAUUUUAUUGACCAAAAGAUUAAUUGUAUAAAUUACAAUUAUUUUCCCAUUAAUUUUAUUAUGGAUUAAGUACUUAAUGUGCAAAAGCUUAACUUGUCUACAAUAAGUCAAAAUACUAUUUUACCAUACUUUAUACUAAGAUAUUAACAAUUCAUUGUGCCAAACUCCCAUGUUUGUCUACAAUAAAUUAAAAUUUCAAAAUAUAAAAUAUAGAUAAAAUUAAAUAAAAAAUAAUUUAAUUUAUAUAAUUAAAAAUAGAAUUUGAUUAAAUCAUAUUUUUCUACUCAGAGUUUUACCUCACCCUAACUAUUAGUAUUUAGCUAAACAUAUUUGAAGUAAAUGAAAUUAUUAAAAUUGAAAAAUACAUAAUUAAAAAAAUGGUAUUUGAAAAUUAGAAAUAAAACUAAUUUUAUUUAUUGAAAAUAUACUACAAAAAGAGAUGAGAAGAAAAAGUUGAGGGGAAUGAAGAGAAAAUAAGGUGUGGAGAGGUGUGUUCCUCCCCCCACCUCUCUAUUUAUACUAAUACGUGAUUAAUCCACACAACACAAAUAAAUAAAACUAAUUACAUCUUAGGCAUACAUUUGUCCUACUAACAAAACAUAAACCUAAGUUAAUCCACUUAAGCACAUCCAACACAUUUCACUAAAAAUUACCACACCUAACAUGAUAAAAACUUAUAAUUUCACAAUUACCACUUUUACUUUUACAACAAAAGCCGCGAAUCUUCUCGACAAUGACCUAAUUUCUCGGACUUUCGGAAUCUAAAAGUUUAAAUAAUAUUAAAUUUAUCUAAUAUAAAUAAAUGUAUUAAAUAAAAUAAUGUUUCAUUUUAUAUUUACCCUCCUUUUAUUAAAUUUCCUAUAAUUAUAUUUAAUAAAAUAAAUAAUAUUAUAUAUUUAAAUAAUAUUAGUUAUAUUUAACUAAAUUAAAGCAAAAUGACAAGUAUGGAAAGGAAGGCUGAAAGUAAGGCAUGACAUAAGGCUUUGAGAAGGCUGAAGACUACCAAAGAAGACAACUGAAAGCUAGCUGGGGCGUGAGUGUAUAAAUUGUUAGAUGUGUUUGUUAUAAAUAACAUAGAGCCCUUUUGUUAUUUAUAAUCAUAGAGAAAGAGAGAAUGUGUGUUUUUUAAUAGUUAGAGAUAUAGCUAGAAUGGGUGGCUCAAAAUCCAAAAUGGUGACAAUGUUAGUUCUCGUAUUGAUAAUAUUGGGGGGGGGGGGGGGGGGGGGAGGUCGAGUGAGGGAUGUUUGGAGCAUGAGAAAUUUGAUCUUUUGCGGCUUAAACAUUUCUUCAAUUCCCCUUAUACACUUCAAAACUGGGUAGGUGAACAAAGGGAAAGGGUUGAGUGCAGCAACUCCACAUGCCAAGUGGUACAACUACACCUUGGCCUUACUAGGAAUAUCGAUCUGGGAGAGUGGUAUCUGAAUGCUUCUCUAUUUACUUCCUUUCAACAACUUGGUAACAAAAUAGCCGGCUGCAUGCGUUGAGAAUGAAGGUCCUUCAUUUAAUUUAAUUUACUUAAUUCCUCCCUCCCAAUUAAUGUCUAAUGGAGCUCAUUCUUUGGUUUUACUUGCAGGUCUAGAAGCAGGUGUCAUCUAACAGCUGCUUUGAUAAUUUCCCACCGCUUCAUCUUUGAUGAAAAGAUGAAAUAAAAACAAAAUGGUGAAAAUGGUAUUGGUACCUGAGGCUAUGUAAUCUAAUUCAAAAACUGCACCAUCAAAACGAUUACAUAAGUCCCAGAAGAAUCAAACAUUAGUUUGCAAAAUAUCAAUUGCUGGAGGUUUGAUUCUAACUUCUGCUCUUCAUUUUUAUGGGCAUAUUGUGUUGUACUUGUUGGAGAAUUAACAAAUAAAACACACACAAAAACACACUAUUUUAUUUCUUCAACAACACUUCUCACUAAUUACAAUUCUUAUUUUUCACUCUCUACACCUGAGAGAUUUUGCUACUUCACUUGAUAUUUAAACCAAAGGGGAGAGGGGGUAUUUAUACAUGAAACAAACUAAUCACAACCAUUCAUUUAUUCAAUUAAUACACAAAUCCUCACCAUCCAUUAAAACCUACCACACCUAACACACCUAACACAAAUAAUUCAAACCUCACCAACCAUACCUACUCAUGGAACCUUCCAUGAGUUGGGCUUGAUUUAUUCAUCUUGGAUCAAGUUUAUGAUCCAACACCUCCCCUUAAACUUGAUCCUGUGACACCAAGCAAACUUCUGAAUCUUACAAAGUCUUCUUGCUUGAGUGGCUUAGUGAAGAUAUCAGCUGCUUGAUCUUGUGAUUUUACAUACUUGAUUUGCACUUCUUUUCUUGCAAUACACUCUCUUAUGAAAUGAUAAUGAGUGUCUAUGUGUUUACUUCGAUCAUGAAAGACUGGAUUCUUGGAUAGGGCAAUUGCUGAUUUGUUAUCAACACAAAUCUCGGUUGGCUCUUCUUGUGCCAAACUCAACUCCUUCAGUAAAUUUCUGAGCCAAAUUGCAUGACAAACACUUGAUGUGCCAGCUACAUAUUCAGCUUCACAGGUGGAUAGCGUGACAAUUGGUUGCUUCUUUGACAUCCAUGUGAAAGCAGUAUCUCCCAUGAAGAACACAAAUCUCGUGGUGCUCUUUCGAUCAUCUACAUCUCCACCCCAAUCGCUAUCGCUAUAUCCAACAAGCUUGUAGUCAUUAGAAAAUGAGUAUAGCAAGCCGAAAUUAGUUGUACCUUUGAUGUAGCGAAGGAUUCUUUUUGCAGCUUUAAAAUGGGUAGUCUUUGGAUUCUCCAUAUAUCGGCUCACAAAUCCAACAGCAUAAAGGAUAUCUGGUCUUAUGCAUGUCAAAUAACGUAGGCUUCCAACCAAACUUUUAAAGAAUGUUGGAUAUAUAUCUUCGCCUUCAUCAUGUUUGGAUAACUUGACUCCGCAUUCCACUGGCGUGCUUAUAGGCUUACAAUCAUUCAUCUUGAACUUCUUGAGAAUCUCCUUUGCAUAGCUUUCUUGGGAGAUAAAUAUGCCUUCUUCCUUUUGCUUGACCUCAAUGCCGAGGUAAUAUGCCAUCAGUCCGAUGUCAGUCAUCUCGAACUCUUUGAUCAUCACUCUCUUGAACUCUUCAAACAAGCUUGGAUUACUUCCAGUGAAGAUGAGAUCAUCCACAUACAGGCACACAAUCAAAAUAUCUCCAUCUUUUUCUUUGACGUAGAGAGCAUGUUCAUAUGGGCAUUUGGUGAAGCAUUUCUCUUGAAAAUACUUGUCAAUUCUGCUAUUCCAUGCCCUUGGUGCUUGCUUUAACCCGUAAAGAGCUUUCUUCAAUCUCAAAACUUUGUCCUCAUGUCCUUUCACCACAUAGCCUAAUGGUUGUUCGAUGUAAACUUCUUCUUCAAGGAAUCCAUUCAAGAAAGCAGACUUCACAUCCAUUUGAAAAAUCUUCCAUUUGUUCUGAGCAGCCAAAGAAAUAAUAAGUCUAAUAGUUUCAAGUCGAGCUACAGGAGCAAAUAUCUCGUCAUAGUCUAUGCCAGCCUUUUGACUAUAGCCUUUUGCAACUAGCCUCGCCUUGUGCCUUUCAAUUUCUCCCUUCGCAUUUUUUUUUGUUUUAUACACCCAUUUGACACCGAUCGCCUAGUGACCUUUUGGAAGAGUAGUAAGCUCCCAAGUAUCAUUCUUCACAAUGGCUUUGAUUUCUUCAUCCAUUGCAAUUCUCCACUUCUCAUCUAGUGCAGCUUCUUGGAAGUUGACUGGCUCACAAUCAGCAAAGAGGCAAAAGAGAGUGAGAUUAUCAUGUCUCUCAGUUACCUCAUAGAGAUCUUGAAGACUCCUUGUACGUUCUUCGGUUCUUUCAUUUAAGAAAGACGGCGGUGAAUCUCCGCAUGUGGUUGAUAAUGGUGAGAUAGGUGGAGUAGCAGGCUCUUGUUGUUCGUCUACUUGUUUUAACUGUGUAUGAUCAUCUUCUUCAAUGGGAAAGAAGUUGAAGUCAUCCACACCAGAGCCAAAAUCCCAUUCUCCUUCUUCAUCAAAAACUACAUCUCGACUGAUCACGAUCUUCCCGUUGUUUGGAUUGUAAAGCUUGUAUCCUUUGGAGUUGUUGUCGUAGCCGAUGAAGAUGAACUUCUCACUUUUGUCAUCCAGCUUGGCUUUACUUUCGUCUGGUAUAUGUACAUGGGCAAUGCUUCCGAAAACUCUUAGAUGGGUGAUGCCGGGUUUUCUUCCACUCCAAGCUUCUUAUGGCGUCUUGCCCCACACGCUUCUUGUUGGAGAUCGAUUGGAUAAGUAGACUGCACAUGCAACUACUUCAGCCCAAAAUUCUUUAGGUAGCCUCUUACUCUUAAGCAUGCUUCUAAAAUUCUUUAGGUAGCCCAAAAUUCUUUACCAGAUAUCCUUUAUGCUGUUGGAUUUGUGAGCCGAUAUAUGGAGAAUCCAAAGACUACCCAUUUUAAAGCUGUAAAAAGAAUCCUUCGCUACAUCAAAGGUACAACUAAUUUCGGCUUGCUAUACUCAUUUUCUAAUGACUACAAGCUUGUUGGAUAUAGCGAUAGCGAUUGGGGUGGAGAUGUAGAUGAUCGAAAGAGCACCACGGGAUUUGUGUUCUUCAUGGGAGAUAUUGCUUUCACAUGGAUGUCAAAGAAGCAACCAAUUGUCAUGCUAUCCACCUGUGAAGCUGAAUAUGUAGCUGGCACAUCAAGUGUUUGUCAUGCAAUUUGGCUCAGAAAUUUACUGAAGGAGUUGAGUUUGGCACAAGAAGAGCCAACCGAGAUUUGUGUUGAUAACAAAUCAGCAAUUGCCCUAUCCAAGAAUCCAGUCUUUCAUGAUCGAAGUAAACACAUAGACACUCGCUAUCAUUUCAUAAGAGAGUGUAUUGCAAGAAAAGAAGUGCAAAUCAAGUAUGUAAAAUCACAAGAUCAAGCAGCUGAUAUCUUCAGUAAGCCACUCAAGCAAGAAGACUUUGUAAGAUUCAGAAGUUUGCUUGGUGUCACAGGAUCAAGUUUAAGGGGAGGUGUUGGAUCAUAAACUUGAUCCAAGAUGAAUAAAUCAAGCCCAACUCAUAGAAGGUUCCAUGAGUAGGUAUGGUUGGUGAGGUUUGAAUUAUUUGUGUUAGGUGUGUUAGGUGUGGUUGGUGAAGUAGGUGAGUGGUAGGUUUUAAUAUAAUCUUUUAAGUGAAUAUCAUAGCCUUUUUCUAAAAGUUGACCUAAACUAAGAAUGUUGCUUUUCAUAUUGGGCACAUAGUAAACAUUCGAAAUUAUUUGGUGGCUACCAUCUUUUGCACGAAAAAGAAUGUUACCUCUACCCUUCACUAGUACUUUUGAAUCAUCUCCAAAAGCGACAUUGUCAUUCACAAAUUCACUUAGUUGCACGAACAUGCUUCUGUUUCCACUCAUAUGAUUGCUAGCACCUGUGUCAAGAUACCAUGUAUUUUCUUGACCUGCACUUGUGUCAUUGCGUGCUAGUAAAAGUGUGCCAUCUUCACCAUUUUUCUCUUCAGCAUAGUUCACUCUCUCCUCAAUUCUGGUGCUUGGAGCUCUGCAUUCUGAAGCAUAAUGCCCAAACUUUUGACAAUUAUAGCAUUGUACUUUGGAUUUGUCAUACCUCGAUCUUGGAUUGCCUCUGCCUCGUCCUCUGGUUGAGCUUUCUCCUUUGUCAUAAUUGGAGUUGUUGUUGUUGAAAUUCCAACCUCGUCCAUGACCACGACCUCUACCUCGUCCUCGACCUCUACCUCGGACAUAGUGCAUUCUCUCGUUGUCGGAGCUUUCUUCUCUUUUCUUUGGAUUGACUUCCAUCUUGAGAAGUUAUUCUUUGAUUCCUUGCUUCUUCUUUUUUUUCUUCAUAGGCUUGCAACCUUCCUUGAAGUUGCUCGAUCGUCAUAUCCUCCAAAUCUCUUGUUUCUUCAAUUGCACAACAAUAUGUUCAAACUUCGACUCUACUGAUCGAAGUAUCUUUUCAAUGAUCCUUACCUCUUUUAACUCCUCGCCAUUUCUUUUUAAUUCAUUGGAAAUGGUUACAACCCGAGUAAAGUAGUCAGAAAUUGACGCCGACGCCUUCAUGUGUAAAGACUCAAAUUCUCCUCGUAAUGUUUGGAGACGAACCUUCUUAACUUGCUCCGCUCCUUUGUAAGAGGUCUCUAGUUUCUCCCAUGCUUCUUUUGAGGAGGUUGUACCAGCAAUCUUUUCAAAAGCAUCUUCAUCUAAUGAUUGAAAGAUGAGAUACUUUGCUUUAUUCUCUUUCUUUUUCAAGUCUUUUAAAUUCUCCUUCUGCGCCGCAGUUAAAGUGGCUUCAUUUUCUGGCACAAUAAAGCCUUUUUCCACGACAUCCCAUACGUCAUGUGCGCCCAAUAGAGCCUUCAUUUUAAUACUCCAAUUGUCAAACUUACUUCCCUUUAAUUGUGGAACUUGAAAUGACAUCAUACCACCGUUUGCCAUAACUCAAAAAUUGAGUGAGAAUUUGGAGAUUCUGAAAGCACAGAUGGAUCCGGCACGUCGAAAAACCUUGGGAAGGACUCGAGUCAACUUUCGGUCAACGGUCAACGCUGGUCAACGGUCAACGUCGGUCAACGGUCAACGUCGGUCAACGGUCAACACCGGCUUGGUAGUCUUGGUUCGGUCCGGAUUGGUUCAGCUCGAGUUGGCUCGGUUCGACUUGAUGCGGUUCAAAUCGGCUCGGCUUGGUUCAGUUCGGCUCAGUUUGGUUCAACUCGGUGAGUCGACUCAGCUUUAGGUUAGAAAACUUUCGGCGGCAAGUGUGGGAGCGUCCGGUCUCAGAUCAGGAUGAUUUGUGCGGCGUCACGUUCCUCUCGUCGAGAUCUUCGAUUUGAUAUGCUAUAUGACCAUAUAUAACAUCACGUACUAGCUCUGAUACCACUUUGUUGGAGAAUUAACAAAUAAAACACACACAAAAACACACUAUUUUAUUUCUUCAACAACACUUCUCACCAAUUACAACUCUUAUUUUUCACUCUCUACACCUGAGAGAUUUUGCUACUUCACUUGAUAUUUAAACCAAAGGGGAGAGGGGGUAUUUAUACAUGAAACAAACUAAUCACAACCAUUCAUUUAUUCAAUUAAUACACAAAUCCUCACCAUCCAUUAAAACCUACCACUCACCUACUUCACCAACCACACCUAACACACCUAACACAAAUAAUUCAAACCUCACCAACCAUACCUACUCAUGGAACAUUCCAUGAGUUGGGCUUGAUUUAUUCAUCUUGGAUCAAGUUUAUGAUCCAACAGUACUUGCAUCCGAAAAUCAUAUUUUAGUUUACUUACACUCAACGCUUGGAUUUAAGUUUUAGGGGGGGGAUUGAAGAAGACUAAAAUGACACAAAAGAGUUGAGCGAGUGCAGGUUUUGUCUUCAUUUAAGGAGCUCUUUGUAAAUUUUAGGAUUUGUUUCCUGAGAAAAUUUAUGCCAACUCAUUCUUUGCUUCUUUUCUGAACGGACAGAUGCAACCGAAAGUAUAUUCUUGAAUUCUUUAGGAUGAGAGACAUACGUUUAGAUUCAUCGAGCCUUUAAAACAAUAUCAAAUUUUAGAUUGCUGAAAUUUUAUAUAUCUGAGUAUGAUGGUGUUCCAAUUAUAAGCUCCAGGGUGCAACUUCACUAAGUUUUAGAAUACCUUCCUAUAGAAUUGAGAAAUCUCCAUUGGCAUAAAUAUCCUUUGAAAAUAUUGCCAUCAGAUUUUGAAUUGGAGAACCUGAUUGAACUCAGCUUGCCUUGUAGUAAGGUUAAGCAAUUUUGGAAAAGAGAAAAUGUAUAAUGUAUUACUAUUACCAAAGUAUCUAUUUUUCUUUCUUUAAGUAUUUAUAAUGAAGGCUGAUUCAUAGGAAGGCUGUAAAACGGUAAUCAACGAAGGUAAAGGGGUUAGACACUUUUACACUAGAACUUAAGAAAUAAGAGCAUUUACGAAAAAAGGAGAGAAACACUCAUAGGUGUUCCACUGCCUAAGAGAUCAUGAGAGAGCCACGAGAUCAGUGGCCAAGUUUCCCAAAAAGUAAACCUAAAUUUCUGACUUGAGCGUAGGAGGAUUUUUCCGGCGUGCUCUGACCAGUUUUUGUGUGCGCAGGAGUCUGCUAAGUCAUACGAGUCAUAGCUCUGCUCGGUUAGAAGAGUUACGUGAAGUAUCCUACGUUGGUCGUGAGUUCGGGCGUUGAGGAGAGAUCCUGGUUGCAGACAAGCAGACACCAGAAUCUCGCAUCAACAGUGAAGAUGAUUCAAUAUUAAGCAUGUCAUAUAAUCUGGAAGUGGAUAUUGGACCAAUUUGAUGAUGAAUUUCUUUCAAUCUCAAUCUUUUUCUUUUUAGCAACAUGACUAGUCAUUGUGCAAAUUUAAACUCUGACAAUGAUUUCUCAAUCGGUUUCUAAAAUGAUGACCAUGCAUGUAUAUGUGUGUGUGUGUAGAGAGAGAGAGAGAGAUCACACGUGCGUGAUUUCCUUUUGCCAAUAGGAUAUGCAGAGAGCUUGAUCUUACCCAAUAGCAAAACAAACUUCCUAACAAGUGAAGGUAUAGUAUAAAUACUUAUACUUUCAUGUUAUUUUGUUCAUCAGUAGCUUGAUUAUUUUAUAUGCGUCUUUGUUUUUAAUUUUCUUUCCUUAUAAUCGCUAUUAUCUUUGAACUGGUCAUGAUUUGCCUAUAAGAUUUCUCAUGUUGUUUUGAGGUGCAAUGGAUUUUGAAUUUAGUGACGAGCAGUGGAAGCCAGAAGGCAAAUUAUGAAAAUGGAUAAAGAUCUAUAAUUAGUUGUUAUGGGAUGUCACAUAUCAUAUUGAUGGUAACAUUAUAUAUGUGUACAUAUAAUUAAUGGGGUUGGCUCACGAGCCCAUUAAUAAUCGUAUAUUAGCUUAUAUACUUCAAACAAUGUACUAUGAAGCAAUUUCACAAAUACUUGUUAGCUUAUGUUGAGCUUUAUUGAAUCAGUAGUUCACAGUUCAAUAAAAUGCAGGUUUGCUAUUUGAAGUACAUGGUUAUGGUGCGUACAUUCUUCAUAAGGCUAACUACUAAUUUAUCAUUGAAACUUGAAAAAUGUGACAGAGAGAUGUAGAUAACAGCCGCAAAACACUGAGAUUGAAAAUCAGGGCUGCUAAAUUCUACUAAAAGCCCUUAAAAUAGACAGCGAUCACCCUGAAAUGUAUAUACUGAAACUAAGAAAUAUUAAUCGCAAAGUUAUGCAUUAAUAGAACUAUUGACUACUUAUCUUUAGCAUAAGGUAUAUUUUUAACUACAGCUUUCUACUUUGUUCUAAGAACUAGGCAAAAAUGGUGUAUCUUCAAUCCAAUCAACAUGUAUACCACUUAUCUUCCUCUUCACUUCUGUCUAUUUUGAUUUGCACUUCAUAUCCUGCACUUGCUGCUUAGAAAUAGUCUUAUUCUGGACAUUGAAAGUAGAAAAAGUGCUUGAAACAAUCAUUGGCAUAGCCCGAGAUUCCAUUGAAUCGUGGACUCCAAGCUUUCAUAGUUCUAUAAAGAAAAUGACAAAACUUCAUACAACUGGCAUUCUGCUUUUAACAUUUGCACAACCUGAGCGAGUUAGCAAGCCCCUUGUUGCGUUCCCAUUGAAUAGACCUACUUUUGUUAUCCACAGAAGAUCCACCACUCAAAAUGUUUAUCACCAGGCUAUUCUUAAACUGAGCCUAAACUGAGUAGAAACUUCUGCACAUCUCUCAGCAUUUACAUGAAGAAAUCGACAACUAUCGUCAUCUCUCAGCACAUCUCUCAGCAUUCUACAAAGUUGCAUUUCACUAAGCAAUCUAUCCUCUCCAUUCCUAACAAAGUGACAUUGAUUCCCUUAUUUGUAAUCGCCUAACUUGGGUUUUGGGAAUAGCGUGGUCUUAAAAUUACCACCCAAUACUUUGUUCAGUGCCACUGGCAUCCACAACCUCUAGCCCUGUUAGCUGAAUCAUAUUCAAUGGGACAGUGAGGCAGCAUUUCACUAACAUAUUCAAUUUGACUACUUAUAUUGACGCAAAUAUUAGAAUUUGAAAUCACUUCUUUUCUUGGAAUAUUAUAUUAAAAUGACCCCAAAUGAAAGUUCUUGAAUGGAAAUGAUUUUUAUUUAAUUUUCCAACAGAUUCAAGAAAAUCCAGAGAACACAAAAUUUACACAGUAAUAUGAUUAAGAGCUGAGAACGUACAUGUAGUAAAUGUCUAUCAAAAAACACCCAAGGGUUUCUUUAAAAUUAGAAACUAGUAAAUAAAAAGAAAGAAUCAUUUUACAUUUUUAGCAACUUUGGGGUGAGUGAGUGAGUGAGAAAUUGAAACCCUAAAGUGAUGACAACAGUAAGAUUCAGUAUGAAGUGAAACCCCAAUUUGAAAUGUAGGCAUGAGUUGCUGAGUCAGUAGAUGAAGCUAUAAAUAGGCAUUCGGUUUCCUUCUUUUCGGUUUGGAGGGCCAUGGAAUAGUGUAUUGGAGUGGGCUCCAAGUAAUAGCCUCUAUCACUAGAACGACAAAUCUAUAAAAUGUGAUACAUGGGGAAGGAUUGGGCAUUAUAUUCUUAGAUUAGCGCCUUAUUUAGGGUGUAUAUUAAGCAGAUUAUAUAUUACAUGGAGAUGGAGUUUAUGAAAUAGAUUAAAAAGAAAAGGAAAUUUUGGUGCCUAAAGUUUGCCACUUGGAAUAUUUCGGUGUCUAAAAAUUCACUCACCACUUAUUUCAUGUUUGAUUAUAUGUUGAAAAGAUAUUAAAAUAGUAUAAUGCUAUUAAGGCUUAACGUAGAUUUUUUAUUAGUAGAGUGUAGAAUUUUUAAGAAAUAAAUUAUUAAAUUAUUAUAACUAACAUAUUAUUUUAAAGUUGUGUUAUGAAAAAAAUGAAAUAAAAAUGUACAGUAAAUAAGAAUAUUUUAAAACUUUUAUCUUUUUAAAAUUAGUUUUUAACAUAAGGUGAACUAUUUUUUCUUUAAAAUCACAUAUUCUAGUUAAAAUCAAAUAUGUAUUUAUAUGAAGCUUGUAAAUUUUUUUUUUUAGUACUGAUAUUUGAAUAUUAUCAAUAAAAAAAAGGGUAAUGUUCAUGCUGCAUUAUUUUUGUAGCACACAAAAGGACAACAAAGUUUAUGUUAUAAUACUAUCGCUUCUGUUAUGAUAAUAAUUUUUUGUGGCCAAAUAUCUUUUUUUUUUAAGUAAAAAAAAGUGGACAAAAUACAAAUCAGUUUUUAAUCCUCAAUCUCUCCCAAAAUAUAAAUUCGUAGGUCCAUGGGUUGUUAAAACUAUAGCUGACAAAAAGUUACUAACAAAAACAGAAUGUCCAUUUUAUAACUUUCUUAAAAAACUUUCCUUAACUUUUUUAAAAAGUUACCAACAAAAAGUUAUUUCUAAUUUUUAUUUUGUUAUAAUUUUUAUAACAAAAUUCGUAGUUAACUAAACUCUUCUUAUUCCCUUUCUCAACUACCCUAACCCUGUUCCCCAUGUCCCCACUAAACCACGCUCAAUUAAGGCCAUCAGAUUCUCCCGGGCCCACAUUAAUCCAACUGCUCACAGAGACCGACAGCCUCUCUAUCUCCAUUUCAAGCUCCCUCUUCAACUGGCUUCUGCUACCGUCCUACUCUUUCUCGGCUUCGGAGUCCGUAUUUGCUCGGCCUGUCCCACGAAACUCCCUCUCACUCCAAUUGUCGCCCCACAAGACCAAUUGCUUAAUCAAGACACCGAACAAGAAGAGGAUGAGAAGUUGAAACAAGAAUUUGAGAAUUGGAAAUAAAAAACGUACGCAUUGACCGUGCCUUUGAGAGUCGUUUCUCUUCAGAACUCAGUGCCUCAAUCUUGGGUUAAGGAUUUUAUGCGAAGUCAGGGAAAGAGAUUGAAGUUUCAGAUGAAUUUGUGUGCUAGCAUUGAUGGGAUCUUUAACAAUUUAUCUGUGCCCUUUAACAAAGUUAAGGCUAAGUCAGCUUCUUAUAUGGCUGCUGAUUUGGUUAGUGUUGGUGAUUCAUGGCUUAGUUUUGCCAUUAAAAAGAGAUUGAUUGAGCCAAUAGCUGGAGCUGAAGACCAAGAUUGGUUCAAAUGCUUAAGUCACAAAUGGAAGGUAACAUCUUUGUCUUUGAUCCUCGAGGUAAAAUAUGGGCGGCACCAUACAGGUGGGGCACAACGGUGAUAGCCUACAAGAAAAGUAAAUUUCGAAAGCAUAAUUUGGCUCCGAUUGAGGUAAUAAUUUUCUUUAAACUCAUUUAGUUUUAUAUCAAACAAAAUCAAGACUGCCUUUCUCUUCAAUAUUUUUUAUGAUAAUAUCUUUAGAAGCAUCUCAUUGACGGGUAACAAUGGCAUCCCUGAAAGAGUCUAUAAACUCAAUGAUAUUAUCUUCUACAAAUGGUUCAUUAAACUUUGUCGUUGUGCUCAAAUGUACACUCAGAGCAAUGAGAAGUUAUGCCACUUUAGCAUGUAGUGAUGGCACUUAAUAAGUGAGUUGCUAGGAUGUGAACUAGAAAAAUUAAAUAUUGUCUCCUUGGGUAUGCUAGCUCGUAAGUCAGGGUUAAUAUCAGAGCUUAAGAUAGUAUAACCGUGAGAACCUAUUGACUGCCAAUUAAAAUAUCCAUUAAAAUGUCUAGGGAGUUAUGAAGGUGGAGGUAACUUCCAAUUUCUAAGGCCACAGAGUAGACAUCAUCCAGGAUCCUAGGAAAGUCCAGUUAACCUCCUGCUCGAUGCAAUUAAUAAAUUUGGUCAAUGCCACUGAAACUUGCUAACUGACGUCACAAUGCGACAUGAGCACUUCAAAAUGGGACAGACGGUCAGUGGCACUAAAUUUUUCUUGCCUAAGAUUGAGCAAUUGGUCUAACUACUAAUCCCCCAGAUUUAAGAAUCUUUUGAUGAUAAUUUAUCACCUGCAGCUGUGCCGGAAGAUUCAAGUAGCACUGAAAAAUAUGAUAAUUUAAUUGAUAUGGACAGUUUCCAUAUCACUUUUAAAUCAUCUUAUGUAAUUGUAAUGUUAGGAAGCAUUAGUGAUCUAAAAGUGAACUAUUAUUGGUGUCAUUGGUGGUUUUAUCUUGUUAAAAUAUGGAUGACUUCCUGUUACUAUUUUAUUGUAGACAAUCUUAUUCAAUUAACAUAAGGUUUAAAACCAUUAUGUUUUAUGUAAAUCAAUCUAUUAAUUUUCAUGAUAUUUAACUGAGUUAAAACCAAGUGCACUCAAUAAAUGUCUUUUCCUUUAAAAAAACUACUACGCUUUGAUUUUAGUGCUUAAUAUUUCGUAACUACAGAUUAUCUAAUUGCGAGUUGCUGUCCAUAGCUGCUAAUUUGUAGUGAUUAUCUAAUUGACUGAGGUGACAAUAAUUCUUUUAUUUUCAAUAGCACAAUGUGGAAUUCAAUAAUUAAAUUCUCCUAUUUAAUUUGUUUCAAGUUAAAUUAUUAAUUACUUAAACUCUGUUUUAAGUCUUUAAUUUUAUGUGUUUAUGCAGAAUUGGAUUCUUGAGCGUGUUGGACACGACCAACAAUGAAAUUGAUAGUAAACAAACAUUACAACGUGUGGACUCCGGUAAGCACCAAUGAAUGUCUAGCCCCGUUGACUCCGCCAACUAAAGUUUUGUAAAAUUAAAAAAAAAAAUACAUAGAAUUCCACCAAAUGCAAAACGCGUGAAAUUUAAUUUUCGACCGUGUGGACCAAAACAUAAUUUAACAAAAAAGGAAAAAAUGAUAAGAUUUUUAAAAUGUGUGGAAGGUGAUCCAUAUUUUACUGAAACGACUUGUUAAAUUUUUCAAGGAUUUAGAAUAUUUGGUCAUAAAUUACGUGCAUGUUAAUUUUUCCGCCAUUGACUAUCAUAUUCUAGACUUAAUGGUACCUUUCUUGAUGAAGGGUACUUAGUCUCUCUUCUCCUCUUAUAAAAAUUAUAUUAAUUGAUUUCUUGUUAUAGUUAAUAGUCUUUAAGAACGGAUAGAUUUAUUGUUUUCAUGACCAAAUUAUGCAUGCCUAAGGUUGUAACUACUAAUAAAAUUAAUAUUUAAUGUUUAUGUUAAAAGAUAUAAGUUUUUAUGCAUUCAUUAAUUGUUAUUAGCUAAAGGAUGAAAUAUUUUUUCCCAAUCAGUUGAUGCAUCUGCAAGAGUUUUUUUUUUUCUUUUAUUGACCAUAAUUAUAUUCCGGGUACAAUAAAUUGUCUUUGGUGCUUGGAAAAUAUGACACCUCUCUGUCAACUUACUGGAAAUAUCUCCUCAUCUACUCUCAUUUAUCUAAUAUGAAUUGAAGAUCUCAUAUUUCCAAACUAUGACUUCCAAAUCUCAUUAUCAUUUGAGCAUUCAAAACUAAUCAAGUGUGGAAAUAAUCAAAUAUAUGCAAAAAUCGAGUCACAAUCUUUGGCCCCUCAAAAUUCUAAUUAUAUAACUUCUAUAUAUCUCAUACAUUUUCCAAAUUCCUCUUCCAUGAACAUCACUAGGAGUAUGUUCAUCUCUCACACAUUAACUUGAGUGAAGAGUUUCCAAAUUGAUUAUUAGAAAACAAUACAAAAGCUAGACACGUUUGAUCUGUCUAAUAAUUCUCUUUCGGUAAAAUUAAUUAAUUUUAGGGGAAUUCAGCCAACCUCUGUAAUUUCAGAGUGAUCAUUAAUUAAUUAAACAAUACAAAUAUCUAAAGUGAUUAGAUGUUUGCCGACAAUACAAGUUCAUGGCUUGAAAUUUGAUCUCUAUCAAUUGGUUUACAAAUGGACUCACUUGUGCCUUUGUGGUGAUAAUUGAACCAGAGAUGUGAAGCUGUAAGGAUUUGGCUGUAGUCAAUUGUUAUAAAGACAUAAAGACAACUUCCCAUGAUUAUUAUUUUUUUCCAAGAACUAUUUUACAACAAAUUCAUCUCGCCAAAAAUUCUAUUUUGCUAACUAACAAUAAUUGAGCACUUGACCGCAUUGACUCCACGUCUCCAGCUACUUUCUAAGUAAAAACAUGGAAAUGUAAUCUCCACAAAAUGCCAAACGUGUGGAAUUUAAUUUUUGGCCUUGUGGACCAAAAUGCAAAUGAAAGAAAAAGAGGGAAAAAAACAAGGCUCAAAGACUUCUAAAAGAUGUAAAAGUCUUUGGGCUUUUUUAUAAUGGUGGAUUUUUUAAAAGGAAAAAAUAACAACACUUCUAUGGUUUGUUUUAAUAAUCACAUUUACAUAUAUUCUCUAAUUUUCAAAAUGGACACAUAAAUCUUUUUUUUUCUACAAAUGUAUAUUAUUCGUAUUUUUUAUUAUUUUUAAUAUCAUAUUGUUAUUUAUUAUAAAUGUUUAAAGUAAAUUUUUAGGUUGAAAUAUAAUAAAAAGGUAUAAUCGUUCUCAUAUUAAACACCCAUACUUUUAGUUUCUAUCCAUUUGUCAUUUCAAUCUCCCUCAAUUAUUCUUUAUUGCUAGCUCAAAACGCAUCGCUGUUGAAAAUUAUAGCAAAAUGACAAAUAUGGAAAAAAAGGGAAGAAAAUUAAUGCAUGAAAGACUUGGAGAAAACAACCAAAUAAGUCAACUAUAAGCAAGCUGGGUGUAUAAAUUGUUAGAUGUGUUAUAAACAAAUACGUAUAAUGUUAAAGAUAUAGUUAGAAUGGGUGGUUCAAAAUCAAAAAUGGUGAUAAUGUUUGUUCUGCUCUUAAUAAUAUUUGAAGGUGGGUGGAGUGAGGGAUGUUUGAAUCAUGAGAGAUUUGCUCUUUUGCAACUUAAACUUUUCUUCACUGAUCCUCAUAAUUAUCUUCUCGAUUGGGUAGAUGAUGAGGGAGCUACUGAUUGUUGUCAGUGGGAAAGGGUUGAGUGCAGCAACACCACAGGUCGAGUGAUAAAACUUGACCUUGCUUUUACAAGGAAUAAUUAUUUGGAAGAGUACAGAGACUUUGUACACAAUCCGGGAGAGUAUCUGAAUGCUUCUUUGUUUACUCCCUUUCAACAACUUGAGUCACUUGAUUUAACUAACAACAACAUAGCCGGUUGUGUUGAGAAUGAAGGUGCUUCGUUUAAUUUAAUUAAUUUACUUUCUCCCCCCUAAUUUAAGUUGACUAUCAAGACCGAGCAAUUAGACGCAUAUUCAUUUAGUCGACAAUUUUCACUUUUUUUAAAUGAUUAAUUUUGAAAUUACACCAGUAUCUAUAAUCAUUUUUUUAUUUUACUUGCAGGUAUAGAGAGGCUAUCAAGAUUGAACAACUUGAAGAUGCUUAAUUUAAGUGAUAACUCGUUCAACAAUAGCAUUUUAUCAUCUCUAACCCGUCUUUCAUCAUUAAGAUCAUUAAAAUUAUCUGACAAUAGAUUGAAAGGAAGUAUUGACUUUAAAGGUACAUAAUUAAAACUUCAUCCCUUCUCCAAGCUCUUUCAUUAACUUGCUAAAAUAAGAUUCAAGGCUUUGAAUUCAAUUUUUUUAUGAUUAGUAUUAAAAAAAACAGUUUUAAGCAAUUUAUAAAUACAAGUUUUAAUGGUUAUCGUAAUUUCAUCUUGUAAUUUCAUGUCUUGAAUUUAAGAUUAAAAAAAUAACACUAACAGCGAACCAAACACCUCCACAACUUAUUAUUAUUAUUAUUAUUAUUAUUAUUAUUAUUAUUAUUAUUAUUAUUAUUAUUUUAAUUUGUUGUGAGGUUUGAAACAUUCAACUCAAUUUGUACUUACUACAGAAUUUGAUUCUUUGAGAGAUUUAGAGGAGCUAGACAUUGGCUGGAACAAGAUUGACAAAUUUGUGGUCUCAAAAGGUACUACAAAUACCAUAUAAAAAUGCUAACUUAUACAAAUUAGUUGGAUUCUUUGCCAUUUGGUUUAUUAUUUUACAGGUUUGAGUAAGUUGAAGUCUCUCGGUUUAAGUGGUAUCAAACUCAACCGUAGCAUCUUAUCUUCUCUUUCUUCAUUAAGAGAAUUAGAUAUAAGUGAUACGGGAUUCAAAGGAACAUUCGAUGUUCGAGGUAAGCCUAAGCCUUGCUUUCUCAUUUUAUAUAUGCCAACUAGAUUUGUGUAUCAUCGACAUAAUUUAAUAGUUAAUUUGAUAAGUCUGAAGGAAUUACAUGCUAAUUUAAACAUACUUUUAUUUACUUUGUCAAUUAAUUAAUUUAUUAAUUACUAUUUGGCUUGGUUUGGACGAAAUUCUCAUGAUGUUUUAAUUUCUUUAAAUUAAUUAAUUAAUUAACUCUGUUUUUAAGUCUUAAGUCUGGGCAUGUUUGCAGAAUUUGAUUCCUUCAAUAACUUAGAAGAAAAAUAGAAAAAGUCGAGCAAGAGACUCUCGCCCUAUUUUAAGAUGAGAGUAGCGAUCACUUACCUGAUCUACGACCUACUAUCUACGCGUACCAGCCUUCCUUUGUUUUGCAUCACGAGAUGGACUCUUCGCCCAUCCCCUAAGGUCUUUCAAAUUAUACCUAAUUGGGGAGAGGACCCACCAGGAGUCCAACUCCAGAUUGGUGGCUAAUGGGCCUCGCGUAUCCUGCCUUUUCGUAGAAUGCAACGCUUAUACGUUCACUGAGGAAUGAAAUCCUAUCUUUUAUCCGAGCUAGGGAUCAGAAAGCAAGAAGGUGGGGGUCAGAAAUGAGUAGCGUAGGUGAUACCGAUAGGGUGGUUGGAUACGCGACAGCAACGGCAAGGCACUCUUGACCCCGUCCGUAGAGGGUCGGUACGAAUGAGACUGUGCUAGAGAUCGCAGUGAGCAAGUAUGCCUUGUUGACUGGGUGUUGGUUUUGAAACAAGGAUGAGUCCCUCAGGGAGUCCGUCCAAGCUUCAGCUACUAAUGCCUGGGCUAACUUCUUGGGGGUGAACAAAGUGCUCUGAGUCUGAGAUCGAUACUGGUUAACGCCACAAGUGCUCUGCCAUUGGUCUACACACAGAGUCAUCAGGUAAAGUCAGAGCUUGGACUGGGAAUGAGAUCAGAAGAGGCUAGGCUACUAGGGAAGAUAGAAGCGAUCCACAAAUCAAACCACUAUCCCAUUGGCCGCUUCAUGCGCCGAACACUCUUAAUAAGAAGCUUUAUUUUAUAAGGUAUGUGUCUAUGCUCUCGAUACACGGCUUGAGAAGGCGGCUCCUUUUUAUUCUUCCUAUAGGAGCUACUCCUGAUUCAGUCAAUCAGAACAAGCCUUCGGACCUACCAACCAAUCAAACUAGCUUGAUGCGGAGGCAAAUACCCAGGGAUACUAUAGCUCAACACACGCCUGGCCGGGGGGAAGGAAGCCCUCGAAGCGAGCUCCGUACCAAAUAGCUGUGGAGAGAGAGAAGCCAAACUCUACCGCACUGAAGAGCGAGAUAAAUAACUGACAUCCUUGGUUGAUGAUCCUCGUCGGUGGAAGGGAAAGCGCGAUGAAAGGCAAGUCGGUAGUAGGUCCAAUGGAGAGAGGAAUUGAGAAGAGAUAGGGUCCGCUUUCUAGGCUGACGUUGGACAGCUGUUGGAUAGCCCCGACCUACACAAGUGGUUUUAGAAUGAACUCACAUUUUGAAAUGUUCUGUUAGGUUCUUAGUAGCAGUCGGCGAUCUUUUCUUCUUUUACUUCACAUAGCUUUUCGUCUCCUUGAUAGCUGGAAGUUCUCCAAAAGUAUGAAAAGCUGGAGGACUUUGUACCAUCCAUUCCGGUGUGGUUGGAUUCUGUUCAACAGCCCAAGGACUUGGAGCACAUCUUUUGUUAUUUCCACUGCUUGAAGUGAUUGUUACGACCACGAAGAAACGACGAAUCCCAACUACGGAUAUAUAAGAGCCAAAACUGCUAAGGGCAUUCCAUCCAGCGUAAGCAUCUGGAUAAUCUGGAAUGCGACGUGGCAUACCCGAAAGCCCUAAGAAAUGCAUGGGAAAGAAGGUCAGAUUAACCCCGAAAAAAGUGAUCCAAAAAUGGAUUUGCCCUAAAGUUUCAGGGUAUGUCCGACCAAAGAUUUUACCACCCAAUAGUGAAAUCCUGCAAAUAAAGCAAAAACGGCUCCCAUAGAAAGUACAUAAUGGAAAUGUGCAACCACAUAAUAAGUAUCAUGUAGAGCAAUGUCUAGCCCAGAAUUUGCCGGGACUAUUCCAGUGAGUCCUCCUAUAGUGAACAAAAAGAUGAACCCUACAGCAAAUAACAUGGGUGUUUUGUAUUGUAUCGAACCCCCCCACAUGGUAGCGAUCCAACUAAAGAUUUUGAUUCCAGUGGGGACAGCUAUGAUCAUGGUAGCUGCGGUGAAGUAGGCACGGGUAUCAACGUCUAAGCCCACAGUAAACAUAUGAUGAGCCCAAACAAGAAAUCCAAGAACACCUAUACUGAUCAUGGCAUAAACCAUGCCUAGAUACCCGAAGACCGGUUUUCCCGAAAAAGUCGAAACGAUAUGACUUAUGAUACCGGAUCCAGGCAGAAUGGGAAUAUACACCUCUGGAUGACCGAAAAACCAAAAGAGAUGCUGGUAUAAUAUGGGGUCUCCCCCUCCAGCGGGAUCAGAAAAGGUUGUAUUAAAGUUUCGAUCGGUUAAUAACAUGGUAAUUGCCCCCGCCAGUACCAGAAGUGAUAAUAAAAGUGGGAAUGCUGUCACUAGAACGGACCACACAAAUAGGGGUGAUCUAUGCAUAGUCAUUCCAGGUCCACGCAUGUUGGAGAUUGUUGUUAUAAAAUUGAUAGAACCUAAAAUGGAUGAAACACCAGAUAGAUGAAGACUAGAAAUUGCUGAAUCAACUGCUCCUCCAGAAUGGCUGGUAAUACCACUUAAGGGCGGAUAGACCGUCCACCCAGUGCCGCUACCCACUUCUACUAAGGCUGAGCUUAAUAGGAGCAAGAGACUUGGUGGCAACAACCAGAAUGAAAUAUUAUUUAAUCGUGGAAAUGCCAUGUCAGGUGCACCUAUCAGAAUCGGAACAGACCAAUUACCAGAUCCACCUAUCAUCGCCGGCAUAACCAUAAAAAAGAUCAUUAAAAAAGCGUGAGCCGUUAUUAAAACAUUAUAAAGUUGAUGAUUCCCACCAAGAAUUUGAUCGCCGGGAUGUGCUAAUUCCAUACGAAUCAAUACUGAGAAGCAUGUGCCCAUCACUCCAGCAAUGGCACCGAAGAUGAAAUAGAGAGUCCCUAUAUCCUUGUGGUUAGUGGAGAACAGCCAUCGAACCGGAUUUGUCAUAAAAUUGAGAUUCUUUCGUUUCCUUCCUUAUCAGAGAGGGGCCCCUUAGGGAGCGGGGCUUCUUUAUUGAAAAAGGGGGAGUGAGGGGGGAAGGAGCGAAGCGAAAGCGGGGGGGUCCGGAAAGCCCUUACUUUAUUGAUGGGACAUUUUGAUCCCCUUUUCCUCUCACCCCCCGUUCUGGUUCAGGAUUCAGGAAAGGGUCAACGCAAGGAUCUUACUUCGAAGCAAUCUCUGGAGUUUUCCCUUAUCCGAACGGGUCUUGCAAGAAAAUAGGAUUUCAUAUUGAGCUCCAAAUAUACGCUAUUGGGAUAGGAUGGCUCCUACUAUAUCUCCCCCCCCCCUAAGAACCGCACGUGCGAGUUCCCCUGCAUACGGCUCAAGUGGCGAAGGCACUUUCCUUCGCGCUUGAUAAGCGCUUCGCUGUAGCCAAGCUUACUGCUAGCCUAUCGGCUAGAGCCAAGCUUCGACCCCGACUGCUCGUCGCUUCUGGCCGCCUUAUUCCGUCACCCGAGAUCCAAGUCAGCACCGGAAAAAAGAUCUUGAUUCCUCGCGGCCGGGCCGGCUUGGAAGCAAGCUACUUGUCGCCUAUCUCACCCCCUUUCUUAUUAUUAGUAAGAUAGGGUGCCCCUUUCUCUAAUAAUAAGGUAAGCUUCUCUGAAUUCCGCUGGGUGAGCCUUCGCUUUUUGGAUCGUCUUCUGCCCAAUGCGGUACCCUCCCGUUUGUUUUUAGGUUCCCAUUGGGUUUACCUUGUUUACAGGUCGAUCCCAUGGCAGCAAGAAAAGGUGAUCUUGUGCUAUACUCCGGUGAUCUCUUUCCUACCGAGGCACGCAAACUCCCAUCGUGUCCCAGAUCAUAUUUCGUGAAUCGAAAGGGGAAGCCUCCUCAUCCAUCAGCUCCUCUCGUAGAUCAGUGCGGUUUUACGAAGCGUCUAAGCACAGUUCACUCGCGUUGAUCAAUCAAGAGCUUUGCCGCCACUCCUUAAGGUUACCUGUUGUAUCAUACACUUCUUGCAUUCUUUCCCACGCUUCAUACCCCCCUCUAGCUUCCGCACGGAGCGGUAAGGUAAAGGGCCAGGCAUGGUGGGGUCGGAGCAUCCUGUCAGCAAUCUUUUUGGCUUGACCAAGAAGUCUUAUGUCCUCCGAGUCGCGCGGCGUUUUAACCGAAAGAACUUCUUGCGCAAUUCAUGCCUUUCUGUUUUUAUGACCAGAAAUUUUUUCUUGAUUUCCAUUUCAAAUUGUUCUCUGGACUUUUUAUCAAUAUGAGGUGAUCGUAACACAGUAUAUAAGACUCGUGAUUCAGGCAAUCCAAUCUUUCGUGUGUAAGGCGGAAGAGCCUGGUUUUCCAAAAAUGGGUGAUCAAAAGAUCGAAUCACUAUGCGUAUCUUGGUGGUCGUUACUUUUGGUGGUCUUUCUUUUCUUUUUGGCUGACUCCUCCUACUCCUCCUUCUCUUAUCCUCUAUAUAGCUCGUCGUUGGUCCUUUUUUUUUACAUAACAUUCUCAGCCGCUCAAGAGUCAAGAGACUGACUAUCUCUCUCUUUACGCAAUUUCAAAAAUGAAGUAGCAGAGUGACUACUGAUUUUGGACGCGCUGAGUUAUUUAAGCAAAGCCUUUUUUGAUCUUGUUAUUCUAAAUUAUUUUAUUGUCUUUGCUCAACUUCGUCGAGCCUUGUACCCAGGUACACGGAACACUAACAGAAUCUCUGUUCAAACAAAAACGACAAGCAAACCCGAAAACUAAAGGGUCACCUUCUCUAGCAAGCAAGUAGACUUUUCUCUGAGCCCCAGGGUAGCAAAGCUAGCUCUUCGUAUCAUUGGCAUUGGGCAGGUGAACGGGAACCUGGCUACACAACUACUCUUACUCUAGCAGAGGAUCUAGUUCCACACCAAUCUGCUUAUCUUAUAUAAGAUAAAAUAGAUAAACUUAGCGUACCUACAACCGCUUGUGCCCUCUUGCUUUAGCUACUUACUCGGGAACUAGCUUCGCACCUCACCCCGGGAACUCAAGGGUGCGUAGCUUGCUUGUUGAAGGGGUGUUUCCGUUCCUCCGUUGUGGGAUAGUUUUUCCCUAGUUCGGUCCUAUAAGAAGAGUUCUCUAGAUAUCAACUCAUGGUACUCCCCGGGCCCCUAACAACAAAACUCAUAGGUUAGCUACAGCAGUUCUAGCAUCAGCUUCUCGAGGGCCUAAAAGAACCUCUUUCGUCAUUCGAAAGUGGCAUUUUAGCUCCUUUUCGUGAAACAGAUCGGAGAUCAGGUCUUAUCGAUUCAUACGAUUUUCAUACGUCUUUUUCCCACAUUAAUAAACCCCUUUUUUCUUUAACACGCUAGUGCCCAGAUCUUCUUCUUUUGUCUUUGAGCCUGCCUUUAGGUAGCGGCAUGGAAGUCCCCCUUCUUCUCAAGCAGGAAGCCCGCGUAUUCUUAUUCUAAUGUCCAUUGGAGCUUCUCUUUUCUUCCCGCUAUCUGGCUGUUCUAUUUAGACGUCUGUUCCCCAGUCUUACUUUCUCAUGCCCGCUUUCGCUUCACUCCUUUCUACUUCUGUUACAGUAGCUAUAGUUGUAAUGGCGGUUAUGCAGGUCCCCUUCUCAUUGAGUAGCCUAUACUCUGGAAUUGAAGUAGCGAAAUCGGCCUUAGCAUAGAACGUUUACCGCUUGCCUUACUAUUACUAAUAAUCGGGAAUCAGAACAGGCAACUAUGAGACUAAUUUAUCAUUGCCCCGAGCAAGUUACUGCGUACCUGAAGUGAGUGUGCCCAUCUUGGUCUCCUUUCUUUUUUCUUUGCAGCUGCCAUAAAAGUAAAGCCUUAGAUUCUAACAGGAAUCUCACCGCCUGCUCCCCUUAUAAUUAUAAGAUACUCGCUACUAAGGUUCUGAAAGAAGGCAGCUAAAUCAGCAAUAGAAGAGAACUCCAGAUCUAUGAAUAGCCAACAAAGAGCCUAGCUUUAUUACUGGAACUAAACAGCAAGCUGCUCCUACCUUACUUAUCGAGAAGGAGUACUUGGACUGAGUAGACUUCUUGUAGUUCUCUUUCCCCUAGCAACCUUUCCUGCUUUCCCGGUUGCAAGGUUUCGAGCUAACUACAGGAUUUGCUUCCUAGCUAAUAAUACUAAUUAGUAGUAUUGAACUUCGAACUAAAGAUUUUUUUUAGUUAACGGGCAGGUAAGGGCAAUGAAGGAAGCCGUUAGGCUUGAGACGAAACGGAUUCUAUGGAUUGAGUCUGGCAGUGAUGUUAGUUAAGUCCACUACCUGGGGCUUGUCUUGCUUGAGAACCCGUUUGGAACAAUCUGGAUUUUCCCCUUGUGAGUCACUCGAAUUCUUCUAUUUAUCAUUCUUUCAUGAAUAGAAAGAGAAAGAUCUCCGCUUCGUCUUUCUUCCAAGAAAAGAUCCCAAGCCAUUGAUAUUGGUCAUGCGUGGGCUUUCACUCAAUCUUUCACUAUGAUAUGAAAGGCAAGCAGGAAUUUCACCACUAAUGGGCCAGCGCUUGGCGCUUACUCUAGCCCGUGUUUCUAGGAUACACCUAUUAAUUAUAUAUAAUAGUUUCCCCGAUAUUCGUGGCUUUCCCCUUACUUAUUACUUAUAAGUAGAUCGGUUGAGAUAAGUAGAUUGGUUGAGGCCCGACCCUUUCCUUUGGGGUUGCCGACCUUGAUGCCAUAGUGUUUAGGGGGCUGAGCGGGAAACCAACACGUUGUGGAAACGGAAUAGAGCUUUUCCCUUGAUGGAUGUUAUCCAAUAAAAGCACACAAUCAGUGAGAUGAGCCUGCCAGCUCAGCCUUGGCCCUAUGCCUUUUGGCCAGCUUGACUUCUGACCGGUCGAUCCCGCCCCCUCUUGCAACGAUUCGGCGCCUCCACUUGAUGCUUGACGCCCACGCUUCGUUCAGGCAGCGCUCCUCGGAUAUGUCUUGCCAAUCGCCAGAGCGGUGCCACUUCCAGGAUUUGGUGCGGCCAGCUCGGGAACCUUCCCUGGAGUGAAAGGGUACAUGGAUCGGUUCCUCCACCAGAGGUCAGCUGAAGCGGAUUGGUCAAAAAGAAAUUUUCUGGCUUUGCCUCAUACCCGGUAUAACUACCAUUUUUACUUUGAUAUGCUUCUUACUUCCUUACAAAGUUGCAAGGAUCCCUUCUUGCAUUCCCUCCUUAUUCAAAAGGAAUUUAUUCGAAUAUCUAGUUGAUAAAUGUUCAUGAGCACGGGGUUGCCUUGCCUGAGACCUCUACUACUGCCGUGGAGGGUAAUUGAUAACAAUGGAAUAUUUUAGGUUAGUAAUGCAGACCCUUAUCCAUUCGAUCCACUUCUGAGGGAAUCACAUAGCCAGCAUGGCAGCUUCCCGGAAUCCCCAGUCAACACUGUCGAACGCUUUCCUCAGGUAAAUUUGCACACACAUCCUGGCUUUCCCUUGCGGAAGGUGGAAUUUUUUUAGCAUAUCGUGACAAAGCAAGAUGUUAUCCUGGAUGCAUCGCCUUUGUUGUUUAUACCUAGCAGGAGCAGCAAAGACGAAGGCUGAAGCAUCACUAGAGGUAUCUAUUGAGCUUUCUCCUCUUUUUGCAUUAGCCCAGUCACUUCCUUUAUGGAAUGGGUUCACCAGCACGCGGAGGUAAGUAGUUUACUGACUCAGUUCUUUUACUAAAAAAGGAGAAGGGAAGGGGGUGCUAUGAAUAGAAAUUUUGAAUUGCAUAUGCUCUCGAUCGACCUAGGCCUAAAAGGAAUCCGGCUACUCAAUCGCCAGAGAUAGAAAUAAAAGAUCUAAGCUUGCUUUAAUCAUUCGAAAGCGAUGCUCAUUCCAGGGUUUCAAGGCUUGGAAAUAGAUCUUAUUUAAGACAAAAAGAAGUGAGCAUAACCAUCUUCAAGCUCCACCCCGGGAUUUUAGGUGUGAACUCACUUUAGGGAAAUGAGGCUUAUAACCAAUCGAUUCUUCACCCACGUAAGCUCGCCCUGUCACCCUCGCUCUGGUUCGAGAAUCAUGUCACCCUCGCUUUCCGCUUCUGGAAGAUCAAUGACUAAUAGAUAAAGGGCUGUGGAACUAUAGACAAUAGGCGGUAACCUCUCUUGAUCCGCGAGUAGAGCACUUGAACUACUCAGAAAGAGCUGGUUGGCUCAAUUCAAAUAGAAAGAAAAAUAGACACCCAUCUUCUUGGCGAGCUAAUCAGGAGACAUACAAAACCAGCAAUCCAAGUUUUGAAGGGAGGCGGCUGCCUGCAGUCACUAAAGGAAGGGGCUUGGUGGUCUUAUUUUAUUAUCUAUAAAAGAUAGCAUCUCUUCCUGCUGUUCGAAUCAAAACGAUUAGGGACAACCGCUCGCUUCGAGGCAGGUUAAAAAGCAUAGGCCAUAGCUUCUACCUCUCCUGGAUCAUUAUGCUCAUCUGGAAGCGGUUUUUGCUAGGAUGAAUGCUACUUCUAUGUAUUUCCCAUCGCAUUUUCAUAAGGUUUCAUAUCCUUCUUUUUCAAUCUUUUAAUGAUGCUUGCCAAUUCUAAUCCAGGGGAGCACUUAGAUCGCAGAUUUUCGCAAAACGACCUCGCGUAGCCAGUUCAGGUAUAAAUUUGAAUAGGUUUACCAAAAGUUUUCCCUAUUUUGAGAAGAACUUCACUGUCGAAGUACUCAAUAGGGAGCUCAGGUAAACGGAUCCAAAGCGCAGUUUUAGUGACCGUUGCCAAGGAAGGCCUAAAAUCAGGGUGCUUCGAAAAGUGAGAUAAUGGUUUGCUAUCAUCCAAGGUCCCCCAGUAAGAGCUCUUUUGUAAUCCUCCCCAUCAGUUAAGGAUGGUCGUGGCCCAGGUCAAUGAAGUCAACUCCCCACUUGGUCUCCACAUUUUAAAAAUUUUCUCAUGGAUAAAUUUGUACUAAACUUUCUUACCCAGAACCUUAACUAUAAGAAAGAGACUUCCUCCAUGGUUGAAAAAUUCUCCUUUUCUUUUAGUUUCCCCAUUACCAUUAAUGUUGAUCACAAGGGGACAAUUCGAAGGGCCCUGGUUAUGGAUUUGCUGCUGCUGCUCAUCUUCUUCCUACUCGUCUGAUUUAAAGCCUUCAGACUCCGGUUCCGAGAUCUCAAGAUAGUAUGAGCCCUUGUGCUGUACCUGCAUGAGAACGAACAUCACGAAAGGACAGUGGUUGAUUACCGUCUUCCUUUGAUCGCUUCCAUGGUCCGGGACUCUUCCCAAGGUCCGGAGGUAGCUCACAAAGGUCGCCAUUAACUGUUUCAGUCGUCACAGAGGUCGCCAUUCCUUAGCCCCUCAUUGGUUGUUAGGCAUUUGUCACUUCUUCUAUUUCAUUUCCAUAGCGAUUCACUCAACAUAGAAAAGCAACUAGAGCAGAGCUCGUAUCCGGCCUAAAGCUCUUGAACUAUAGGAGGGGUCUAGCAUACUGAAACAUAAAUGUAGCUAUAAAGCCUUUUUGAGCAUCUUCCUUGCGAUCUCCUUAUCCUAUAUCAGAACACUUUUUCACUUUUUUUUGCUAUCACAAUAAAUUGCCAUAGAUCGAAAGUGAGUCCAGGCUUAGUGCUUCCGCCUAUCCGGCAGCCGUUACCAGCUGUUCACCACUCCUCCCUUCUAUGCUCCGUGGGUCUUUUGUUACCUAAUUCCCUUAAACACGGAAUUGCUCCUAGUCUUUACCCAAGAGAUGUCCCUGAGACUCAAUAAGAAAAUUGUCUCUUUGCUUAGCUUAAGCACAAGAUUCGACAGUUGUGAUUCCGUCUUGGAUUGAGCUUUCUCACUCUUUCUAUGCCUCUUCCUGAAGUGAACGAAUACAUCUCUUUCUGACGUGAAUGAACGCGAUUCUCUAAUAAGACCCAAUCUUAUUGAGUCAAGUAGAAGAUUCUUGUAGAAAUUUUUUUUGAUUGACUUACUCCAACAUCAAGGUGGAUUUAGCUUGGAUUAAUAGAGAUUAAUAGAACAGACGGGAACUAAACAGAUAGGAAUGCCCGACACAAUGCGGCUACUAGAAAAACGUAUAUUAGAUACACCAUUUCUUUGUCACGUGCAUAGCCCUGCUCCUUGUCUUUGAAAGUCCGUAGCAAUGGACACUAUAUAAUUCCUUGUCGCUCUCGUACGCACCAACCCUUGCCUUGUCUCUCGAACCCUUGCUUCUCUCUUGUGCUCCCUAGAGCUAAGUAAGCAAUUCUCUCUCCUCUCUAGCCGUGGCCGCUAGGAAUUGCUUUCGCUCUUCUCUCUCUGGGGUGCUGGUGGUCGAUAGUUGUAUGUAAUGUUGAGGAAAGAGAUUCGGAUGAAAGAGGUACGACGGGAUAUUCCUCCCCGGUUCGGAACUAAACGUUGAGCGGCGGAUCAAGUAAAAGCUGGCAAUCCUCCACCUAACAACUCCUCCUUUACAGUAUCAGCUGUUAAUAAGCUCUAAUAGACAACCAACCCCAUCUAUUCUUGAUAAACCGGGGCACCUUUCCUAUGUGUCAGUGCCAUUUUUCUCUAAGGCUUAAAGUGAAUCUGUCAUAGCUUGUUGCCAGCAGAGCUGGCCCACGGCUUCCGAAAAGGUUUGAGGUUCCCGCAUGAACACUGGCAAGAAAGGCACGAUCUUUGGGAGAAAACGAGUUAUAGGAUCCAUAGGAUUUUUCAUGCGAGAAGACCUACGUACCUCAGUAGAGGGUAGAUAGGAUCUGGAGACAAGGAAGAUGAUGUAGAGGUAGUAGGUUGGCCAGCCUGAUCCAUCUCAGAUGCCUUGCACUUUUUUAGCGCCUAGUGUAAACCGGAGUGGCAGGUCGGCUAGAAGGAGACGGCUCCUCAGUGGGACCAGAUGAAGAAAGCUCCCCUUACUAGUAAAGGGGGUCCGAGGUUCAGGAUAUGAAAUAAAGCAACUUGACGUAACAGAAAAAAGCGUAAACCGAGUUGAAUCAUAAAAUCAAGUUUCAUCCCCAACUGAGGAAAUGUAAUUGUUAAGGUCGGUAACCUGUGGCUACCUCAGGACUAUCUGACUACACUACUUGCGUUAAGGCGCUGAAGCCGGAGUUUUCUUGGUAGGGGUUAGCUUAUUCCCAGACGAACCAGCCCAGUAAGAGAGAUUCCCCCAGACACCAAUACCUGCGGGAACUAGUAGCCACACUACGGCGUAUGAGAAAUUCCCUGACGGCUUCCCUUAACCGUAGGCCACAGUUGCUUCCUUCGCUCUUGAAUCUAAAACCAUAUCUGGUUUCGCCUCCCCUUGGAGCGACCCUUCCGAAACAGCAUUCUAGCAACUUCGUUUUCAUCCAGCGUUCUCACCAACCAGUGAGCCGUCACAGAGUCUCCCGCUAACUCAUGCCAAACCCUUAUGAAGGUAUCCGACUUUUUCCAAUUCUUUGUGACUUCAUCAGUCUAGCAAUAGCAGCAUGCCAGUAUUUUGCCCUAACUACGAAGCUUGAGUCAUGUCUUCGCCCGUGAACGCAACAGGACGCGGUCGUCUAACUCGACUUCCGCAGCGAGUCUCAUUGCAGCUCUCUCCUGCAGUAGUGAAUUUUUUUUUAUUUUACUUCAAAGAUUUUUUUUCUCACAAGAUGCUUGUUUUGCAGAGGGGUGAAAGUUUUGAAGAAAUAGAAGAAGAAAGAAAGAGUAGUAGCCAUGAUCGAUUUCCUCUGCGCAGGAGCUUGGGAUUUGAGAGUAAGCAUGACUCUGAGAAGAUCUCUGAUUGUGAUCAAUUGGGUCUCACUCAAAUCUUGGUAAUAACGAAUGACUUGCUUGAUUUCUCUGCAUCGGCUCGUGAAAUCUUGGAUGAUCUUAUCAAGUUCAAUUGAACUAAGAAUGUCGAUUGCUCUGUCGUAAUAGUUUGUGGUCACUCCAAAGCUUCCAUGGCGGAAUCAGUACCCCCCUCCACUGAACUACGGAUGCCUGUACGCAACCCCAUGAAGCAACCGAAGAUCCAUUGAUCGCUUUUUCGACACCCGUAAUUUUCCUGUAAAAGAAAGAAAAUCCCGGAAACUCAGAUUCUUCAUUGUUGAAAAAUCUUAUAAAAAUAAGUAAUUUAGGAAUUUUCAUUACUGGGAACACGUCGCUAGCCUAAGGCGGGCUUCGCUAUCCUCCCGAAGCUGGUAUUUUCCAAUGUAAUGGUUUUUGACCACUCACUUAUAUGAGUACAAGGGGCUUGACUAUAUUUUUUUUACUUUAUGUAAUUAAGUUUAGCUGGAGGGUCCAUCUAGCCACCCUAAUUAACCCGGUUGAGGAUAACACAUUAUUAAAUCCGAAUGAUGAUUUCAUAAUCAAUCAUAGAGGUGUGAAAUGGCGUCUUUUCAGAAGUCAGAUAGCCCUUGAAGGUGUUAGCGCACACCCUUUUUCUAUCAUAUAAAUUUAGCUCCGAAGGCAACCCGUCGCGUCCUCGUCACGGCGUUAGCAGCCAUUGACGAUUAUUGAAGACUAAGCUAGUUGGCCUAGAAUGGAGCGCAUACUACUUCUUUGAAAUCGCGAACAUCUUACUCUUACCUUUCUUCUUAGUCUGAUCCGGGAGUGUUGGACAUGAGGUACAAUGAAAUCGACAAUCUUGUGGUUCCUCAAGGUAAACAAUUAAAAUAUUAUUCAAUUACAUUAUUUUAAUUCAUUUGAUUAGGGAAGGCCAAAAAGGUCCAAAAUAAUAAUAAUAAUAAUAAAGAAACAAAUAAUUUGUAUUAUUUAAAAAACAGAAUGUAAUAAAGAUUUGAUUCCAGUUCUUUAAUCUUUAAAGCGAUUGAAAAACAAUGUUGGACUUUUCCCAAAGCAUAAAAUACGAAUUGAAUGCCAAUUAACUUAAUCAUUCAUUUCGUUUAGCUCUAAAUUUAGACAAUGAAUUUUUAUAUUAUUUCAAAAACAGGACGUAAUAGAAUUUUUUUUAAAAACAGAUUGUAAUAAAGAUUUUAUUCCAAUUCUUUAAUCUUUACUGCGAUUGAAAAACGAUACUACUUCCCAAAGCAUAAAAUACGAAUUGACUCCCAAUUAAAUUAAUCAUUUAUUUUGUUUAGGUCUAAAUUUUAGAGGAAUGAAUUUUGAUUCUCUUCAAUCUUUUCUUAAUUAUUAUUAAUAAACAGGUUACAGAGGUUUGAGGAAGCUGAAAAGCCUUGAUCUAUCGGGAGUUGAAAUUAGAGAUGGAAGCAAGUUGUUACAGUCAAUGGGAUCAUUCCCAUCCCUCAACACUCUUUACCUGAAGGAUAAUAAUUUUACCGAUAUAGCGACAACUACUACUCAAGGUAAGUAAAAGGUACAGAUGUGGCCAAAUUUAUAAAUAAAUUGUUAAUUAAUUAAUUUUUCCAUAUUAUUAAUUAAGCUAAAUUUGCUAAAUAUAAACAAACAGAGUUGGACAAUUUCACCAACAUGGAAUAUUUGAGAUUGGACUUUUCCUCUCUCCAUAUAAGCCUUCUGCAAAGCAUUGCAUCAUUAUUCCCUUCGUUAAAAAAUCUGUCGAUGUCUUUCUGUGAAGUCAAUGGUGUCGUACGCGGUCAAGGUAAAAGAAAAGUGUUGAUUGUGAACUCACUCACUGGUGUCCUAUGUGUUCAACAUUUUUAUUUAUUUAUUUUAUUGUUUAAUGUUUCUGCUAGGUUUUCCUUAUUUCAAGAGUUUGGAACAUUUUGACAUGGAUGACACGCCCAUUGCACUCAACACCAGUUUUCUUCAAAUCAUUGGUGUAUCGAUGCCUUCUCUUAAGUACUUAUCACUGUCAGAUUCUACUCUUGGCACUAACAGCAGCAGGAUUCUUGAUCAAGGUUAAUCAGAUGCUCCCACCCUCCCUUCUUAAUCUAUAAUAUUAAUUUUCAAUUAAAUAUUUAAUUACACAAACGAAUCACUUAUUAUAAAAGAAUAAUACUCAUUCAUUAAUUUUUAUAUUGUAUUAAUAAUUGAUGAAUUUAAUAAAUUUUUAGGCCUCUGUUCGUUGAUGCAUCUGCAAGAGUUGUACAUUUAUAAUAAUGAUUUGAGAGGCAGCUUGCCUUGGUGCUUGGCAAAUAUGACAUCCCUCCGAAUAUUAGAUGUUUCUUCCAAUCAACUUACUGGAAGCAUCUCCUCAUCUCCCCUCGUUCAUUUGACAUCCAUUGAAGAGUUGUAUCUUUCAAACAAUCACUUCCAGAUCCCAAUUUCACUUGAACCACUUUUCAAUCAUUCAAGACUCAAGAUUUUUUAUGCUGACAACAACGAACUAAAUGCAGAAAUAACUCAGUCACAUUCUUUGACCGCCCCAAACUUCCAAUUAUCACAUCUCUCAUUGUCUUCCGGUUAUGAAGAUGGCGUCACAUUCCCCAAAUUCCUUGACCAUCAACAUGACCUGGAGUAUGUUGAUCUCUCACACAUAAAGAUGAAUGGAGAAUUUCCAACUUGGUUGUUGGAAAACAACACAAAGUUGAGACAACUUUCUCUCGUCAAUGAUUCUCUUGCAGGACCUUUUCGGUUGCCAAUUCAUUCACACAAAUGGUUAAGAAUGUUGGAUAUAUCCAACAACAACUUCCGAGGCCACAUUCCAGUAGAAAUUGGAGAUGUUUUACCAAGUUUAUACGUUUUCAACAAUUCCAUGAAUGCUUUAGAUGGUAGCAUUCCCUCUUCAUUUGGUAAUAUGAAAUUCCUCCAAAUUCUGGACUUAUCCAACAAUCACUUGACUGGUGAAAUCCCCGAGCACUUGGCCGUCGGUUGCGUCAACUUGAAGUCUAUUGCAUUGUCAAAUAACAACCUACAAGGUCACAUGUUCUCUAGAAAUUUUAACUUGACAAACUUGAAAUGGUUACAAUUGGAGGGCAAUCGCUUCGUAGGUGAGAUCCCACAAAGUUUGUCUAAAUGCUCCUCACUAGAAGGAUUGUAUCUUAAUAAUAAUAGUCUUUCGGGUAAGAUUCCACGAUGGUUGGGUAAUCUCACAUGGUUACAACAUAUUAUAAUGCCCAAUAAUCAUCUUGAAGGCCCUAUUCCAGUGGAGUUUUGUCAGCUUGAUUGGCUUCAGAUUUUGGACAUUUCAGACAACAACAUAUCUGGAAGUUUACCAUCUUGUUUCCAUCCUCUCUAUAUCAAACAAGUUCAUCUUUCAAAAAAUAUGUUACAUGGACAGCUAAAAAGAGGUACAUUCUUUAAUUGCUCUUCCCUUGUGACAUUAGAUCUUAGCUAUAACCGCUUGAAUGGCAGCAUUCCAGAUUGGGUUGAUGGGCUUUCUCAGUUAAGCCACCUUAUCUUAGGUCACAAUAAUCUUAAAGGUGAAGUGCCAGUUCAAUUGUGCGAAUUGAACCAACUACAAUUGUUAGAUCUUUCUAAUAAUAAUCUUCACGGUCCUAUUCCUCCUUGCUUUGAUAACACCACACUUCAUGAAAGUUACAGCAAUAGUUCUAGUCUUGAUGAGCAAUUUGAAAUAUCUUUUUCCAUCAACGGCCCUCAGGGAGGUGUAGAAAAGCAAAUCCGUGAAAAUUUUGAGUUCACAACAAAGAACAUUGCGUACAUUUACCAAGGAAAAGUGCUUAGUCUCCUAUCAGGACUUGAUCUUUCUUGCAACAAGCUAAUUGGUCAUAUUCCCCCUCAAAUUGGAAAUUUGACAAGGAUUCAAACAUUGAAUCUAUCACACAACAACUUGACAGGAUUGAUCCCAUCAACAUUUUCAAACUUGAAGCAAAUCGAAAGUUUGGAUCUUUCCUACAACAAAUUGAAUGGGAAAAUCCCUCAUCAACUUGUGGAGUUAAAGGAAUUAGCUGUUUUCAGUGUGGCAUACAAUAACUUAUCAGGCGAAAUUCCAGAAUGGAAAGCACAAUUUGCAACCUUCAACGAGAAUAGUUAUGAGGGAAAUACUUUUCUUUGUGGACUGCCAUUGCCCAUUUGCAGAUCACGAGCAACUAUGUCGGAGGCGUCAAUCGGCAAUGAACGAGAUGAUAAUUUAAUUGACACGGACAGUUUCUUUAUCACAUUUACAACAUCGUACGUAAUAGUGAUAUUUGGAAUUGUUAUUGUUUUAUAUGUAAAUUCUUAUUGGCGACGUAGAUGGUUUUACUUUGUUGAAAUGUGGAUAACUUCAUGUUAUUAUUUUGUUGUAGACAAUCUUAUUCCAACAAGAUUUUGUCAUUGAAAUUAAUUAGUAGCUUAAUUACGAUUCUUUAAGUACUAAUCAAGUUUGGUUAGGAAAUAAAUUUAUUUUUAUUUUUUAUUAAAAUUGUAGUAGUAUUUAGCGUUAUAUAGCUUCCAACUUCCAAGCACUUCACAUUUGUCUCCACACUUCCAAACCCAUAUCUAUCCACCAUAACUUAUACUUCCCUAUACUGUGCAGCAUACUUAAAUAAGAGAACCAUCUCCAAUUUUAAAAGCAGCCACUCUAUAACAUUCAUUUAGAAACUAUAUUCAGAAUAGUUUUAUAAUCAUACACAAGAAAUGAAACACCUAGAUGCACUUGAUCGCCUAUUUUACUUUAAAAAAUAAUGAUUAUGGUGCUAUCAUCAUCUUCUUCGCUAGCAACAUUAACACCAAAUCCAGCGAUGGACCCAGACAUUUUAUCAAGAAAGGUAUAUAUAUAAUAAAGUUGAAGCUUGACAAAAAAUUUAGGAAGAUUAAUGCCUCGCCACAACAAGGGGCAGCACAACAUCAAAGUAGAGAUGAAGCAAUAUUCUCAAAGCUAAAACUCUCAAAUCCACCCACCAGAAUUUCAUAUCUCCUCAACAAUUUUAAGAACUAAAGAUAAUUAGGAUCUAACAUUAGUUUUUUAUAUAUUAGUUUCAUAAUUUACAAAUCAAUGAAGAUGAAGAUUAUGCUAAUGAAUUCAAAUUAUACCAUACAUUCUCGAGAUGUUACCAAAAAUUUCUAAGUCAAUCCCACAUAUUUCAUAAUUUUAAGACUAGAAAAUUUCAUUAGUUAGAAGUUUCAUUACCUUCAAGUGGAAGAUGAAGAACAUUAUACAAUUGAUUCAGAUUAUAUCAUACACACUCCAAAUGCAACUAGAAAUUAACAAGUUCAUGCGCACAGAUUUCAUAACAUUAUGAAUGGAAAGUUUCACAAAGAGAAAUUCUAAAUUCAAUCUCUUGCAUCGAGGUAGUUUGAUUGAUUUGAGUUACUUUCUGAUCAAGCUAUUAAUAUAACAUUCAAGUCAGGGAGAAAGUAAAUUAAAACUGGGAAGAAAUAACAGUAAAAAUUUGUUGCUAAACAUGAUGUGUAUUUUUUUUUUAAGGCAAUUUGGAAACACAGUUGUUACUACAGAUAUUCUCCUCAACUUAGAGAUAAAUACAAAUAUUAAAAUGCAUAUGAUCGCACAUAGUACUUGGAGCUUAGUAAGAUUUCAUUAAGAGAAGCAAUCAAACCACUUAUCAAUUGUUGCAAUCGUUCUAUAAGCUAAAAUAGCAAUAUAAUACAAGAAAAAGAACAUAUAGAUACUUGGCAAGAGUUCAUUAAGAAGUCGCAUCACAUUCGGGUGAGGAGUUUGCUUCUGAUAUCUUGCUAGCUGGGGCUUUUUCUUGUCUUUCUACGUAUGCCGAGGGAAACCAACCAGCUUGGCCCUUGCAUUCACCUUCCGACCAUCCAAUAGGAGCCACCUUGAGAAGUUAUAACUAAAACGGUGAAUUAAACAAAAGUUGACCGUUCAAAGACCUAAGGGGAAAACUAAUUCUUUUACGUAGGAGGAGUGAAUUAGUUGUGAUCACUGAAAUAACAGCUUAACUAUGGAAGCAUAACAAGAUAUAAAUUCACACGUCUAUAAGGGUAAACUGGGUGGUUUAGAACUGAGCUAGCAACCCUACUAUAUUCUGAUUUGCACUUCAAUGUAAAAGGGAAUAUAUGGUAGGAAGAAAGAAAACCAACCAUCAUUUGUUAACUCAUUGCUUUUCAAUCAAAAUUUUAAGAACCAAAUGCCAUGUGCUUUGAACAUCAAAUAAGUAUAAGCAUUAGUUCUAAAUUCCACAUAUCAUAAGUUAGAAGGAUAAGUUAAUAGCAUAGUAGAAAAAUCUGUGUUGUUAUUUAGAGGGGAAAGUACCUGGCGAACCACAACAUAAUCAUCAAUUGAAAGACUUAGCUCUCCAUUUGCUUGUGCAUCAAAUGGAUGCAUAACCUGCAAGAUAAUGGGAUAAAUAGAACUUAAUCUUAAAAAAAGCAUAACAAAAGCAGCAACAGUACCAGCAACGUUCAUUGUAACCACUAUGAUCAUGGCCAACAAAGAUAUAUUAGAAACAAAAUUCCAUUUUUACUAUGAUAUCAUGACGAUUGGGUUACCAAGAGCUAUCAAAGUCCAAUAAGUUCUGUAUAACUUUAUGUAGUUAUUCAAAUUAUGUAUCAGAUUUUAAAUCUGAAAUUUUGACUGCUCUCCACAAAACAUGGCCUAUGCACAAGAAAUUCAUAGAUAAUGAGGAUUGCAAGUGUCUGACAUCUUUUGAGUGAUGGAUUUAACAUGAGAGCUUAUGGUCAGUCAAUUUCCUCUGCCUAGCAAUAUAAGCUUUCUCGGCCAAAUUUAUCAUCAAAUACAUAGAUUGCCCCAAGUCAAAUCCAUAUAAACAUAGUUUUUCUAGGUAAACCAAGCAAGGAGAAUCAUAAUUCAGACAUAAUCAUAAAAAGGCCCAUCUAACUUAAGAGAAAAUCUCAAAAAGAGGGAUGUUGAGCUAUCAGUCUUGUAUCCAUAAGGAAUGUCAAGACUUUACAUCACCUGCUACAUCGUGAGUGGCUACACAACUUUCAGUGGUUUGUCUUUCUUUGGCAUGCCUAACUCAGCUUUGAUGUUGCUGAGAUAUUGAUAGUAGAGACACAUGAGACUUCUAGCUCAUGCAUUCUAUCUAGCUCAUCCGACAGCUAUCUCUUUUUUAAUUCAUUAGUGUUUGCUAAGCCACAUGCUUAAAAGUCCUGUUGUUCUAAACAAAGUUUCCUAAGAAUGACUUCCUCAGCACCACAUUUGGACAUUUUUAGAGCAAUUUUAUUUGGGGGAAAAGAAUUUUCAAGGUGUUAACUAAUAAAUUUUAAAAAAUAAUUACAAUUUGUCCUACGAUUAUAUGACAAUUUAUCUGGGAUGAAAGGAUAUAGACAGACAUCUUCCACUUUCAAGACUAAUCACUACUUCCGUAGAUGUUUUGCAAUAAUACAAAUACUUGACCAGAUGGUAGUGAUGGUAGAAAAAAAUUUUAUUGCUCCAAAAUUAAAAUAAGAAUGCAAUGUGUUAAGCAAAAGACUAUGCAACAUCAAAUUAAUUGAUAAGUUUGUAAUUCAGUAAAUUAACAACUUUCAUGGUAAAAUACAACAAAUUUCUUUUCAAAAAAAAAAAAUCUUAAAAGACAGCAUUCAAUUUUGUGCGCAUCUUAUUUCUUAAGAUUUUCUAGGAGGGCAAUAGAGGGACUUUCACCUAUGCAAGAGAGCAGAAGCCUUACUUUCGCUAUAAAGUAGACGUCAUUCUGAUUAAUAUGCGUUUGCAAAUCAGCUCCAUUUGAAUCAGUAUUCUGAUAGACACAUGAGGCAUUUACAUCCAUUUCCAAAGUCACAUGUUGCGAGGAGGACUCAUUUGAUUGCUCCUCUAGGAUCAUCUAAUUCAAGUAGCAAGGGUUGGAAGAGAAUAAAAAGUCACAAUUAUUCUUUUGCAUAAGUGAGACGAAAAUGAUAUAUGCAAUAUUAUCAGCAGUAAACAAGAAGAGAACACUCCAAGGAAUAGAUAGAUGCGGACAAGCAAGUUAAAAUGCACAGUUCCAAACCUCCGCAUACAACUUCUCUGAAAUAGCAAUAACGUGUUGAUGAUAUGUUUUCUCGGCAUCUACCUGCAAAGGCCCGAGACCAGGAAAACAACAAUAAAACCACUAGCUAAAGGAGAAAGUAAAGAAAGAAAUACACUUGACAUAAAUCUUGACAAGAAGCACAAUUUAAGACAUAACAAACCCCAAUCAUAUUGUUUAGAACUACCAUUCGUUAUUUCGUUAUUGUAGCAUUUCGAACAAGUGUUGACUUAAUUCAACAUUGUUGGAAAGAUAGGCUUUUAGAAGCGGAAGAAAGCCACUCAAACCAAAGUGAUUCUUAGGAUGAGUUUUAAUCACUCCCCUGAUUUAUUUGGGUUGCAGUAAAACUAAGCGAGCAACUGUUUGACUUUCAAGCAACAUCUAAAUCAGCUAUUAAAAUUCAAAUAAAAUUAUAAUUGAAUAAUAACUGGCCAUCUUGCAUCAAAAAUUAAGUUUAAUUUGUGAUUUUUUUUCUAUAGACAUGUUAGUUCCUGCUAUUGAAAUGUUAAAAGCAUUGAAAAAUUAUUCAAUAAAUUAUGCAAACAUUAAAAUAGAGGACAUAUUAAAAAGUUUCUAAUUACAAUGUUAAGAUUUCCUAUAUUUUAGCAUUUGCAUAUUUUAAUUUAUUUAAAAGCUACGUCGAUCAACUUUGGGAGUGAAGAUUUUAGCUUCUACGAGACUUGAUUGGAAUAUGCAUAAGGAAGAGUGUUAAAAUAUGAUGCAUCCAACGAAAGACAAACCACGUGUAGUCUUUUAAUUAAGCCAAAGUAGCAGCUCAAACAAAUGACACUUGGACCAACAUGCAAUCAUGAAGUGGCCGGAAAAAGGACAAAUGCAACUUUGGCUUAAAUAAAAAAUAACAUGUGACUUGACUUUUGCCGGACAUGCAUCAUGUUAUUACAAGACAACAGAAAUCAGUAUGAUAGUACUAAAAGUUGACAAUAACAUGAAGAUAAGAGGCAGAAUGUCAACACAUGCAUAGGCACACACAAGAAAGUAUUAACUUAUAUACCAUAGCAAAAAGUCUUUGAUAUGCAUCUGUUGCUGCAGUGAUUCAACUGACAGCAUGGCAGCUGUUCCUUCUCUACCAAGAGCCAUUAUUGUAGAUUUAAGCUCGGUCAAUCUUGCUUCUGCAUUUCGAAGCUUCACAGCACUCUCUGCUGAUAUAUCAGAUUCCUUAAUCUUUGAUCGGCGCCUAAAUACUUCAGCUGCCUGGUGAAAAUAUUCAAUAUAAAUCUAACAUAAUUCUAAUCUUGCCUUAUACAUGCAUAUGUUAACUCAAAGCUUACCUGGGCUUCAACUUCAUGUCGAAGCUUGUCAUAACGAUGAGUCAGGUGUCGAGCAUCUUCCAAAGGUGCUCCGUUGAUUAACGCCCGUAGUGGCUCAGAUACCUACAUGUCCAAAAACCUGUAACAUAGUUAGAAAAAUGAAAAGAAAGAGCGAAACCUCAAUUAAAAAGUUCCUCCAACAUAAUCAUGGAAUUUGGGCCUACUUCAAGGAUAUAUAUAAGGAUAAUUUAUGCAAUUUUGGGUCUUAGGAUGAUUCAUAUUAGGUUAGUGUUCUUCUCUUCUGUAUUUAAGGUUAAAAUAGAAAUAAACCUAUGAAAAUAUCUAAAUUAGGGCUGUAAGACUUCCACAUGCAUCCUUCAGUCUCAUGGAUUUGAUUUUACUAUAGAUGCAAGUGUCUUUAUUGAAAAUGCUUGGAGUCAAUUGAGAGAACUCACGGCCAAUAACUUGUCACACGCUAGUCUUUGCUAGUGAUGUAAGAAGUCACAAGGUCUCUUCAGCAUUUGAACCAAUAAAAUUAUUAAGUCAUGGAUGUCACUAGCAAUGAUUUUAAUAUAAAACAUUAAAUAUUUCAGAGUUGUAACUUUAAAAUGGAUUCUUUUAUUCAAUAUCUUAGAACUAAGUUUCCUUAUGAGAAGAUAAUAGUUUCAGUAGUAAUUUACAUAUAAUUUUCUAUAUUUGAAUUAUUUUCUAGUUAGGGAUGAACUAACCUGAUCACGAAGAAUCCCAAGCAAAGUUUCCCUCUCAUUUUCCAUCAAAUCAUGUGAAGUGCCAAAUUGAAGAGCAGCUCUUGCAACGCAAGAAUUGUCACUUUGAUUCUCCGCUCCAUACUUGCAACAAUCUUCGGCCAACUUUCUCGCUACAAUAUUUGAAUACAAAAAUAUUGUACACAAGAACUAGUCAAGAAAAUUAAAAAAAAAAUCAAAUAUUAAAACGAGAGCAAGAGCAAACAAACAACCUAUUUCCAUUUGUUUCAAGUUUACUGCAACAAACACUUCAACGCCACGGACAACAUUCCAUUUGUUUUAUUCUUCUUAUACUUUACGCUUGCAUCAGCCUCAAUCACUUCUUAAUCGCUUGCUUUAACUGCAUCGCUCUCUCUGUGCUCUUCUAUAUAUGUAACGGUUAUGCGGUUGUAGUUCACGGCUGAGGCUACGUGUGGGUUUGACGUGGCAGUUACGUUACAAGGGGAUAAAUAAGAUUGGUUACAACAAACCCACUAAUUUUAUAAAAUUCGAGUAAUAUAGAAUAAAAUAAAAAAAUAAAUACAAAAUUGGCUUUUAUUUUGUAUGGUUGACUGUAUUUUGUGUUCUCUUCCGGCACUACUACAAUUGUUCCCUAUAUAUUAGUCACACCCAUAUAUCAUUAACACAAGAAAUGAAAUCUAAUGUCACCUACUUAGUUAAAGAAUCACUCAUGAAAAAUUUUUACCAUUUUGAUUUGAGGAUCCAUAUUUUGAACUGCAAGCUAAUGUUCAUCAAGAAUCACUGAUGUUCAUAAAAAUCAGAGUAUGGCCGUUGAGUAGAAAAAUUAUUUUUGGACAAAUUAUUUUUGUUGAUAGAAUCUGCCACUUUCUCAUGAAGAAAGGCAUGCGGAGCAUACCAUGGUACCAUACGGAGAAUGUUAGAACCACCCUAGAAUAUCUUUACCCUGAUGUUUCUAACAAAAAUCUGCAUGUGGCAGCAAUUACUAGAUCUACAAUUUCCCAAAUAAUAUUUUGUGUUUCUUAAAAAAAAUUGAAAUACAUAGUUGCAAUUGCACACCGUGAGACAGUGCUACAAUCUACUGAGAUCUAAAUUAUAUGAGACUUUAAGCUACUAAUGUUUGCAUAUUUCUACAUGUCAAAUUAACAUUACCAUCUAUAAUCCGAAACGACAGAUGAUAAACGGCUUUUGGCCACUUAUUACUAGCAUCCACAAUUAAUUUUUGUUCAGCAAUCAGCUUAUUUUAUAGAAAUUGAUUUAGUCAGCAACAAACACUAUAAUACUUGAAAUUAGUUCUUGUUCUUUGUAAUUUUCUAUGAUUUUUCAUAUAUCAAUUAAUCUGCAGUGCCAAGAUGAGGUUUAGUUUUCAAACUAAAUAAUCAAGUAAGCAAAAAUACAAAUUCAGAGAUUAGCGGGGUAAACUAGCUGGGUGGUUUAGAACUGGGCUAGCUACCUCCCUGUAUUCCUAUUUGUAAGGUGAAUUAAUUGAAUCAUGAGAAAACAAUGUGACCAUAGCUCAAUAUGAGAUGAUUUCGGAGAGGCAUAUUGUUUUCGAGUGAAUUUGAUCCAUUAAGAGAUGAAGUGGAUUGAAGUGGAAAGUUUAAAUAACAAAUCCUUGUUCUUGAGUUUUACGACGUCGUUACUCCUUCAGGUGGCAGAUUAUGCAAGUGAAUUCAAAAACACAAUGCAUCAAUCACGGGGACAAAAGACGGGAUCACAGUCUAUGCAUUGAACAGUUACAGUUGCUGCUACCAAUUGUUCGGCAAAGAUCAAGAAGACUGAACGGGAAGCUAAUGCCAUCAAUGUCGUCUUCACUAUAUCUGCUGGGAAUGUAGGUGAACUUUCCUCAUUUGCAGCUGUCUAUACAUAGGCUUUUCCCCAGCUUAAGUACAAAUAAAUGAAGCUGCCUUGAAGGCUUUAUUAUUGACCCCAAUAAGGAUUACUAAUUGAAGAAGACUAUACGGAGUUAAUCUCACAUUUUAGUUCUCUCAAUUUCUUUCAGAAGUGCCUCUGAAAAUAGCUGCCAAACCGUUAGUCAGCUUGUAUACUCUGUUUUCUGGAAACAGAGUAGCAUAUUUAAUCGUUUUAAUUGAAUUGUCUUCGUAGCGAUCAUCAACAAACUCAUCAUAAGAUUUUUGAAGCACCCAAGGACUAUCACUGGGUUUCUCUUCUGGUUGAUUUAUUAAUUAAUCAAAGAACGGUUGGAUGAAGUGCAAUGAUGGAGCAAAAUUUACAAUGUCUCCGGUUUCUCCUGACCAUCGGACUUUUGCAGUGAGAACAUAUAACAAAAAGACCUUCAUCAAAAUUUGUAGACUCCGGGUAUGGAUUGGAUCGAGUUUUUUGUUUGAUAUUGAAGAACCACUUUACUAUCGCGAUAUAGAUUAUGUGCAAGGGGUUGUCUACUGUUCUUUGCCUUGUGCUAUGAUCGGUGCUUUUGACGUUGCCCCGAAACAGUGGAAAAUACUUCGAUUUCCUCCGUUUGAUGAUGCAAAGAACUGGUUAAUGUACGAUUACCUAAUUGACUCAGGAUCAAGUAACAACAACAAUUUAUUAAUAGUAGUAUCACAAACGAAGAAGAUUUCGGAGAGGGUGAUGUAUGCCUAUACCGUUUACAGGUUUGAUCCACAGGGGAUGAAGUGGUCUCAAGUGGAAAGUGAUUUAUUAAACAACAAAUCAUUGUUCUUGGGUCAUACCUCAUGAUGUCAUCAAGUGGAAGAUGAAGAUUAUGCAAGACGAAGAUCGUUUGAUAUUGAAGAAUUUGAACAGAAAGCCCAUAGAAAGUACUUAAAUAAGCAUAUUCUUGUUGGGGUAGAAUAUUAAGAAAGGAGUUGUCUACUGUGUGUUGCGUGAUUAGGCUAUGAUCUGUGCUUUGAACAUUGCCCUCAAAACAGUGGAAAAUACUUCAUAUCCUCGACAUGAUGAUGAAAAAUUGGUUACCGAUUACCUAAUUGACUCAGUGACAACAAUCUAUUAAUAGCACAAUUUGGCGUGAUGCCGUUUAGGUAUAUGGUUUUCAAGUUUGAUUCAUCAGUGAUGAAGUGGACUAAAAUAAGAUGUUUAAAUGAUAAGUCAUUGUUCUUGGGCAUAUCGUCAUUACUACUUCUAGUGAUCAAAGAUGAAGAUGAAGAUGAAGAUGAAGAUGAAAAUUGUGCGAGUUCAAGAUUACCAUCAACUCAAUUUUAUGAUUGGAGUGUCUCACCGUGACUCAGACAAAUUCUGAUUCAACCUCCUUCACCAAUGGAUUUUGAUUAGUUAUUUUGUGAUCAAGCAACUUAAUUAAACUCACAGUUUGUUAGUCUAAUUUUAGUUUUACUGUGACCACUAUUCAAGGUAAGCGAAAGUUACAGAUGUGGCAAAAUCAAUAAUUAAAUUCAUAAAAUGUUAAAAAAUAAAACUUAUAAAUUUUGCAUGACUACUUACUAAUAAAUAAAUAAGUUAGAAUGUAGUUAGUUAAUUUUACACCAUAUUAUAUAUUAUUCGAUAAUAAUAUAAAAUAAAAAGAAUUAAAAAAUAAAUAAUUGAAUAAACAAAUAUGACUUUCUAAACAGUAAAAAUUCUAGAGUUAAAAUUUAUAUUAUUAUUUUAUUUUUUAAAAUUGACAUAUUUCUAUUAUCUUACAUGUACACAGAUUUUGAGAGUUGAGAAGAAUAUAUUUAAUGAAGCUUGCUAACAUUUGGUGGGAUAGCAAGUAAGGGUAAAUAAGAUUUUUUUGUUAUUUAUUUGAAUUAUAUCUAUUUUGUUCAAGUUAAAAUACUAAAUAUAAAUUGGAGGUAGACAUUUUAACAGAUCAUCUAAGCUCUCAAAUCUGAAAUUUUGUGUAGAUUUAAAUUCAUAAUUUUAGUUAAUUUUCAUACAUUCAUAUAAACAAAUUUAUGAGAUUUUUCUUUUCAGCAUGUUAUAUUUUGAAACUUUCAAUGUAUUAUUCUAGCUUUAUUUAAAUAAUUAAUUUAUUUAAAAUUUAUUUAAUUUUGAAUUUGAUCAAUAGUAAAAUUAUUUUUAUAUCAAAUUUUUUUAUUUAAAUAGUUCGUGGAUUGGACAAAAUUAAAAAUUUUUAAUCCACAAAAUGGUGGAUUAGAUAUGAAUUGGGUUAAAUACACAUUCGAUCCGCAGUCGUAUGAAUUUGAUUUGGAUUGAAUUUCAUCAAUCCAUGGAUUAGAUUGGAUUGAAAAAUUUAUUAUCCGCAAAAUCGUGGAUCGAAUAUGGACUGAUGUCCAAUCAGCAAAAUCCAAUCCCCGAACACUCCUCUAUCAAAAUUUUCAAGAAUAUUUUUUAUCUUACAAAUUUUUUUUAAAGUCAUAGUCUAAGGGCGGCCCAAUUUCUACUCCAUCCAUAUAAGCGGAGUUCAAAUCUCAUACCUCUUAUCUCCACACAAGAGAUUUAACCAAUUGAAAUAGCUAGCACCCACAAGUAUACUAGUACAGCAUCUCUUAACGUUUAACAUACGUAAAAUUAACGCCAUAGCUAUUGAUAAACACAUUGUUCAAUAUAUAUGAUCAAGAAUCUGAUCCUGCGAGCAACAGCAGUCAGAAGAACCAUUAUAAUGCCUAGCUCUUAUCCUGGUUAAUCCUCUGGCCCGAUGCUUCAUCAUAGUGAUUUAAAAAACCAACAACAGCUCUCUAAAAGAGAUGAAGAUAUCAUCUACGUAAAGAACAUGAGACGGAGAUUCACAACCCAUAAGAACUGAGAUAAAUUGGACCAGACCAGUAAUCUUGAGAUAAGUUAAACUGUGACUUAAGUUGAAAUCAGAGGACAGGAAUUUUAAAAUCUUUCGGCUAAGCCCCUGAGGAAUUUUCUAGAGUACGACUUCUGCUUACCUCUGUUUAAUUUCUCUUUAUAUUUUUCUUUCAUUUCAUUAAUAAAGUCAAAUAAUAAAUCAAAGAACGAGGGAAGAUUUUUCCAAGUCAUGCAUUAUUUGAUUACCAUCAAUCAAGAAACCGACCAAAUUAAUUUCUCUCCGUGAUUUUUAAAAAUUAAAAAAAAAAUAUUUGAGCAUAACAUCAUUAAUUAUAGAGUGGAUCAAACUGCGUUAAUCAUGAACUUUGUUGUGUUAAUUAUUUCAAUCCCCGAUUACGCAAUUUUUAAAUUAUAGCCUAACGGUGGUCUCAUCACCACGUGUGUGAUUUUCUUUUGCCAAUAGGAUCUGUAGAGAGCUUGAUCUCACCCAAUAGCAAAAUAAACUUCCUAAUAAGUGAAGGCAUAGUAUAAAUAAUUCACCCCCAUAUUAUUUAUUAGCAGCUUGAUUAUUUUAUAUGCAUCUUUGAUUUAAAUUUUUUUUUCCCAUAAUUGCUACUAUGUUCGAACUGGUCAUGAAUUAUCUAUAAGAUUUUUCAUGUUGCUUUUAGGUGCAUUGGAUUUUUUUUAGUUUAGUGCAAGAGUAGAGGAAGGCAAAUUAAGAAAAAGGAUAAAGAUCUAUGAUUAGCUAUUUUGGGAUGUCUCAUAACAUAUUGAUGGUAACAUUAUACAUAUGUAUAUCUAAAUAAUGGGGUUGGAUCAAGAGCCCAUUAAUAAUCAUAGAUUAGCUUAUAUAGCAAUUUCACAAGCACAUGUUAGCCUAUGUUGAGCUUUAUUAUCAAUAGUUCAUAGUUCAUCGGUGCACUGCAGGUUUACUAUUUGAAGUAAAUGUUAUGGUGCGUGCAUUUUUCAUAAGGCCAACCGCUGAAUUUAGCAUUGAAACUUACAAAAUGUAAUAGAGAGAGGUAGAUAACAGCCACAAAACACUAAGAUUGGAAAUCAGGGCUACUAAAUACUAUUACAAGCCCUUAGAAAAGACACUGAUCAUCCUGGAAUAUAUAUACUGAAAGUAAGAAAUAUUAAUCGCAAAGUUAUGUGCCAACAAAACUAUUGACCACUUGUCCCUAGCAGAAGGUAUAUAUUUUUAACUUCAGCUCUCUACUUUGUUCUAAGAACUAGGCAAAAGAAUGAAACUUCACUGUCUAAAGUUUGCCGCUUGGAAUAUUUCACUGUCUAAACAUUCACUCACCACUAAUUUCACAAAUGAAUUUUGUCUAACUAUAUGUUGAUAACGAUAUUAGAGGUAAUAUAAUGCAUUUAAGGCUUAACAUAUAUUUUUUAUUAGUAGAGUGUAGAAUUUUUAAGAAAUAAAUUAUUAAAUUACUAUAACUAACAUAUUAUUUUAAAGUUAUGUUAAGAAAAGAAUGAAACAAAAAAAAAAAAAAAAAUAAGGGUAUUCUAAAACUUUGAUCCUUUUAAAAGUAGUUUUUGACGUAAAUAAAAUAAUUUUUAUUUUUUUAAAUCACAUACUCUAGUUAAAAUCAAAUUUGUAUUUAUAAAGCUUGUAAAUUUUUUUUAGCAUUAAUAUUUGAAUACUUUCAAGAUAAGAAAUAGGGUACUAAUUAUGCUACAACAUUAUUAUAGCAUAUAAAAAGACAAUACCCUUUAUAUUAUUAUACUAUCGUUUUUGUUAUGAUAGUAUUUUGUUAGUGGUCAAAUAUUACUUUUUUAAGUAAAAAAGUAGACAAAUGUAAAUCAAUUUUUAAUCUCUCCUAAAAUUCUAAUUCCUAGUUACCAAACAAAAUUGUUUGAAAAUAAUUUGGCUAAGUGCAUGGGUUCUUAAAAGUUAAAACUAUAGGUGAUAGAAGUUACUAGCACAAGCAAUUUUGACGGUCCAUUUUAUAAAAAUUUUUAAUAAUUUUUUAUUUACCAUUUUACCACCUAUAUAAAGAGUGCCACAUCGACAUAUCAAUUCAUUUGCAAAUUAUAUUAAUUUUGUAAAAUUCAUUUGACUUGCUAAACCCUUCUUAUCCCCUUUCUCGACUGUCAUACCCUAACCUUAUUAAUCCAACUGGCAAGUGCUCACAAUGACCGACAGCCUCUCCAUCUCCAUUUCAAGCUUCCUCUUCAACUGGCUUCUGCUUCCGUCGUACGCUUCCUUGGAUUCGGAGUCCGUAUUCGCUCGACCGGUCCGGCACAGCUCCCUCUCACUCCAAUUGUCACCCAACAAGACCAAUUGCUUAACAUUGAUCGUAUGGCAAUUGUCCGUAUUUCUUGGAUUCAGAGUCCGUAUGGCACAGAACAAGAAGAGUAUGAGAGAGAGAUUUGGAAAUCGAAACGUACGCAUUGACCGUGCCUUUGAGGGCAAUUACUUUUCUUGAGAAUUGAAGUUUGGUAAUGUAAUUUGUUCUCUAUCUGUGUCCCCUUUGUAGUCAUUUCAUUUAUUUGUUUGUUUGCUUUUAUUUGCACUUACGAAGUCUCAGAUAUAUCUACGCAAGAAUGAUGCAGGAGAAAUUGAUCCUCGAGCUUACAAGAAAAGUAAAUUUCGAAAGCAUAAUUUGGCUCCGAUUGAGGUAAUAAUUGUCUUUAAACUCAUUUAGUUUUAUAUCAAACAAAAUCAAGGCUGCCUUUCUCUUCAAUAUUUUUUAUGAUAAUAUCUUUAGAAGCAUCUCAUUGACGGGUAAUCAUGGUAUCCCUUAAAGAGUCUAUAAACUCAAUGAUAUUUUCUUCUGCAAAUGGUUCAUUAAACUUCUUAGACGUAGUUAAAUGUACACUAAGAACAACGAGAAGCUAUGCCGCUGUAGCAUGUAGUGAGAUCUUGUUUGAAGUUGUUUUCUGAAAUGAACUGCCAAAUGGUAGUUUUUUUUUUCUUGGGUGCAUUUGAUGACUCUUUUCUCCUCAUUUUAAACAUGUACCUGCUUGGAAUGGGAAGGAAUAGGCUUCCGAGUUGUUAUAUAUGUUGACAUGCUCUGGUCAUUACACAAAAUGCUCAAAUUGGAAAUUAGAAUGAGAUAUUUGUCGAUGCUUUUUGAGAGAUCUGCAUUCUAUGCACCAUAACAUGAUUAAUGAAAACAGGUUUAAGGACUGGAAAGAUCUGUGGCGGCCCAAGCUUGCAGGAAGGAUUUCAAUGGUUAAUUCUCCCAGAGAGGUUAUUGGUACAAUUUUGAAGUAUCUGGGAGCAUCAUGCAAUUCAAACGACAUUGAUUAGCAACUUGCUGCUGGGAGGAUUGUUGUCAGCAGAAUCUGGCAUUACUGGGAAACCAGGUACUCUUAAAGAAAUGAUAUCUGGUCAAUGCAUAUUAUUGCCUGACAGCUGAUUUUGUUUGUAAAGUCUGCCUCUUCAUACAUAUGAAUGCAUAUGUUAGUGUUUUCUUCUCCUUUUAAUACACAUGAAUGCAUAUGUUAGUGUUGUCUUCUCCAUUCCAUAAAUAUGAAUGCAUAUGCUCUGGGUGUUGGUUACUACUUCAAGUGGAAGGUGAAGGUGAUGCAAGUGAUUUCAGGAGUACAUAUAUUCCAAGGAUGCCGGACUAUUAUUGCUUCCCCCCAUAUUUCAGAAUUUUUUGUCAACCUCCUCCACUAAGGGAUUCCAAUUGAGUUACAAAUAUAUUUUCUGUAGCUCUGUUUUAAAUUUUUGGUCUCAUGUUAAUUUUUCUAAUUACUAUUCUUCAACAAAUCUCUUUUACUUUAAAAAACUGCUACAGUUUGAUUUUACUGCCUUAUAUCAUUGAACAUUGAUACAUGGAAUUUGAAAUCAGACUUGUAACAACAGAUAAAUAGAUAUAGAACAUGCAUAUAAUCUCCAUUUCGAGCUCCCUCUCCAACUGGCUUCUGCUUCCGUCUUACUCUUUCUCGGAUUCGGAGUCCGUAUUUGCUCAGCCGGUCCUGCCCAGCUCCCUUUCACUCCAAUUGUCACCCAACAAGACCAAUUGCUUAAUCAAGGCACAGAACAAGAAGAGGAUGAGAAGUUGAAACAAGAAUUUGAGAAUUGGAAAUCGAAAAUGUAUGCAUUGACUGUGCCUCUAAGGGUUGUUUCUCUUCAGAAUUCAAUGCCUCAAUCUUGGGUUAAGGAUUUUAUGCGAAGUCAAGGAAAGAGAUUGAAGUUUCAGAUGAAUUUGUGUGCUAGCAUUGGUGGGAUCUUUAACAAUUUAUCUGUGCCCUUUAACAAAGUUAAGGGUAAGUCAGCUUCGUAUACGGCUGCUGAUUUGGUUAGUGUUGGUGAUUCAUGGCUCAGUUUUACAAUUAAAAAGAGAUUGAUUGAGCCAAUAGCUGAAGCUGAAGAUCAAGACUGGUUCAAAUGCUUAUGUCACAAAUGGAAGGUAACAUCAUUAUCUUUGACCCGAUAAUUUUUAUUGUCUUACAUUGAAAUUUGGUAAUGUAAUUUGUUCUCUAUUUGUGUUACCCUUUGUAGUCGUUUUAUUUAUUUGUUUAUUUGCUUUUAUUUGCACUAACGAAAUCUCAGGUAUAUCUAUGCAGGAAUGAUGCAGGAGAAAUUGAUCCUCGAGGUAAAAUAUGGGCGGCACCAUACAGGUGGGGCACAACGGUGAUAGCCUACAAGAAAAGUAAAUUUCGAAAGCAUAAUUUGGCUCCGAUUGAGGUAAUAAUUGUCUUUAAACUCAUUUAGUUUUAUAUCAAACAAAAUCAAGACUGCCUUUCUCUUCAAUAUUUUUGAUGAUAAUAUCUUUAGAAGCAUCUCAUUGACGGGUAACAAUGGUAUCCCUGAAAGUGUCUUUAAACUCAAUGAUAUUAUCUUCUACAAAUGGUUCAUUAAACUUUGUUGUUGUAGUCAAAUGUACACUCAGAGCAAUGAGAAGCUAUGGCACUGUAGCAUGUAGUGAUGGCACUUAAUAAGUGAGUUGCUAGGAUGUGAACUAGAAAAAUUAAAUAUUGUCUCCUUGGGUAUGCUAGCUUGUAAGUCAGGGUUAAUAUUAGAGCUUAAGUUACUAUAACCAUGAGACGCUAUUGACUGCCAAUUAAAAUAUCCAUUAAAUUGUCUAGGAAGUUAUGAAAGUGGAGGUAUCUUCCGAUUUCUAAGGCCAGAUAGUAGACAUCAUCCAGGAUCCUAGGAAAGUGCAGUUAACCUCCUGCUCGAUGCAAUUAAUAAAUUUGGUCAAUGCCACUGAAACCUGCUAACCGACGUCACAAUGCGAGAUGAGCACUUCAAAAUGGGACAGACGGUCAGUAGCACUAAAUUUUUCUUUCCUAAGAUUGAGCAAUUGGUCUAACUACUAACCCCUAUUGUAGGUUGAUCAUUAUUUUUCCAAUUAUGUUCAGUUUGACCCAAAAAGUUACAGAAUCUUGAGCUGAAUAUUGUCACUGAACACUGUCAAUGUCAUUUAGCAUACCCAACUAACUUGAGUUUGGUAAAACAAACACACUGUGCGUCUCAUCUCUCACAAUUCAAAUUAUCAUCUGUAAUGAUGGAGAAUUUUUCCAAUGUAUGAAGUAUGCUUUGAUAUGUGUACCUUGGAGAAGAUAUCUCCAAAUAAAGAAUAUGGAGAGAAAACGGUUCAGUAGUUUAUUAUUCUGUAGGCAAGUCUUGUCUCGAAAAUGGUCAAAAUUUAAAUGAAUAAGGACAGGGGAUCUUCAUUCUUUUUUCCCUUUUUUAUACCAAGAUAUCUCUCAACCUUUAUAUAAUCCCCACUGGAUAUCUGCUUCUAAUAAUUAAAAUAAAAAUUUCACUCACACAAAUAAAUACUGACCAAGCUCUAACAAUAUAAAGUAACAUCUUUACUCAAGUAAUUUACAGUUCCUCAUCAUCUUAGUGUGAGACUAUCAUUACGUUCCAAAAACAAAAUAAAACUGGUUUGAUCCUGUUUAUUGAUGUUUAAAUGUUGUUCAUUGUGACAUGUAGAAAUGAUGAAGCGAAGUUUAUUUGGUCAUCAAUUAGUAAGAUCUUGUUUGAAGUUGUUUUCUGAAAUGAACUGCCUUUUUUUUGGGCAUAUGAUGGCUCUUUUUUCCUCAUUUUCAACAUGUGCCUGCUUGGAAUGGGAUGGAUUUGGCUGCAGAGUUGUUAUAUAUUUUGAGAUGCUCUGGCUGUUGUGAAAAUUUUAAUAUACUCGCAAGCACACGAAUCUAGAAAUAGAAUAGUGAUAACGAGGUCGAACCCACAGGGAUUAUUGAAAAGUCUAAUUUAAAUCUAAAAUUAAUAUUAAUUCUAACCUAGUUGAGCAAAUUGAGUUUUAAGAGAAAUUAAACUAAUUAAACUAAGAAAAUAAUUAAAGUAAAGGAGAAUUCAAUAAGACAAAAAUUACCAAGGUUUCAGAAUCCACCACUAUUCAACUAGUAAUUAUCUAAUUAUUAAUUAAUCCCCAAUUUUAGAGUGACAACUCGAAAUCAAUCUAUGUCAUCUCAUGGAUAUAACAAUUAAGCCCAAGUAAUUAAAUCUAAUGUAGGUUCUUUUUCUACUUAAUAGUAUGAUAUCUAAGAAUCUCAUGUAAACAUAUUGAAUAACAAAGAGUCAAAGUUUUCUUAAGCACUCUAUGUAAACAAUUUAAUGAAAGACAUAAAAUCAAAGAUAAUCAUGCAUAAACUUUAUAGAUCCAAGCAUAGAUUUAAUCGAAUAUUAAUCCUAACAAUCAAUAAUGCAUAACAGAAUUGAUGAAAAGAUUUUAAUAACAUCCAACUAAUCAUGUGAAAUAAAAACCAUAAUCAUUAAAGAACAUAUAUAGGGAAUUAAAUAAAUAAAAAAAUAAUUAUUUCAUUGAAUAGGGUUUCAUCCUUAACCUCAGUAUAAGAAAAUUAGUUAGACAUACUUGAAUUGGGAAAAACAAAAGAGAUAAAACCGGCCAUGAGGAAUAUUGAACUGUUGGUGCCGAUUGCUCUUUUCCAGCCUUGCGUCUGCUUUCCUCUGGCGGCUACCUCCCCCCUUGCAAAAGCCAAAGUUCGGCUUUUAUAUUGUAACUCCCCCACAAAAUCCUCAAAUCAAAAGGUUUUAAAACAAGCCAAGCACAACCGACUUUGAGCCCAUGCAUGUGAAGCCCAAUUGGAAUUUUCAUUCCUUUUUUAAUGCCAUGCAAUUGCUUUCCCACGUGCUGGCCACUUUAGCUUUAAAUUUCUUCUUUGUUUGCACUAGCAUGGAGAAUUCAAUUUAUUGGCUUCGGCUUCUUCGGAUUGAAUUUCAUACACAUCUACUUAAUUGCUUCCACAAAUUGACUUGAUUUUUAAUGUUGUCCAAUUGUUAUUCUUUAUGUACUUUUCAUCCUUAAUCUCCAAUUAAUUCCCUAUUCAAUAAAAUUAACUUAGCAAUUAUAUAAUAAAGGGUAAAAUAUGUAUAUAAAUUAUGCUCAUCACUGGCCAUUGCACAAUUUGUUCACACUGGAAAUUUGAAUGAGAAAUUUGUUGAUGCUGUUUUGAGAGAUCUGCAUUCUAUGCACAAUAACAUGAUUAAUGAAAAUGGAUUGUAGGACUGGAAAGAUCUGUGGCAGCCUGAGCUCGCAGGAAGAAUUUCAAUGGUUAAUUCUCCCCGAGAGGUUAUUGGUUCAGUUUUGAAGUAUAUGGGAGCAUCAUACAAUUCAAACGAUAUUGAUUCGCAAGUUGCAGGUGGGAAGAUUGCUGUUCAGCAGAAUCUGGCAUUACUGGCAAACCAGGUACUCUUAAAGAAAUGAUAUCUGAUCAUUGCAUGUUAUUGCCUGACAACUGAUUUUGUUUGUAAAAGUCUGCUUCUUCAUACAUAUGAAUGCAUAUGUUAGUGUUCUCUUCUCCUUUUCAUACAUAUGAAUGCAUAUGUUGGUGUUGUCUUUUCCUUUUCAUACAUAUUAAUACAUAUAUUGGUGCUCUCUCCUGAGAUGGAUGCAAUAAAGGCUUUUGGUCCUAAAUUUAGGUGAAGAAAUGGCAAGGGAUGUGAGAUUCUGUCUCAUUAAAUUAACAAAAACCCAAAACAAUGAAAACCCAUAAUAAUGUGGUGGGGGUAAAUUGGCACCAUUUGGUUUGUUUACUUAAUGUGAAUACACGAGCAAUAGGGACUAACAAAAUGAAGUGACAACAACAAGUCAGUGUCCUUUGAUGGAUGCAUUUUAGGCAAAAAUAGGUUUGUAAUUGACCAAUUUCAAAAAAUUUAAAUUAUGUGGUUAUUAGCUGUAAUGAAGGGGAUAGGAGGUGCAAUCAGGUGGAUCCAGGAAAGUUCAACAAAGUUCUGGUAUGGCAUAGUGAAAUUGGUUUGUGCAACUCAAGAGUCUUUCAGGUGAACGAUGAUAUGUUUUGAUUUAUAAAUGUUAUAAAUCUACCGUCCAUAGUAUUCUAGUAGAAUCAUCUAUAAGUUCUAGUUAUUGAAAUUGUCUACUUUGUCCAGUUUGAGUUAAGGGCACAUGUAAUAGGAAAAAUAGUUGUCACAUCUUUUUGGUUACCUAACAUUUGAUCAAUCCUAUUAUGAGGGCUUCAAGAUGUCUAACAAUAUGUAGAAUGCCCAUGCUCCUCCCCAUUGUUUAUCUUAUACAAUAAUUUGUUUUAGAUGCUAAUAUAUUUGUCGAUACCGGUAACGAUAUUACAAUAUCUGCAUUUAUUGGGUUUUACAUAGGUUCGACUGUUUGACAGUACACACUAUCUGAAGGCAUUUGGAAUUGGAGAUGUAUGGGUUGCUGUUGGGUGGAGUAGUGAUGUUCUUCCUGCUGUCAAACGUAUGUCUAAUGUUGCAGUUGUUCCCAAGUCUGGUGCUAGCUUAUGGGCCGAUCUUUGGGUAUACCCAUGCCGGCCAUUCUACUUCGAUAUUCACGUUGUUAUCUCCUUCAUAUUAGCGAUCAUAAACUUGAUAAUGUGACUAAUAAGUUCGUAUUCUCUUUAUAGGCAAUCCCUGCUGCCUCAAGACUUGAAACAAAAGAAAUUGGAGGGCGAGUCUGAGGUCCAUCUCCAUUAAUCCAUCAAUGGAUAGAAUCCUGCUUGCAAACAGCGAGAACAUUGCCUUUCAAGCAAGAGGUUAUCCCGGGCGCAUCUCCCUCUGCCCUUGAAAGUACUCUGGUUAAGUUGCCUGAAGAACUUCUGAAGGGUAAACCAAGUCUGGAUACUAACUUAAUUGCUGGAGUACCCCCGGCUGAAAUUCUGGCCAGAUGUGAGUUUUUGGAGCCAUUGUCUGAAGCUACAUUGUCAUAUUAUGAGUGGCUGGUUGCUAAUCUGCAAAAACCUGCCCCCCUCUUGAUGAAUAGGCUGCAACAUUACUUGUCAUCAUUAAUCCAAAGCUUUCUAGCAAAAGCUACAUUGAAAAGUUAAUGGCACUGCAUGCCAGUCAUUGUAAUGCUGUCAGGGCUAUUGGGUCAGGGCUAUUGGGUCAGAGCAUAACUUCAUUAGGAAAAGAGGCUUCAGCUACGUUAAAUAUUACAGGAUGUACUGAGAUGGCUGAAGUUCUUGAGGUUUUACGAGAAACGAAAGAUGAGUGUUUGUUUGAACAAAGUUGUUGCCAUCUUGCAGAGUUUGAGAAGAAAGAUCACUGAGCGAAUGCCACCGAUUUCUUAAUCAUUGUAGCCUCCAUAGUUGAAGUUUCCUUAUUUGAAGCUGUUUAUGCGUACGCUUUUUCCCUGCUCAAGUACAGGAAAUUGAAGAAUUAACCAGAUGUGAUAUGCUGAAAGAGGGAAGUUUUCUUCCUUGAACGUGGCCUUGUGAUUUGUCUUGGAAGGAAUAGGAUGAUCACUGGCAAGAACCCUAUCAAGGUAGAUUUUAUGGUGCUAACGUAUUAUUAAGCAUUUUGUUACAUCAGCAAUGAUGCUUUCAUAGCAUGAAAGGGUUUAAAUUUAACUGAAUGAUUCUGAUUAAUCAAUUAUGAGUUUGAAUCGAGUAAAAACUAAAUACAAUCAUCGUUAACAAUACUGAAAAAAUUUAACUGAAUCAUCGUUAAUUGAGUAAAUAGGAUCUUGAUAUUGAAGAAUUUGAAAUCACAACGCACACAGGAAAUUGAAGAAUUUGAAAUACAAUCAUCGUUAACAAUAUAAGAUGAGUGUUUGUUUGAACAAAGUUGUUGCCAAUCUUGCCGAGUUCGAAAAAAAAGAUCACGGAGCAAAUGCCACUGAUUUCUUCAUCAUUGUAGCCUCCAUAGUUGAAGUUUCCUCAUGUGAAGCUGUACAUCAAGUACAGGAAAUUGAAGAAUUAACCAGAUGUGAUAUGCUGAAAGAGGGAAGUUUUCUCCCUUGAAUGUGGCCUUUGUGAUUUGUCUUGAAGGAAUAGGAUGAUCACCGGCAAGAACCCUAUCAAGGUAGAUUUUAUGAUGUUAACAUAUUAUUAAGCAUUUUGUUACAUCAGCAAUGAUGCUUUCAUAGCAUGAAAGUGUUUAAAUUUAACUGAAUGAUCUUGAUUAAUCAAUAAUGAGUUUUAAUCGAGUAAAAACUAAAUACAAUAAUUGUUAACAAAUACUGAAAUUGGGUAAAUAUGAUCUUGCUAUUGAAGAAUUUGAAAUCACAACCCACACAGGAAAUCACCCUUCGCGUGGAGAUGGAGAUGUUUACUGCAGCGAUAUUGAAUAUGUCCACUGCUCUUUGGGUUAUGGUGCGACUUGCGAUUUCAAGGUUGCCCUGAAACAAUGGAAAAGAAUUAACAUACCCUGCAAUGAAUGAAAGCGGCUGGACUAAUUCUGAUUACCUGAUUGACUCAGGAUCGGAUGGCAAUAAAGACAGUUUAUUAACAAUGCACAGUCCCGAGUACUUUUUCAGGAUCAGAUAUUACGUGGUCUAAUGUUGAUAAUAAUAGAUUAUCAAAUGAGAGAUGCUGAGAGAUGCUGGUCUAGUAUUGCAAGCCCCCAGAUUUAAGAAUCUUUUGAUGAUAAUUUACCACCUGUAACUGUGCCGGAAGAUUCACCUAGCAUUGAAAAAGAUGAUAAUUUAAUUGAUAUGGAUAGUUUUCAUAACACUUUUAAAUCAUCUUAUGUAAUUAUAAUGUUGAGAAGCAUUAGUGGUCUAUAUGUGAACUAUUAUUGACGCUAUUUUGUUGUAAACAAUCUUAUUCAAUUAAUGUAUAAUUUAAAAUCAUUAUGUAAAUCAAUCUAUUACUUUUCAUGAUAUUUAACUGAGUUAAAACUAAGUGCACCCAAUAAAUCUCUUUUCCUUUAAAAAACUGUUACGCUUUGAUUUUAGUGCUUAAUAUUUACGGAACUCCGGUACAGGGAAUUCGAAAUCAAACUCGUAACUACAGAUUAUCUAAUUGCAAGCUUUUGUCCAUAGUUGCUGAUUGUAGUGAUUAUCUAAUUGACUGAGGUGACAACAAUUUUUUUUUUUAAUUUUCAAUAGCAUAAUGUGGAAUUCAAUAAUUAAAUUCUCCUUUUUAAUUUGUUUCCAGUUAAAUUAUUAAUUACUUAAACUCUGUUUUAAGUCUUUAAUUUUAUGUCUUGGCGUAUAUGCAGGGUUGGAUUCUUGAGCGUGUUGGACACGACCAACAAUGAAAUUGACAGUAAACAAACAUUAUAACGCGUUGAGUGUCGACUCCGCUAGCUGCCCUACAAGUCUACAACUUUACAAACAAUAACUGAGUACACACAUUUGAUUCUCAGGGCCUUUCAAUGAAUUUCUAGGCCGGUUGACUCCACCGACAAAAGUUUUGGAAAAUAAAAAAGAAAAUUCAUAGAAUUCCACCAAAUGCAAAACGCGUGGAAUUUAAUUUUCGGCUGUGUGGACCAAAACAUAAUUUAAUGAAAAAAAAGAUAAGAUUUCUAGAAUGUGUGGAAGGUGAUCCAUAUUUUACUGAAACAACUUAUUAAAUUUUUCAAGGAUUUAGAAUAUUUGGUCAUAAAUUACGCUCAUGUUAAUUUUUCCACUGUUGACUAUCAUAUUCUAGACUCACUGGUACCUUUCUUGAUGAAGGGUACUUAGUCUCUCUUCUCCUCUUAUAAAAAUUAUAUUAAUUAAUUUCUUAUUAUAAUAAAUAGUCUUUAAGAACGUAUAGAUUUAUUGUUUUCGUGACCAAAUUAUGCCAGCUUAAGGUUGCGACUAUUAAUAAAAUUAAUAUUUAAUGUUUAUGUUAAAAGAUAUAAGAUUUUUUGCAUUCAUUAAUUGUCAUUAGCUAAAGGAUUAAUUAUUUUUUCAACCCAAUCAGUUGAUGCAUCUGCAAGAAUUUUUUCUUUUAUUGACCAUAAUUAUAUUCCGGGUACAAUAAAUUAUCUUUGGUGCUUGGAAAAUAUGACUUCUUACUUCAAGUUUGAUGUGUCUCUCUCCAUAAGCUUACUGGAAAUAUAUCCUCAUCUACUGUCAUUUAUCUAAUAUCAAUUGAAUAUCUGACUUUUUCAAACUAUCACUUCCAAGUCUCAUUGUCACUUGGCCAUUCUUGGACCAUUCAAAACCAAACAAGUGUUGAAAUAAUCAAAUAUAUGCAAAAUUAGAGUCACGACUUUUGGUCCUCCAAAUUCUAAUUAUAUUACUUCUAUAUAUCUCAUUGUCAGGUCACGAACUUGUUGGCACAUUUUCCAAAUUCCUCUUCCAUCAGCUCUUACACGUUAACUUAAGUGGAAAGUUUCCAAGUUGAUUGCUAGAAAGCAACGCAAAAUCAGACACGCUUGAUCUGUCCCCUAAUUCUCUUUUCUACGUUGAAAAAGAAAAAAAAUAAGAAAAAAGAAAAUAGAUCUAUGUAAAAAUAAAUAAUAAACUGAGUAAAAGUACAUUUGUUUAUUUAACAUCUGAUCGGGGCAUUUUUGGUGUAAUUUCGUGCUGUGUUUAACCCACAACUAAAAUCAAACAGCCCCUUAGAAUACUUCUUCCAUUUUGGGUGCGUUUGGGAUUGAGGUUGGGCAGCUGUAACUUAAAAACUACAGCACUAAAGUGUUUGAUAAACACUAACUGCUGUAGCUUUUAAGCUAUGUUGAUAUGGUUUUUCACUUGUAUAAUACAAAAUUUAUUAUAUCUUUAAUAAUUUUAUCAAAAUUAUUAUUUAAAAUUUAUAUUUACUAUAUAUUAUUAACUUUUGUUUCAUAAUUACAGCUUUUUUUUCACAGCAACUGUAGCUUAAAAGCUACAGCAUCUCAAUCCCAAACGCACCCUUUAUCUGCUACUUUUGUGGAUCUUAUAGGGUGGGCAUGUGAACAGAAUUUAAAAAUUUUAAUAGUCUCAAAGAAUAAGAUAUGCUAAAGCUAAAGUUGUUGCACCUUCUAAUUAAAUAAAGUUGUAUAAUUUCACCAACUUGGAAGAAUUGAUAUUAAUGGACGGUCCCCUCUCCAUAUAUGAAGCCUUCUUAAAAGUUAAUUUUUAUUUCAGAAAAAAAAAGUUUAAGUUACAUAUAUUAUAGUAAGAUUUUUUUAGACCAAUUCCCUUCUUGAAAUAAUAAUGGAAAAGCAUUAAUUUAAAAAUAAAAUGAAUAUGUAUUGAUUAUAUCCUGAUUUUCAUCGAUUAUAGUGAGAGUUUCUCCAAAUCAAUUCCCUUAUUCAAAUAAUACAGAAAAAAUAGUAAUUUAAUAGUAAAAUAAACAAGUGUUGAUUAUAUAUUCUAAGUUUCAUCGAUUAUGUGAUCAAAGUGGCAUUGUUGAUUUAUUUCUUGUUCAAUGUUAAUUUUUAGGUUAUAUAAAUUUCAAGGAUCUAAAAUCUUUGGUCAUGGAUUACACGCUUGUUAAUUUUUCUGCCAUUAACUGUCAUAUUCUAGACUUAAUGAUACCUUUCUUGAUCAAGCGUAAUUAUUCUCUCUUCUCCUCUUAUAAAUUCCUCUUCCAUUAACAUCACUAGGAGUAUGUUGAUCUCUCAGACGUUAACUUGAGUGGAGAGUUUCCAAAUUGAUUGUUACAAAACAACACAAAAACUAGACACACUUGAUCUGUCUAAUAAUUCUCUUUCGGUAAAAUUAAUUAAUUUUAGGGAAAUAUUCUGCCAACCUCUGUAAUUUCAAAGUGAUCAUUAAUUAAUUAAACGAUACAAAUAUCUAAAGUGAUUAGAUGUUUGCCGACAAUACAAGUUCAUGACUUGAAAUUUGAUCUCUAUCGAUUGGUUUACAAAUGGACGUACUUGUGCCUUUGUGGCGAUAAUCAAACAAGUUCCCAUGAUUAUUAUUUUUUCCAAAAACGUUUUUACAACAAAUUCAUCUCGCCAAAAAUUCUAUGUUGCUAACUAACAAUAAUUGAGCACUUGGCCGCAUUGACCCCACGUCUCCACCUCUUUCUAAAAACAUGGAAAAUGUAAUUUCCACAAAAUGCCAAACGUGUGGAAUUUAAUUUUUUUGCCUUGUGGAUCAAAAUACAAAUGAAAGAAACAGGAGAAAAAAAAGGCCCAAAGACUUCUAAAAGAUGAAGAAGUCUUUGGGCCUUUUUAUAAUGGUGAAUUUUUUAAAAGAAAAAAAAUAACAACAUUUUUAUGGUUUGUUUUGAUAAUCAUAUUUACAUAUACUCUCUAAUUUUCAAAAUGGACACAUAAAUCUUUUUUUUUACAAAAUAUAUAUUAUUCAUAUUUUUUAUUUUUUAUUAUCAUAUUUUUAUUUAUUAUAAAUGUUUAGAGUAAAUUUUUAGGUUGAAAUAUAAUAAAAAUGUAUAAUCGUUCUCUUAUUAAACACACAUACUUUUAUUAGUUUCUAUGCAUUUGUCAUCUCAAUCUCUCUCAAUUAUUCUUUAUUGCUAGCUCAAAACGCGUUGCUGUUGCAAAUUAUAGCAAAAUGACAAAUAUGGAAAAAAAGGGAAGAAAAUUAAUGCAUGAAAGACUUGGAGAAAACAACAAAAUAAGCCAACUAUGAGCUAGUUGGGUGUAUAAAUUGUUAGAUGUGUUAUAUACAAAUAGCAUAGAGCCCUCUAGUUAGUUCCAGAGACAGAAAGAGCGUGUGUGUUUUUUCACAGUUAGAGAUAUAGUUAGAAUGGGUGGUUCAAAAUCAAAAAUGAUGAUAAUGUUUAUUAUGUUAUUAAUAAUAUUUAAAAGUGGGUGGAGUGAGGGAUGUUUGGAUCACGAGAGAUUUGCUCUUUUGCGACUCAAACAUUUCUUCGAUGAUAGUUAUCUUUAUGACUGGGCCGAUGAUGAGGGAGCUACUGAUUGUUGUCAGUGGGAAAAUGUUGAGUGCAGCAACACCACAGGCCGAGUGAUAGCGCUAGACCUUUUUGACACGCAUGGGGGAGAGCACAGCUGGUAUAUGAAUGCUUCUUUGUUUACUCCCUUCCAACAACUUGAGUCACUUGAUUUAACUGACAACAAUAUAGCCGGUUGUGUUGAGAAUGAAGGUGCUUCGUUUAAUUUAAUUAAUUUACUUUCUCCCCCCAAAUUUAAGUUGAAUAUCAAGACCGAGCAAUUAUAUGCAUAUUCAUUUAGUCGACAAUUUUGACUUUUUUUUAAAUGAUUAAUUUUGAAAUUACACCAGUAUCUAUGAUCUUUUUUUAUUUUAUUUUAUUUGCAGGUAUAGAGAGGCUAUCAAGAUUGAACAACUUGAAGAUGCUUAAUUUAAGUCGAAACUCAUUCAAUAAUAGCAUU